UUUAAUAGGGUUAUUUUAAUGCUUAGCGAAAUCAUAGAUAAAGAAUGUUGGAUUGAAACAUAGUAGUUAUCCAACUAUUUAUACAAUGAAACUUAGAAAUUUUUAGUUAAAGUCAUAUGUUAAGGCAUAAUAUGAUUAGUAUAUCAAAUAUAUUUCUCACCAGUUCAUCAAUUAACCACAUAUUCUAGUUUUAUGUAUAUUUUCUUUAAAAGCUUCUAGUAGUCUUGUAUUACUUUACAAAUAUAGAGUUAUCUACGACAUCAGUUAAGAGUUUUAGUUUAAUAUAUUCAGCUUCUGCUAAGAGCUAUCUAAGGCACCCAUUUCUGCUAAUUUAGUUCCUUUUGUUAAGAGCUAUCUAUGGCAUCAGGAGUUUGAGUUCAAUGUAUUCAAAAUUCUUUUUAAACUUUGAUGAUAUCAUGACUCAGUUACUCGAAGCUAACUCUUUUAUGAAUAGACAGUUGAAAAAACUAAAUCAUACUAAAUAGAAAUCUUUAUAAGAGCUUAACAAUAGUGAAAAAACUGUAUAUAAGAUUUAGAGGGAUCAUUGUCGCCAAGAAAAUGGCUAGUGAUUCAAAUAUAGGAUACAUAUCUUGUAAAACCAACUCCUUCUAUAUUCUAUCCGAGUCCAUCUGUCUCAAGUCUCAGCCUAUGUGAUCAGUUAAUCAUUUUAGAGAUUGAUGUAAUAUCCUGCUGUAGCUGGACGCUAAAAUUUGCCAUGGUUUAGUUGUUGUGACCAUCUCUGGAGGUCUAUGAGACUUUCUAGUUUGUCGAGGCAUUGUGGCAGCAUUCCUCCAAAGCUUUUGCUGGAGAGAUCCAGUUAUCGCAGGGACGUGCAGUUUAGUGGCUCCAAUGGGAAGUUCUUAGAUAACUUGUUGUCAGUCAGAAUAAGUAGGCUUAAUCUUGAACAAAACAGACAGAAGUUACUCGGGAUGCUUCCUGUUAAAGAGUUGACAGAGAGUGCUAAAGUCACAAUAUUCUUUAGCUUAGUGUUGAGAAGCCUUUUGGUUCCUGAAAGAUUGUUGUUUGAAAAAUCUAAUGUUUCAAGCUAAACCAACUAGUUAAGCUCGAAAAGAAUUUUGCGCUCCAAUUCAUUGCCAAACAAGUUUAAGUACUUCAAACUUAAGAGAUGGCUCAGCUCAAUCGGAAUUGAACCAGAAAAGUUGUUUGCCAGGUUCAAGAUUUCUAGUGAUUCGAGAUGACCAAUUAAGGCACGAAUCUAUCCCGCAAUAUUGUUAUUUGAUGCUACAAAAUUUUGAAGAUUUUUGCAGCAGCCAGUUGCUUCUGGUAAGUGGCUACUAAGACUUUUUUUAUGUAAGUCAAGAUUUAUCAGAUGCUUCAACUUACCAACCUCAUAUGGUAUCUUUCCACUGAAUUAGCAAUAAGCGAGAGCAAAAACACUCAGCUCAGACAAGUUACCAAUUUGUGGUAUCACUUAUCCUGUCAGCAUGUUGGCUUCAAGUCUAAGAAAUUGCAGCUUUCUCAAAUGAGCAAUCUCCAGAGGAAUCUCACCAGUGAGAGAAUUGGAGAAAAGAUGCAAUUCCUCUAAGUCAUGAAGCACUCCUAAUACAGCUGGGAUUGUUCCAUUAAAAAAACUAUGUGAAAGUUCAAUCACUCGAAGAUGAGUGAGAUGCACGAUUUCUCACUCUAUGGUUGGGCUCUGUCAAUAUUUAAGUAAUAUCUAUGAGAAUAAUUGGUGAACUCUGAUAUGCCUCUUGUUUUAAAUUCACGCCCAGUUUCUAUGGCAGCUUCUUCAUAAAGAGAAUAUAAGGAUCAAUUUUUUCUUAAUUUUGUGAAAUUGUAUUUUGGUUAGUUCCUCUCAUAUAUGACCUCGUGAAUUUUCUCCUUCUCAGAGUUAACAUUCUGGAAAAGUUCCUUGUUCUUUAAUUCAAGCUUUUAAUUUUUUUUUGUUUUGUCAUUGUAGAUUGCAAGGACAAGCUUUGUAGGGGUCCCUAGAUGGUCUGUUUCAAAUUUACCAAACGGCAGUCAAUGGGGAAGGUCCCUUCAAAGUUUCUGCUGAAGAUUCAUUGUAUUUGGUUGAAGCUUUAAAGUAUUAUCUGUUUCUGAGAAGCUGAUCCUAAGUUAGUUAGGUUCUUUAUCUUGUUAAAUCCUUAUUCUCAACACCCACCCUGUGAAAUAAACACACGGGCCUGGACUUUUGUAGUAUGGUUAUUACAGAACUUUCUUCAGCACAUGCUAUAAAGGCCCUUGAGGUAGUAUGCUUGCCAUUUGUUGCUCCAUUACAUGUAAGAUUCCUUUCAAGAUUUUAUGAAUGGUAAAAUCAAAUUAAUGUCCCAAUCCUAGUAGUGUGUGGCUUCUACUGAACAUGAAAGCCCUCUAGUACCUUAGAAUUACUGUGAUAUCAUCAAUUUUAUAUGGGAUGACUGUUGUGUUUUAAGUCACAACAUAUCCACAAUCUGAGUAUCACAUAAGUACCAAUGUUAAGAUGGAUGUGCAAUUGAUUUUCCUCGUGAGGUGAAGCGAUGUACUAAAUUUUUGCUUUACUGUUGCAGGAGGUACUUGAUUUAAGUGAAACGGUAGGAACUGAAAGUCGAGGACUUGAUUAUUUUUUGGCCCUGUGAUGGAAGCUAAAAAUUUGAGCUAAAAGUCGGGACUUAAACAGUAGAAAUAGGAGUUACUUGAUUAUUUUUUUGCUAUGUAUUCAAAUGUUAUGGAAAAUUUGAAUCAUACUCUAGCUUGAUCGGGAUGGUAACUUUGUUUUUUGUGAAACAAAUAUUGAAACUAAUAACAUGGGAUGUUAACUAAUUUUUCUGGUCUCUAAUUAUAUCGUGUUUUUGUAUUGAGAUUCUCGAUAGCAUUUUGGUAUUUAUUUGAGGAAAUUUAUUAUUUUGUGAUAUUAGGCUCAUUUGUGGUCAAUUACAGACUAGAAAUAUUGCUCGUCUUUAAAUGUUUAUCUAGGAUGAGAUGUUGCUCGUAUUUAAAGGUUGAUCUACGACUAGAAUGUGGCUCGUCUUUAAAGGUUGAUCUAGGACCAAGAUGUUGCUCAUCCUUAAAGGUUGAUCUAGGAAAAGAAUUUUGCUUGUCGCUAAAGGAUAAUUAUGACCACAUAGUUAGUUUAUUUGGGACGAGAAAUACCGUCACGAAAAGAUAAUUACGAUGAGAUAGUUAGUCUAUUUGUGACAAGAUAUACCAUCGCUAAAAGAUAAUUAUGACCAUGUAGUUAGUCUAUUCGGGACGAGAAAUACCAUCGCGAAAAGAUAAUUAGGACGAGGUAGUUAGUCGAUUGGGACAAGAUAUACCGUCACUAAAAUAUAAUUACGAUCAGUUUUUUUGCCGUCUCAAAAGGGUUUUAAGGACCGGCUUAUUAGACUCGUCGCUAAUGACUUUUUGCGGCGGAGCCUGUUAGGACGGGACGCGACCAGAUUUUUUCCGUCCUAAAAGAUCUAUUGGGAUAAGAUUUGAACUUUCUGAGACCAUAUUUCCCUUCCUUAUAGGUUGUUUUUCUUGCAGUGACAUUUUUCGUAUAGUUUUCAAAAAUCUAAGUUUAAAAUUUAAACUAAUCUAUUUCAAUUUAACUUUAAAAUUUAGUCAAAUUAAUUUUUAUAAAUCAAAAUAUAACAAGCAAUAAUGAAAGGAUGAAUAUUUUUUAUUUUUGGGCGCUCAAUGGUUGGACUGCUAAUCAGAAACAAACAGAAAUUGUUUAAAACAAUUCGAACACUGUCAAAGAAACUAAGAAAGUACAGACCUCUAACUGCAGAAAUGUCAAUAAAAUAAAAAAGGUAUUAUAGAUGGAUGAAUAUUUUAACUUUUCCUCGAUUGAUAACUAAAUAUUUUAAUUUUAAAAAUAUAAUAUAUAUUUAGAUACUUCAAUUCGUCUUUAUUAUAUCUAGCAUGUGGAUAUAUAUUUAGAUACGUUGACGUAAUACAUAAAUUCUAGAAAUAUUUAAAUAAAUUUUAUAAGUUGGAAUGUUCAACUGAUGUAAUAAAGAUCAGUUAAUAUGUCUAAUACAUGUGCAUUCUCAAUUUGGAAUGCAAACACUUAAAUGAGAGGUCGGAAUAUUGUUAAAUAUAAUUAUAAAAUCAUUACUCCCCCCGGACGACUUUAUUCUUUCUCCUUACUAAAAAUAGAUAGUUCAAAAUAGAUAGUCAUUUUAAAAAACUAAAUUAUAAUUGAUUUUUUUUUUUAUUUUGGCCUUAGGGAUAACUAUUAAUCUUGAAAAUAAUAAACAUUAAUCAAUUAGUAUAGAAACUUAAAUGAAUGACACAUAUUCAUAUUCCAAUAAUAUGAUCGCUUAGAUUAAAUUUUUUCUUUUAUGUAUUGAGGAAAGUUAAAAAAAAUAUUUAUUGAAGAGAAAUUAACAUUUAAAUUAAUUGAAGAUAAUAUAAAAAUAUGAUAACCAAAACACAACGUUUUAAUGAGCGUAUAAAUAAAAAGAUUACAAGUAAAAUGAUCCAAACAGAGUGUAUAUGACCCUAGCAAUAGAUCUCAAAUAUCAAUUAAGAAAAAAAUGAAUAUUUCAUAGAGACCUCCCGUAUAUGGAAAUUAAUUAUAUACUUAAUCUCAUUAAUUAGUAAACUAAUUUCAUUGGCUCCAAAUAAAAGGCUGGAUUAGCACUUUAGCAUCAUAGGACCCAUUAAAAAUGAACCACAAGCGACGCAUGAAAACCAAACUGCACCACUUGUUUGGAAAGUAUAAUUUUUUAAGAAAAGAAGAAGUGGGUUAUCUCUAUUUUAAGUUUCCAUACUUAUAUUUCCUCCUUACAUUUUUAUUUGUCACAUUUUACAAAUCAAUUUGACUAAUCUUCAUAGUUAAAUGAAUUAUAUUAGUAAUUCAAUAUUUUAAAUUAAAGAUAUACCUGCUUGAAAACUAUAGGAAAAAUAUUUUAAAUUGUAAUGUUUCUCACAUUAAUAAGAUGAAAAAAUAUAUCUCAAAAUGUUGGUCAAAGUCCACAUAAUUUGACUCUCGAGAAAUGAAGCAUGAAAAAUAAAAGUUAACGGAGAAAAUUUAUCUCAUGUCAUCUUACAGACUAAAAAUAGUAGAAAUUUAAUCAAAGACCAUAAAGACGGUUACCAUAAAUAAAUUCUAACAAUGUAAGUAAUUUGUUUUUCCUAUGUGGACAUCUUAAGCUCUUGACAUGUGCUAAUGAUUCGUUAACAACUAACGCUAGUAUACACUUGAGGGAAAAAAGUUGAGUGAUUAAUUAAAUAAUCAUUCAUGCAGUCCAUGAAAGACAACAUAUAUAUUUUACUUGCAAUUGACCUUGGAAUGAAGUAUUUAUGAUUAACAGAUUUUUUUAUUUGUUAAAGGAAAAUAUGUUGGUGGACAUUGUCAUGUUGACGAAGAGGAAUAAAACCUAACUGUAUAGCCUUUUAGGAAAGUUUUAGGUUGAUCUAUAUGAUUCAAAUAAAGUUAAUUAAUUUGAUAUAUGCAUUACCUAUUUGUAUUAUAUAACAAAUAACCACAAGACAAUUGGACAAGCACAAAGAAUUCUUAUAUCUAAACGUCGUUCUAUGAAGGGACAAUUUGUCAUAGUGGAGAUAAUCAUCUGCCUUUUACAGCUAAAAAUGGUAGCUUGCUCCAUCAAUGCCUAUAUGGUCAUGAAAAAAGGUAUCAAAUAGGCGGGUUGGAAUGAAAUUAGGCAAAUUAAAAUAGGUUGAGUUAAUAAAUGGACAGGGCUAAAAUCAAUUCAAAAGUUAUUUAGGCUGAAAUGAGUUUGAAUGAUAUGAAAAUUGGUUGGCUUCACCUUAGCUCCACCCUAUGCUUAGGCCCACACUUCCCCUACCAUCCAUCAAGGUUCAAGCAUUCAGAACUGAACAACAACCCGACCACACGUGAUCCAACUUCACCAGAAUCAAACCCGAGACUCGACUACAAUCAAGACCCAACCCAUACCUUGAAUUCAUGGACCAUACCCCGACCCAACCUUUACUCGAGAAUUGAUACUAAAACCUUGACCACACACUCGAGAUCGAAACCAAACCCUGAAUCGGGACUUAAAACUCAACCUUGACCCAACAGUUGAGAUUUGAGACCAAGUAUCAGAGACUCGGGAUAGCCAAGCCAAAAUCCCCAGUCUUGACUUAGGACCAGGCCCCAUAUUAGGGAUAUCAGGCCUUGACCAAUCUCGAGCCUUAUCAUUUGACCAUGAUAUGGAAAACAAGACUUGUGGCCAAACUCUGGCCUGGGGCCCUAGUUAAGACACUCUGACUCAAGACUCGACAUUGACUUGAGUCAUAACCUUGACCAAGACCAACCCUGAUUUGAGACCUGAGACCUGAACCUUAAUUAGGACCUAAACAUAACUUAGGACCCUAUCCCUAACCGAGACUUGAACAUGACCAAAGACUUGAGACCAUGACUCGAUUUCGACCUGAGACCUGACCUUACCUAGGAAUCGACCCUUACCUGGCAGUAUAAUGUAUUUAUUUAAAUUGAUACUUCAGAACUACUUUUCAAGGGUGAAACUAGUAAAACAUUUGUUUUAGGCCCCCUAAAUUUUGAGGUUCCAAAAACAUUUUAAUAGUGACUUUUAUAAUUUUGAUUUCACUUAAAACAAUAUUAAAGAUUAUAAAAACAUUAAAAGUACAAAAAUUUAAAUAAAAAGGAAAGAAAGAAAACUAUCUAUUUUUUUCAUAAAUACUUUAAAACUUUAAAUUAAACAACUCAAAUGUUCAUAUUAAUAAAUAAAAAUUUUACAACAACAUUCAAGGUAAUGCAUUUCAAAUAAGUGAUUAAUAUCUUAUUGGCUAGAAUAUCUUUACUUUUAUAAAUAAUAAUAUUUCUAUGUGAAGUUAAAUGUUUUAUAUUUUAUAAAAAUACUACACUAAAAGCAAUAAGAACCAAAUAAAUCCUAAAUUACAAUUAUUUUUAUGUGUAUGUGUAUAUAUUUUAGGCCUCUUAUUAAAAUUAGAUUUUAGGCCACUAAUUUUAUUGAGGUUCCCCUACUACUUCCACCGUCCAAUUUAAAAUGUAAUUGGUUGUAAAUGAGUCUUUAAGAUGAAUUUAAAGUUAGAAUCGUUUAUUGGAUUGACAUGAAACAUAGCUUGUGGCUAAAAGAUAUCAUCAAAUAUUGAGACUCGAUUUUGUUGAUACAUUUAGUCUAAGCCGACAUCCAACAAUUUUUGUUAUCUUGGGCAACAUAUCAUUGAUUUUUUCAUGGAAACAUAGAUGAGAGGGUAUACAUCUCAUCCAAAUCAUAUGAAUCAUUUUUCUUACUUAAAAUUUUCUUUAUAUAGUCUCUAAGAUGUUCAACAUGGAAUAAAUUUUUAACUGUUAUAUUUUUUUUUCUAAGCUUUGUGCAUGGGAUUCAAAAUUGGUUGUUCUUUGUUCUGUGAUUACCUAAAUCGGGGCCCUUUCCAUGACGAUCACCCCAAGUCAACCAAGGCCUAAAAUGACUCCUUAGCCUUACAUCAUAAGCGUAGUCAAAUAAAAGUUGCGGAAACAAGCCCAUAAGACAGGAGUUCAACAUUUAAAUAAAGUAAUAUUCAUAUCUUAAGAACAAACUUCAAAUCAAUUACCCAACACCGUCUACGAAGUCUCUAUCCUUAAAACAUCCACUAAAUCGGAACAUGACUUCGACUAUGUCAAAGAAAAUCAAAGUACGAAAAUAUAGAAUAACUGAAAAAUAUGUAUGCCUUCCGAAUGAUGGAGGGCUCACCAUUUCUCAACAGUUGUCCAGUAGAGGAAACAAACAACCUAACGUUGCACAGAGGCACAAGAAAAGGCCUCCAAACCUACAUUAUGAAAUGAUGUAGCAUUCAGGGAUGGUCAGUACAACAAGUACAGACAUGCGACCUAAUGAAAGAGAUAAAAUAUAUAUUUACCAAAAUCAGUCAUAAAACACAAGCUUGUCAUCCAUAAUAUUAAUAAUAAUAAAUUAAAUAAUGGGGAUGACAAAUAUAAAGACAUGGCCAUUUAAAAUUUAAUCAUGAAGUAUGUAGCUUGCACUGGCCUUUAGUCACCGACAGGCUAUAUGGGUCCAGUUUCCACCCACCGGAGGAGCCACAAUCCAUAUUGGACCCAUGCACCAAAGAUUAGGCUAAAGUCACCAAUAGACAAUAGCCUCUCAAAAGUAUAACUGCGUAAUACUUCACGAAGCAAUCACAUAGUGGUCAUAGACCUCCAAUGUUGACAAACAUAGUUUCAAAUGUUGGUCACCAAGACUAUACUAUCUCGGUGAAGCUACAUAAUUCCCAUUAAAUUCCCAUUAAAAUAUUUUUUCACAUAUCAUUAACUAUGGAGCUUUCCAUUAUGGCAUUCCUAAAUGGGUAUCAUCACACCAAGACUUGCAAGCCAUUCCAAUUAAGUCAUACCAUGUUUAUAAACCAUUUUAGACUCCAAAUUCCAUUUUAAAAAUCCAUAGCCAAUACCCCCAAUGGCAUUUCAAAAGCUUUUUUCCUCUUUUCAUUUAAUGUCAUGCAAUAAUUUAAAGGAUGAAUUAAAAACUAUAAAUUCCUUCUAAGAAAAUUAAAUUAUGAUGCGGGUUGAGGUUCAUGUCGCUAACAUGCAAAACCAUAAAUAUUAUGAAACCUUUUUUAUCACCUACCACCCCUUUUUAAUACCUAACUUUAGUUUAAAAAUCACUGUUUACACAUGAACAACCAUUAGGACAAGAGAAAAUCAACACAAGUAGGCGACAACCAAAAAUCCCUCAACCCUAGUUUUAAAAUAACUGAUAAAAACAUGUGAAUAUUAAGAAAUAACACAAUAUAAUGGUAAUUAAAGUAAGGGAGUGUUCAACAUACCUUUUUGAUGGAAGCAAUUUGAGAAGAACUUAAAUUUUGAAGCCUUGGAAGGUUGAAUUUUGGAGAAGAACCCUUAUUUGGUGUUCUUGAGAAUUUGGGGUAGAGGGAUCGUGUAUUUAGGUUAUGGGAUGAGGAAAAACACAUUAUUAUUUGUAAUAGAAUGAUUUACGAUGUAAAUUACUAGUUUACCCUCUAAAAAUUGAAGGAAAAUGUGAGUUUAAGCAUCUCUAGAACCAUGGGCACGCUACACUCUUAUCGUGAAUUCUCACUGAUUUGCUUGUAAAAAUGCUCAUAAAUUUUUGCUCGGGUAUUAGAUUAAGGCGAAAUUAGUUGUAUUGAAAAGAAAACUCAAAGGGAUUUAAUUUGGUGUAUAUUAGGCCACCUAACUCAUUAUAUUCUAAGAGAAAUUGUCAUUGAAAGUUGACCUAAGUAAACACAUAUACUAAAAUUUUCAGCUUGGAGGUUUUUUUUACUUCAAUUUUAUCCAAAAAUGUUUCCACACUAAAUAAUUGGUCAUCCCAAUUUUUUUUAGAUAAAUAUCAUUGGAUUCGGGUCUAUACUCAUAUGAGAGACAAUACAAAUUCUAGAUAAAAAUAUGGGGUGUUACAUUAUCCCUCUUUGGAAUCAUUUGUCCUCGAAUGAUGGAUAGGAACUUAUUGAUGAUCAAUAAGUACAGAAUAAGGGAGGUAACUUCACAUUAAUAAUCCUCUCUCAACAAAAUGUACAUAGGAAUCAAAAGAGAUCCAUGACAUCACCAAGUUAAUCGUGUAAGUACGAAUCAUGAGAUAACGAGAUUUGACAUAAACAUGAUAUAGGACAUGAGUUUAUGGAACAUGGUCAUUUCAACAUCUGGUAUUAAUUUUCAAAAGAUCAUCUGCCUGAUUUAGAUUGAUACAAGACAUGAUGUAAGAUUUUUGCAGGAUAUAAUAAUAGAAGCAUUCUCAAAAUCCAAUGAUACGUCUAAUAGCCCUUAAAUAUAACAAUACUUCUCAACUAUGAAUUCAGCUACGAAUACCACCCUUCACUAUUUCCAAUCUUAUAAUUCCCUCGUGAAACACAUACUACAAGAGCCUGAGUCUAACUGCAUAGUUCUCCUAUAUUAAAUCCUAUCUCGAAGUAAAAGGGUGCUAGCUCAAACUAUGGGACCCUACAGUAUACAUUCCUCCAGAGAUAUUACUCCAACUUAUCACUAUAAUCAAAUAACAUCAUGUCUUAAUCAAGGAUUACUAACCACAUAACACAAUGGUUUGUGUAUCUAUCAAUCAUAAUAUUCUACCCUAUCUUUACUACACCCAUUUUAUGGAUGUCCCGAUCAAAACCAGCUACCUUAAUCAAUUUCACAAAGAUUUUUUUUCCACAUGUACCCUUCCUAACUAUUUCACCUAACAAAAGUUCAUCUCACUCUUCCCGGUUCAUCUAUAAUCUUAGCUCUAGUAGUCACACCAAAAUUUUAUAAUAAAGAACAUCUACUCUCUUAUCUAAAACACAUGCCUCAAUAACCACUAUCAACCUAAAGAAAGAAGAGUAAUUGAGGGACGAGAGUACGCGCUUUGGGAAUAGGAGUGACAUUAUUCAAUUAUAACAUACAUUCAUUGAAUUACUCAAGGUGGGGCUUGUGAUGUAAGAUACGAUCUAAUAGGUAUGAAGGGCUUUAAAAUAUCGAACACGUAGAUCAUAAAUGGAGGAUCAAAGCAUAGAUAUAGGUUGCAUAGAGAACUCGACCCUUAGGCAUUGACAUAAAUUAAAUACAUAAGAUAUUGGUAGAAUAUCCUCUUAAACCGAAGUGGGAGGAAUUUUGCUAGAAUAAGAAUAGAUUUAUCAUGAAUCUUCCUUGAAACUCAUCACCAUGAGAAAAUUAAAGAUCUGCAUCAUCUACUUCUUAUCUCAAAGGUCACUAUCCUAAUCUUGCAAAUAUAUCCCCUUACUAAAUUUGUGAGCACAACACUCAACACCAUUGGGGUAUCACUAUACAUAUUAAUGCUAGACUCACGCUGAUAAACUAUUAUAAGAAAAGUACUAACUUCUUGCUUUGACAUUUCUUCUGAGAAAACUACUCUUAGCUUCCUCUAGCCUCCAAAGUCAUCACCUUAUAACUAAUAUUUUCAUGGACAUACACAUCCAUGCUUCUUACCACAUAAUAAUCUAUUUUCAACCCCUAGUAUACUAGUAUUACACAUCUAACAUCAUAACCUCAUAAUUUAACAAAAAUUUUAAAACUAUACCAAGGGUUCACAUAGUCUAUUUAUAUCUCCCUCAAUUCAGCUCUAAAGAGCACCGUAUAACAACUCCCUAGACUUCUCCAUUCUAAGAAAUUAAAGAAUAUGAACCAGGUACACAUGACACUUAUAACUCAAGACUGAAUACACUUUAUUCUUAUAACUUUAGGUUCUUAUCCACCUAAUGAUUUAGCCACAAUUUCUACUUCAACACUAGAACUCAUGUAUACAUCACAAUUAUCCACUCCAAUAUUUCAUAAGUCAUCAACCUAAGCUCUUUCACACAUUAUAUCAAACAAACUAAUUCACUCCCACAAAUCUCGCAACACAAUUCUUGAGUUACCAUUUUUAUCACCAGAAUCAACAUCUAAAGUUCAAACUUAGUAGAUAGCAUCAAUCAUGUACUACCAACAAAUCAUCACGCAUAGGAAAAUCAAUCCUAAUUUCUUAUUUCACUUAACUAAGGCCUACAAAAACAUCUUUUCUAUAACAUUACUACUAUACCUUAAAAUUACUUCAUACCUUCUCAACUACUAAACUGGCUUACAACUACUGAUAAAAAUCAAGGGACCCCCAGUAUAGUAAAACCACGUAAUAAGUAUAGUCAAUCUUAAUCCUAUAACCUAACCAAUUAUUGUCUAUAGAACAUUUACCUCCCUCACAUUAGAUUCACUUAUCCAUGCAUACAUCCAAACUAUCUUCAAAGUUCUAUGAACAUCAUUGAGUCUCCUUUUCUAAGAUCUCCCCAAGUGAAUGCUAAAUUUAUAAAUUAUUAGCUGACCAAUCUUUCAUUCACAACCUAUGAUUAAUUUUACUACUACAAUAUCUAGUCCUCAUGAGCUCCUUUCUUAUUUCAACUAAAGAUGCAAAUAUUUUAAUUAACCACUCUCUUUUUACCGACUACCAUACGUUUGCUAAUUUUUGUACACUUUAACCAAUACCAUAAGGACAUAACAACCCCAGUACUCACUUUAAGGUUACAUAAAUAAAACUAUCCCUCUUUUACUAAAAAGUUACCUUCACUUUGACUUCUAAACAUAGGAAUUCAUAUCACUAACCUUGGUAUCAUCUCACUCUUUUCAAGUCCUUGUUCCAUUUUAUAAUUUUGAUGACUCAUUCAAAAAAGACCACAUUGUUAUAAAGCUAAUCAUUUUUACUUUUAUAGCCUCGAUAAUGGGACAUAGCCAAGAAAUAAAGAAAGGAAGGAAUUUUUUAAUAAUUUUCAUAUGGACAUCACUAUUGCAUGAUCUAGAGUAUGAAAGAAUGAGAAAUAUUUCUUAAAUACCAUGUAGCCUCAUGAUUAUAAGUGUGCUGUAAAACAUACCCAUAAGGAAGACUCUACUUGACAAGGCUUCAUAGACACCCUAGUACCUUGAACCAUUCUUUUAUACCAAGCAUGUCAUGACCCAAAUCAAAUUCCUAAUAAUGACAGGCACUCUAACUUAACCAAGGCCUGAGAUGACCCCUUAGCCUUACAUCAUAAGCAUAGUCAAACUAAAGUUGCGGAAAUAAACUGUAAUACCCCAGAUUUUGGACUCUAAAAAUCUCUUGACUCUUUCCAUCACUGCUCAAGCUAUGACUAAAGUGACAAGUCAUUAAGACUCCUCAUGAGUCGCAUAGUGCUAAUAUUGCCUAACUAGUAAGGUUGUUUGUUAUUUUUAUCGGGAUCACGAUUAGACUGUUAUGAGUUGUAGUCACUCAAUACGAGUCAUAUAGUGCCAGUCGUAGUUCAACUAGUAAAGUGAUUCAUGGAUUCUGUUAUGGUUAUGACUUGGACCUCGAAAGUUGUAGGGUCAGGUCACGAGUCAUAGAAUGGGACUCAUAACCAUAAAAGUAUGGAUGCCCUAAGUUCCUUCCCAGACUAUGAGUUUUGGUGAUGAUUCAUGACAAGUGACCACAAGUCAUUACGAGAUCCAUAGCGACUAGAGUUAUAUUUCCUGCUCGAUUUUAGUAAGGGCAUUAUGGUUUUUUAGUAAUACCCCAAACUUUUCUAGCUUAAAUUCAUUUCUAAAAUGUUAAGGGAUAGAUUCCAAAAUGAAUAAUAUUUAUUCCAUGUGGAAUUUUUAAGAUUUUGAAUUUUUAUUGUGCGAAAAAUUAAAUAAGCUUUCAUCGAUACCAAAUUCUCCUAAAUCUGACACUCGAAGAAGGAGUUAUGGAAUUUUUAAGUUGACAGUAUGUCAUCUGGACUGUCAGCACAUCGCGGAGCUAAUCAAAUUGCCAGUUGUCAAAUUCCAGUGAGACUCCGUGAUUCCACCGCAUCUUGGAGGAGUCCUAUUUUACAUUUGUCAAUUUCCAGCAAGCCUACGCGAUAGUGGCGCAUCGUGCCAGUGGCUAAAAUGGAACAUCUAUAGGGCACCACGAUAGCUUCACAUCAUGGAGAAAGCCCAGUUCCCACUCGUUCUUUUCCAGUGAGCCACCGUGAUUGUGGCGCGUUAGGGUAGCCAGCCAAAUUGGUAUUUUUGGUCAUUUUUCCAGUUCUUUUUGGGGGUUUAAAGAGGAUAUUUUGGUCAAUUCCCAAGGCCCCAAUCCAUCUUAAACAUAAGAUUAAUCAUAUUUCCAAGUAUUCUUGCUCACUAUUCACUAUUUUGUUCAAAAGCAAAACCCUAGGAACCAAAAGCCCAUUCUCCAAGAAAUCAAAUUCCAUCAUAGAUUCUCCAAGAAAGCUUUAGAUUGAAGAUUCCCAGGACUAAAUAGUCAAUACCUCAUCUUUAAGAACUCAAUUAGGAAUCAAUAUUUCAAGAUUCUUCAUCCAAUCUUCAAUCAAGGUAUGUGGGAUAAUGAAUAAGGACAAUUCUUUCAUCCUUGUGCCUAAAAACUUAUUUUAAUUCCAAUUUUACUGAAUUUUUAUAUGAUUUUCCAUGAAAUUCAAGUUAGGGUUUGCACCCUUUAUUGUUGUUUACAAACAUAUGAGACUUCCAUUGAUUUAGAACUUGAAAUUACAUGACUUUAUUCAUAUUUCUAUGCAUUGUGUAGUAAUUUCUAGAUUUUAUGAUGAAUUGUAAGUGUUUACAUUAUCAAGCAUGAAUUUUUAGAAGUUUUAACAUAAAAUUGAUGCAUGGGUCGUUAAGCACCAAUUUAAGAUUGUUAUUUCAAGAUUAUUUAUGCCAUGAGCACCCUCAGAUAAGAUUAUUCACAGAUUUUGAAAAAGAUUUGAUCUUUUGAUCCUAAGCUAAGAUAAGAAUCCACUUUGUUCAGAUAACUUGAGAUUUAAAUAAAGGAAAGCAUAAUUGGUUUUCUUAUAAACCCUUGUGCUAGUUUUGAAGUAGAUUUCUUAAGAUUUUGAGCAUAAGAUUGGGAGUAGUAUUUAGUACUGAGUUGGGUGUGUUACCAAGGUUUCAUACCCCAGAACUACAUGCCAUUGUAGGUACAGAUUUUUAGAUUAUUCCCACUUCUACGUGGAUGACUCAGAUUAUGAUUACUCAGAUUAAAUUGUUCUAUUCCGAUAGAAGGGGGCUAGUCUGGGACUCUAUGGAUGCUCACAUGGUGUAUGUCGGUUAAAAGAACUUCCCAACAGAUGUCCCCCACUCUUCAACAAUCUAUUUAUUUAAAGAUUUAAGAUACAAGCAUAUGUUUUGGAAAUUAUGAUUUUAAGAUUUUUAGCCCUAAGAUAAGGUAUUUUCCAGAUUUUAUAAAACUAAGUAUAAAGGCUCAUUACUCGGAUUAUGCUUUACAGAAAGAUAAGAGUUACAGAUUUUAGUUUUCAGAUUUUAGACUUAGAAGUGAGUCCUUUCUACACUUAGACAGUAUGAUUUAAAGAAAGAGUAUUAGCACAACUUUUAGAACUAAAUGUUAUGGCUCACUAGAUUUACAAGUAUAAUUUAUUUCUCAUGAUUAUUAUUUUCAGUAUUUCAGAUAUUCCAGCUUAUGUGAGUCAUUUACAUUUAGCAUGCAUAGUUUUACAAAUUAUGAUGAUACUAUGAUGUUUUACUUAUGCAUUUCACCCCCAUAUACUCAUUACAUCCUUAAAGUACUGAUCCACAUAUAUGUCUAUGUGCUACAUUAUCUCAUAAUGUAGGUAUCAACUCAGUUGUAACACGUAUACUAUAUUCAGAUAGUUUGCAGAUUCCAACUAGCAGAUGAGGAGUCCUCCUACUAUAGGGACUUUAGUUAGAUGUUAUUGAUGUACUUUAUUUUCUCAUUCAUAUGUAUUGAUUAGUGAAAGUUAGAGUCGCAUCUCAGCUCUCUAUAGUCAAUAUGGUAGGGGUUUCACAGAUGUCAGUUAGAGUCAGUUAUGUAUUUUUAGUACCUCUUUUAGACUUUACUAAAAUGUAAAAGUUGUAUUGAUAUUGUAUUUUUCCUAGAUUCCAUCCUUAUUAUGUUUCUGCACAGUAAACUCGGUUGAUUUAUGCAUAUCAUUCAGUUGCUUAUGAGUUAUGCCAGUAGAAAGGUUAGCUUGGGAUCACUUGUGGUCCUACUUGUGGUCCUAAGAACCAUGUGACAUCUCGGGAUAGACUUUCGGGGCGUUAUAUUUUUCCUUUUAUCCCAAUACUAUUGCACCACAAAAAACUUUCUCUUAGCAAUAUUUCUACCACUGAACAUAACAUAAAUACUCUCUUUUCUCUCAAAUUCUCAAGUUAAGAACAAAGCUAGAAUUUCUAAAGAUUGAGUACCUAAGGUUCAAAUUGUAGCUCUUUUAAAAAAAUCUUGGUGUUUUCAGGCAUGUAUUUUUUCCCUAAACAUGUAUUUUCAUUAUGGCAUGCAAUGGUUUGAUAUUCACAUGGUUUAAUGGUUGGUUUUGGAAUUUGGGUUGAGGGAUUUGUAUGUUUGUUGUUUAAAUGGUAUUUCCAUGAUUUACAUGCAUUUGUUUAUGCUUUUUUAGUGGAUUUUGAAACCCAUUGAGGUGGAUGGGCAUGGUGGAUGGGAUGGGGGUCGUGGAUUCCCCUAAAUAAAUAGAUUCUGGUAUUGAAAUUGGUAUUGAGAUCAACCCACUUGCAUAAUUACAUUAAUGACUAAAUGAAAUAUAAAUAAUUUUAGAAAGGCCUUAGAGGCCACAGUUUAGUUUUAAAAGGCCUUGGUGGCCAUGGAAUGGUUUUAAAUUAGAACUUUAGAGUUUAUUGGCUAAUUGGUUUGGCAUAAUGGAAUUGGCUUGCAAGCAUAAUCAAUUGGUUUGACAAUAACAAUGAUAAAUGCCUAAAUGGAUGACUCUUUGGUUAAUUGGAUGGUUUAUGUGUAACUAUUUUAAUUCGGCUUAAAGGGGGUUGUAUAGCUCGUCAUGGAAGGUGGAGGUCAAGGGGGGACCAAAACUGGAAACCAUGGUUGCCGACGUGGGGGCCUUGUUGGCCAUGAAAUUGAGGUAUGCGGGAGUUCAUCCAUAGGUCCUCUUUCAUCCAUGGAGCCCAAAACUCAAAUUUCAAGUUUAAAGUCACAAUCUUUACAUGUUCCCAUUAAUUUUGUAUAUAGGUUUUCAUGAAUCUCAAGCUUAUAUCAUGAUUCCAUGAAAUUGUGGGUGAUAUUAAAUCUCACAUGUUUGAAUGGUAUUGUUUUCUAAAUUUAUACCCUAAUUGGUGAUUUUAGAGAUAGAAUCAUGCUAUUACUAUUAUUUUUAACUACUCUCAUGCUUUGACUAAACCAUGAAUUACAAGUGCUUGAUGAAAUGCCUACAAGAAUGAUUUUGAACAAAGGCUUACAUAUCAUGUCCUUAGAGUUUUAGUUUGAUUCCAUGGUGGAUCCUAUAUUCAAGAUAAUUAGAAAUAAUUCCUUAUUUUAAGUUCAUGUUUUCCACAUAUUUGAUCCUUACAUGUUGUGAUGAAAUACCCAUGUCCUAUUUCAAGUGAAUUUCAUGUAAUUUCCCCAAUUCAUGGUGUUGGUUAUGAAACCAUACUAUGCUCCCAUAUUUUUAAGAUAUUCCAAUGUCCAAGUAUUAAUCACCAUGUGUUUGAUAGAAUGCCCAUGUGAAUUGAAUAGGGUAAUCAUGACAUGUUACCAUGUGUUUUCAUCCAUGUACAAGUCAUAACCUCCAAGUGUUUGACAAAAUGUCUAAAGAAAGCAUUGUUGACAAUUGACUACUGUUAUGCUAAUAUGAUCAUGCCAUGCUUUACUUUCAUGCUAUCGAGUCCUGGGGGUAUUUAAUACCCGAUAAUUUAGCUGCUUACCUAGAGCCAGUGUCAGUUACAGAAUAGUCUCAGUCAUGUCAAGAUGAGUAGUAUUCUCAACCAGUUACAGAACUUAGGAAAAAACUCAGUAAACUCAGUAAACUCAGUAUCAGAUCAAUCUAGUUCAGUAUUCAGUUUAGACCUCAGUAGUAUUCAGUAUUUAGUUCAGACCUUAGUAGCAUUUAGUAUUCAGUUUAGACCUCAGUAGCAUUUGGUAUGCAGUAUCGACGUCAAUAAUAUUCAGUAUUCAGUUCAGACUUCUGUAGUAUUAAGUCAGUUAACAGAAUUCAAUAAUAUUUUCAACAGUUAAAGAAACUCAGUGAACUCAGUUCAGCUUUGUUAAAUAGUACGAUUAGUAGCAGUUUAGUCAAGCCUAGUGUGAACUAGGAAAUCAGUUCAGUUUCUAUUCAGUUGAGAGUAGGAUUCAGCACCAAGUAAACCCAAGGAUGGGAACUCACCUGCCAAUAGAGAACGUGAUCCUUAGAAGAAAUCCUGGCAUUCCAAAACUACAUAGCUAGUAUAGAUUAAGACACCAAACCUGCCAGAUGAGGGAUGAUGAGGCGUUUUAAACUGUCAGUUGAGGGUUCCACCAUUCUCAUUAGAGUACCUACCAGAUGAGGGUAGCUUUUUAGUUGCCUUUACCUGUGGCACGGUACUGACACCCUUCCAACUGGGGUUACAGGUUAGACCCUGAUUAGUUUAGAGUGGGGCAUGUCGGUUAGAUAAUUACUUCCCACAGUUCUAAUUUUAAAAUUUGUACAAAACUCAAGUCAGUUCUAAUAAUUUAGGAUUGUUGGAUACAAUCACUCAGCUCAGUACGAAACUCAGCAUAGUUCUAUAUAAAUAGUACUGAUAGAUAUAGUCUCCCAUUUACCAGUAAUAAAGUAUCAGUAAACUCAAAUAUCUGUUAAUCAAUUAUCAGAACUCAGUAUAUAGUCUUAGUUACAGUCUUAGUUACAGUCUCAGUCCAGUCCAAGUCCAGUAAUCAGAUCAGUAACUCAAUUAAGUUUAAAGUUUGCUUGACCAUCACGUACAAUUAUUAGUUAUUCAGUUAUCAGUAUUACAGUACCUUAGUUUAUAGACUAUUUCAGAAUCAUGUUAUGUGCAUGGUCUUGCAUUCUCAAAAAAUACAGUCUUCAAGAAUUCAUGCUAAGUUACCUCAUGUUACUCAGUCAGUCCCUUUCUCAUAUGCAUAAUACUCUACAGUUUCAGUCUAGUUAUUCAGACUAAGUACAGUCCAAUUCCACAAGCCCAGUAUUCAACUUCAGUUAUACUUAUAUCAUUAAAGUAAGUUUUACAAAAACUAAGUGUAGAGAUUCACCAGCUAAUCAGAUCAUGUUUAUUUCUCAUGUUUUAAGAUGUUUUCAACUUUUAAUUUAUUCCAGCUUAUUGGUGAGUCUACUUACACUUAGCAUGCAUGUUUUAUAAUUACGUAUGAAAUCAGUUUUAUUUAUUGCAUUCACCCUGCAUACUUAGUACAUUCUAUAAGUACUGAUCCAUACAUACGUUUGUGUAGCUAUAUUUUCUCAUAAUGUAGGUACCAGUUAUAGCCUACGAAUUCAGAUCAGACAGUUGUAGAUUCCAGCUAGUAGGUGAUGAGUUCUUCUACUUAGGGAACUCCAAACAGUUUUAGUUUAUGUAUAGUUCAUUUACUUUCAAGUGAAUUGAUUAGUGGUAGUUGAAGGCAUGUCCUAACUAUCUAUAGUCAGUAUAGUAGAGGCUUUAUAGAUGUCAGUUAGAGUCAGUUAUAUAAAUUUUAGUUUCAUCCUUCAGAGUUAUUAUAUCGUAAAGCUUCAUCAGUAUUGUAUCUAUUUUAGAUCUUUAGUGUGACUGUUUCCGCAUAGCAGAAUAGUUAUUUAUUAUGUGAUAAUUUAGUUGCUUAACAGUAUGCUAGUUCAUAGGUUAGCUUAGGAUUACUUUUAGUUCCCAGCGCGGUGUGACGUCUCAGGAUAGAUUUUUGGGGCGUUAUAAACUUGGUAUCAGAGCACAGAGUUCAAGUGUCCUAGGGUGUCUAUGAAGCCAUGUCUAGUAGAGUCUUAUGGAAUGGUACAGAGAUAUCUAUACUUUUCUUUGAGAGGCUACAAGGCAUUUAGGAAAUGUUUCCCUCCUUUCAAGUCUCAGAUCGUGCAGUAGAAGUAUUAUCUAAGAAAUUUAUACAGAUCCUCAACUUGCAUAAUUCAUGCUAACUCUGUCUUAGUUUGGAGGAGAUAGAAACAAUAAAGCUUAAGUCCUUACAAAUAGUGUUUCCUCAGUCAGUCCCUAUGGAUAAUUUUGGUAUUGCAUGUUAGCUCAGAAAGUACCCAUCAGUGCCCUUAUGUCCUAAAUUUUGAAAUAUUUCAUUUAUGUUCAUUAAAAUCAUGCAUUAAUCCAAAGUCAAAUAUGCUUUCAAAUUUUUUCUCAGAAUCCCUUUUUUCAGUAUAUGAUCUAGAAUUAGAAUCAUGUGCCCAGAUGUUUAGCAGUAGUAGAGUCGGGAUAGUGUUAUUUAGAUUGAGCAAAUUAUUUAUUCAAGGGUCUAGUUGUACGAAAGGUGAAUCAGUAGGCUUGAAUAGUGUAUGCAAGAAUUUAAGUUUGUUGAAUUGAGAUUAAGUAUAAUGGUGUGGAUGAGUUUAUCAUUAAUGUGUAUUAUUAUACCCUAGAUUUUAGAGUAAGUUAUUGCAGUUCAGUUUAGAGUUUAGUAAAAUGGCCAUAGACUUGAGAUAAUGGCUUAAAGCUAAAGGGAAGAUGAUAGAACAAGUAACCAAGUCAGGCCCUUAUAUUCUAGUAGUAGUGCCAGUGGGUGUAGAAAAGCAGUAAGAAAGGAUGAUUCCCAACAUAUUCUUAUCUUAGUGCAAAGUUUUUCAGCCAUCACAAUAUCUACUUAUGCCUAACAUGUCAUCUCCCUCAUCACAACUCAUAUUUAUGCACUUUAUAGAAAAACCAUGUAUGCUUUCAAUUUCUAGUAAGAGGAGUUCCAGUUCACUCAGCAGUUUAAAUCAUGUUCCAUGAAAUCAUGAACUCCAAACUUAGGUCAUGCAGCUCAUGACUCACGUACUCAUGUUUUACAGUAUGAUCAGAUCCAGAUACUCAUGCUUCACUCAUAAUGAUCAAUGAAAUUUAGUUUAUGUCAUGUGUGUCCUCAGUUUGGACCUCUCUGAUGAAUUCAUGUCAUUGAUACUUUAUUCAUCAGGCCUCAGUUGAGUGUCAAAGUUAUUCCUCUAUGAUUUAGGUCCUCAUAUUCUAACUUUCAGUGACCUCUCCUUAUGUUAUGAUUAGUUGAGAUUUUAUGUGUGUUUUUUGGGGCUAGUGUAUGAAAGUUUUAGGGAUAGAGGUUUAGAGAAAAUGAGAAAGAUGCUUUUGUAGUUGUUUGACUACAAGUUCAUGUGUGGCUAUGAAGAUAGUCUUGAAUGUCAUGUUGGUGUACAAGUGGAAUGUAUAGUUGAGUAUAAGAUAUCAGUAUAAUUCAGUUAGUAUAGCCAGCAAUCCAGUCUAGCAGUCAGACAGACAAGUUUCUAUGGUUUUCCAUCUUUCCUAUUCAUGAGGUAAUUCAUUCAUGACCAUGCAAGUCAUAAAUUUAUUUUAGUUCAUGCAUCAUGCAUCAGUUUCAGAGUCAGAUAUUCAGUCAUGUUUUAGUCUGUAAGUUUUCUGUGCAUCAUCUCAGUCUUUCUUUAGUAUUUCAGCCAAGUUAGUAUUAUUCAGGGGACAAAGUAUCCCAAGGGGAGAUGUAAUACCCUGAGUAUUCAUGUCUUGAAUAUUUUAUAUCUUCCUCAAGAAAAAAGAUCCGUCUUGAAGUAAUGGUUACUCAUCAUUUGACUCUCUCAUUUCUAUCUCAGCCUUAUAAUCAUUCUCAUGUCAGUGCAUGUAUUCACAAAAUUAGUUUAGUUCAUGAUAUUCAGGUCAUAUAUCAUGUUUUAGAAUCAGUUAUGAAAUCAUGUUUUCAGUCAUGCAUGUUCAGAAUAUGAUUUCAGUUACCUUCGUAUAGUACUCUUAGUCUAACCAGUCUCAUUCGAUGAUGAAUAUUCCCAAAGGGGAGAUAAUGUAAUACCCCACAUUUUUGGGCUAGUCUAUGAACCAUCGUUCUUACGUGUAUAAGCUAUAGUCCAAGUUAUUCCCAUGUGAAUAUAAGUUCAUGAACUUUAUCCUAGUGUGUGAAGUUCUCUUGUUCAUAGGAAUCACUUAGAGCCAAGUUGAGGUAAGAUCAAUUGAUUCGUCCAAAAUUUGAUAUUCAAUUCUACAAGUGCCUACUUUAGACGUGUAUAAUUUUUUUAUAUACAUGUAAUUUUACAUAUCAAGACCCACCAAACUUUAUAUUCCAACGAUACCAAUUUCUCCAAAAUUCGAUAACCGAGUAAAAAGUUAUGGCAUUUUUUGUGUGAGGCAGUAAGCCGAUGGAAUCUCAACGCAUCGUGUCGAUUGUACCCCGACACGAAAAAUUGACAUGUAUCCAAUGCUAUUUUCAUGCUAAUUUAUUUCCUAAAAGGUCUAGGGAGAUUUUGUCCCUUUCCCCUCAACCCCAAACAUCCAAUGGAUGAUUUAUAACACUCCAAAGGGCAUUAUUUGCCUACUUUUCAUCAUCAAAACUCACGUAAACCCUCCACUUUUUCAACCAUGCACAAAGUUCAACUUUCUCUCAAGAACACAAAUAUUUAAGUUUUGAAUUCAAUAUUUCUUCAAGAAUACAAGGGUUAAAGUUUCCUAGUUCAAUAAACCUUCAAGAAAAAACAAGAAUGAUGUUUCUUGCACAAGUUUAUCAUUCAAGAAUCCUAGAUUCAAGAUUUCUUCGUAAUUCAAGAAAAAUUGAGGUAUGUGGGAGUUCAUCCAUGGGUCCUCUUUCACCCAUGGAGCCCAAAACUCAAAUUUCAAGUUUAAAGUCACAAUCUUUACAUGAUCCCAUGAAUUCUGUUUAUAAGUUUUCAUGAAUCUCAAGCUUAGAAAAUGUUUUCAUGAAAUUGUGGGUGAUAUUAAACCUCACAUGGUUGAAUGGUAUUGUUUUCUAAAUUUAUACCCUAAUUGGUGAUUUUAGAGAUGUAAUCAUGCUAUUACUACUAUUUUAACUACUCCCAUGCUUAGCCUAAACCAUGAAUUACAAGUGUUUGAUGAAAUGCCUGCAAGAAUGAUUUUGAACAGAGGCUUACAUAUCAUGUCCUUAUAGUUUUAGUUUGAUUCCAUAGUGGAUCCUAUAUUCAAGAUAAUUAGAAAUAAUUCCUUAUUUUAUGUUCAUGUUUUCUAUAUGUUUGAUCCGUACAUGUUGUGAUGAAAUGCCCAUGUCCUAUUUCAAGUAAAUUUCAUGUAAUUUUCCUAAUUCACGGUGUUGGUUAUGAAACCAUGCUAUGCUCCCAUGUUUCUAAGAUUUUCCCAUGUCUAAGUAUUAAUCUCCAUUUACUUUAUAGAAUGCCCAUAUGAAUUGACUAGUGUAAUCAUGACAUGUUACCGUGUGUUCUCAUCCAUGUACAAGUUCAUAACCUCCAAGUGUUUGACAAAAUGUCUAAAUAAAAGCAUUGUUGACAAUUGACUAUUGUUAUGCUAUUAUAAUUAUGCCAUACAUUAAUUUCAUGCUAUUGAGUCCUGGGGGUAUUUAAUACCCGGUAAUUUGUUGCUUACCUAGAGCCAGUGCCAGUUACAGAACAGUUUCAGUCAUGUCACGAUCAGUAGUAUUCUUAGUCAGUUAUAGAACUCAAUAGAACUCAGCCAGAAACUCAGUAAACUCAGUAUUAGUCCAGUUCAGUAUUCAGUUUAGACCUCAGUAGUAUUCAAUAUUCAGUUCAGACCUUAGUAGAAUUAAGUAUUUAGUUCAGUCCUCAGUAGCACUUAGUAUGCAGUUCAUACCUCAGUAAUAUUUAGUAUUCAGUUUAUACCUUUGUAAUAUUGGGUUAGUUAAUAGAAUUCAAUAAUAUUUUUGCCAGUUAAUGAAACUUAGUGAACUCAGUUCAGCUCAGUUAAACAGUACGAUAGUAAUAGUUCAGUCAUUCCUAGUGUGAACUAGGAAAUCAGUUCAGUGUCUAUUCAGUUGGGAGUAGGAUUUUGUACCGAGUGAACCCAAGAAUGGAGACUCAACUGCUAAUAGAGGGUGCAAUUCUUAGAAGAAAUUAUUGCAUUCCAAAACUAUGUAUCCAGUAUAGGUUGAGACAUCACACCUGCCAGAUGAGGGUUGAUGAGGUCUUUUAGCCUAUCAAUUGAGGGUUCCACCAUUCUCAUUAGAGUACCUACUAGAUAAGGGUAUCUCUUUAGUUGUCUUUACCUAUGGAAUGGUACUAACACCCUUCUAACUGCGGUUACAGGUUGGACCCUAAUCAGUUCAGAGAGGGGUAUGUCAGUUAGAUGAUUACUUCCCAUAGUUUCAGUUUCAAACUCAGUACAGAACUUAGUUCAAUUCUGCAGAUUCAGGAAUGUCAGAUAUAGUCACUAAGCUUAGUAUGGAACUCAGCAUAUUUCUAUAGAAAUAGAACUAUCAGAUAUAGUCUCUCAUUUAUCAGUAAUAUAGUAUUAGUUAGUAAACUCAGAUAUCAGUUAAUUAGUUAUCAGAACUCAGUAUAUAGUCUCAAUUAUAGUAUUAGUUACAGUCUUAGUCCCAGACCCAGUCCGGCAAUCAGAUCAGUAACUCAGUUAAGUUUCAAGUUUUCUUGACCAUUGCAUACAAUUAUCAGUUAUUUAGUUAUCAGUAUUACUAUACCUCAGUUUACAGACUAUUUUAGAAUCAUGUUAUGCGCUUGUUCUUGCAUUCUUAGAUAAUAUAGUCUUGACGAAUUCAUGCUUAGUUACCUUAUGUUAUUUAGUUAGUCCCUUUCUCAUAUGCAUAAUACUCUAUAGUUUUAGUCUAGUUAUUCAAGCUAAGUACAGUUUAAUUCCGUAUGCCCAGUCUUUAGCUUCAGUUAUACUUAUAUCAUUAAAGUAAGUUUUGCAGAAACUAAGUGUAGAGAUUCACCAGCUUAUUUUUAGCUUUCAGUUUAUUCCAGCUUAUUGUUGAGUCUACUUUCACUUAGCAUGCAUGUUUUACAAAAAUGUAUGAAAUUAGUUUCACCUAUUGUAUUCACCCCUUCAUACUCAGUACAUUCCAGAAGCACUAAUCCAUAUAUACGCCUGUAUGGCUAUAUUUCCUCAUAAUAUAGGUAUCAAUUAUAGCCUACGCAUCCCGAUCAGAUAGUUGCAGAUUCUAGCCAAUAGGUGAUGAGUUAUCCUACUUCGACAGUUUUUGUUCAUGUACAUUUCAUUUAAUUUCAUGUGUAUUGAUUUGUCUUAGUUGGAGGCAUGUCCCAACUAUCUAUAUUCAGUAUAGUAGAGGCUUCAUAGAUGUCAUUCAGAGUCAGUUAUGUAAUUUUCAGUUUCAUUCUUUAGAUUUAUGAGAUUGUAAAGCUUCAUCAGUAUUGUAUCUAUUUUAGAUCUUUGGUAUGACUAUGUUUCAAUACAACAGAAUAGUUAUUUAUUAUGUGAUAAUUCAGUUGCUUAACAAUAUGCUAGUUCAUGGGUUAGCUUGGGAUCACUUGUGGUUCCAAGCAUCAUGUGACGUCUUAGGAUAGAUUUUUUGGGAGUUACAUUUUUUCUGGUCCUGUUGGUACUAUUGUGAGUUCUUCUGAGGUUACUAGGGUUGGCCAAUUCAUUAGGUUGAAUUCUCCAACCUUUACUGGCUCUAAGGUUGAGAAGAAUCUUUAAGGGUUUAUAACGAGAUGGAGAAAAUCUUUAGGGUGAUGAAUUCUACUAAUUUUGAGGGUGUGGUGUUUGUCACAUAUUAGUUGAUGAAUAUGGCUUAUGAGUGGUAUAGAGAAUAAAAAUAGUUGAGGGGUGAUGAUGCUAAGCCAAUAUUAUGGGAUAAGUUCUUUGAUGCUUUUCUUGAUCGUUUCUUUCCUCAAGAGUUGAGGGAAGCGAAGGUAGAGGAGUUUGUAAAUCUAAAAUAGGAUAAGAUGACUGUGAAGGAGUAUGAUUUGAAAUUCCAUCAAUUGUCUUGAUAUGCUCCAGAGUUGGUGUCUAGUAUGAAGGCUAGAAUGCGGAAGUUUGCAUUUGGCUUAUCUUAUGAUUUGGUUUUAGAGUGUAAGGUUGUUAUUUUGAAUAGCAAUAUGGACAUCUCUAGACUGGUGGUUUAUAUGAAAUAAGUGGAGAAUGAAAAAAUGAAAUUGAUGGAGAUAGGAGAAAGGCAGAAUAAAAAGUUUAGGUGUUCAGAAUAGGUGCAGGUCAGCAGAAUAGUAGGAUGGAUGGUAGUCAAUGGACUAAGAAAAAAAUUGGGGGAUUUCUAAUUCAUAUUUUUUAGCUAGUGCUCUAUAUCCUAAUAUUUCUUGUAAUUAUCAUUUUAUAAUAAUAAUGGUCCUAAGGCACAGGAUGCCCAAUCUUAGGCUAGUGAAGCUUAGUCAGCCCUACGUUUCCUCUUUGUCGAUAUUUUGGGCAGUUGCAUUAUGGUUAUUAUGAUGAAUGAAGGAACUGUAGAGGAAUUAUCUCACGACUAAGGUAGCUACUGGAGCUAAUAAGGUUUAGGUUGCCACUUCAUCAUCCCCUACACCAAAGGGUUCUACUUCUAGUAUCGAUACUAGACAAAAUCAUCUGUACGCUCUUACCACCAGUUAGGAAUCUAACACAUCUCUUGAUGUUGUCACUGGUACAUUAAAGAUCUUCUCUUAUAAUGUGUAUUGUUUGACUAAUUCGGGGUCUAUCCUUUUUUUGUGACCCUUUAUAUAGAUGUGCAUUUUGGUUAUAGUACUAAAACUAUUUUUGAGUCCCCCUCUAUGCCUACCCCAGUGGGUGAUUUUAUUAUGUCUAAGAAGGUCUAGAGGGGUUGUGUGGUAUCUAUCUUUUAUAAGGAGACACUGAUAGAUUUGAUAGAGUUGGAAAUGGUGGAUUUGGAUAUUAUCUUGAGGAUGGAUUAGCUCCAAUCGUACUAUGCUUCUAUGGAUUGUAGGACCCUUAAGGUUAGCUUCAAAUUUCUGAAUGAAUUGGUAAUAGAAUAGGAGGAAAUAUUCUUGGUACCUAAAGAGAGGUUUAUUUCCUAUCUUAGAGCCUGGAAGUUGAUUUCCAAGGGGUGUCUUUAUCAUUUCGUUUGGGUUAAAGAUUUUAAUUCCGAGGUUCUUUCUUUGCAAUCUGUCCCUUUAGUUAAUAAAUUUCCUGAGGUCUUUCCUCAUGAUCUUCCUGGCAUUUUUUCCAACAGGGAGAUAAAUUUUGAGAUUGAUCUUCUACAGAAUACCCAUCCUAUUUCCAUUUCUCCUUAUAAAAUGGCUCCGACAGAGUUAAAGAGCAAUUAAAAGAUCUUCUUGAUAAGAGUUUCAUAUUUCCUAGCAUUUUUUCUUGGGGUUCUCCGAUGCUUUUUGCAUGAAAUAAAGAUGGGUCUCUCCAGAUGUGUAUAGAUUAUCAUUAGUUGAAUAAAGUUACAAUGAAGAACAAGUAUCCUCUUCCUAGGAUUGAUGAUCUCUUUGACCAGCUUUAGGGUGCUAGACAUUUCUCUAAGAUUAAUCUCCAUAUGGGUUAUCAUCAGUUGAUAAUUAGGGAGGUGGAUAUUCCCAAGACUGCUUUCUAUACUUGGUAUAGUCACUAUGAUUUUUUUUGUUUUGUAAUUUACGUUAACUAAUGCUCCAGCCGCUUUUAUAGAUCUCAUGAAUUAGGUGUUAAGGCAGUUUUUAGAUCUAUUUAUGAUAGUAUUUAUUGAUGACAUCUUCGUAUUCUAAGAGUAAGAAGGAUCAUGUCAAUCACCUCUAGAUUGCAUUACAGACUCUUAAGGAUCAGCGGUUGUAUGCAAAGUUUUCUAAAUAUGAGUUUUGGUUGAAUGUAGUGACCUUUCUAGGACAUAUUAAUUCUAGUAGGGGAACAAGGUGGAUCCACAGAAGGUUGAGGCGGUUAAUAAGUUUCCUAGACCUACGACUCCAGCCAAUAUUUAUAGCUUCUUAGCUUGGUUGGGUAUUAUAGGACUUUUAUGGAGAGUUUUUCUUCUAUUGCUUCUCCAUUGAUGAAUUUGAUCCAUAAAAAAGUUAAGUUCUUAUGGCCCGAUGCUUGUGAGGGUAGUUUUGAGAAGUUGAAGGAUAAGUUAAUUUUUGAGUCAAUUUUGACCCUACCUGAGGGUACUGACGGUUUUGUAGUGUAUUGUGAUGCGUCUCGUAUGAGGAUGGGUUAUGUGUAAAUGCAGCAUAGUAAGAUUGGGGCCUAUGCUUCUAGACAGCUUAAGGUUUAUUAAAGGAAUCAUCUAACUUUUGAUUUAGAGCUGGAAGUUGUGGUUUUUUCUUUAAAGAUUUUGUGCCAUUAUUUGUAUGAAUUGCAUGUGGAUAUCUUUUUAGAUCAUAAAUCUUGCAAUAUGUGUUUACCCAUAAGGAGUUACAUCUCAGGAAGAAGCGGUGGCUCGAGUUGCUUAAGGACUAUCACAUGAGUCUUUAUUAUCACCCAAGUAAACCUAAUGUGGUUGUUAAUGCUCUUAGGAGGUUGUCUAUGGGAAGCUUAUCUCGUAUGGAUGAGGAGAAGUGAGGAUUGGUGAAGGAUAUUCAUCGAUUGUUUAACUUGGGAGUUUAUCUUUUGAACCCAUAGGAUCGGGAGAGUGAUUAUUUAAGAAGUGGUUAAAUCAUAUCUUGGUGCUAAGAUAAAGGAGAAAUAGGCUUUAGACCCUAUUCUUAUACAGCUUAAAGAUGAUGUGGGCCAACAAAAGUUUAUUUCCUUUGAGAUUGGUGGUGAUGGUAUCUUGAGGUACCAAUGAAGAGUGAGAUUGGUGGUGAUGGUAUCUUGAGGUAACAAGGAAGAGUGUGUAUUCCAAUCAUAGAUGGACUAUGGAAAAGGGUUUUGAUUGAGGCUCAUAAGUCUAGAUAUACAGUUCAUCCGAGUUCGACGAAGACGUAUCAUAAUUUGAAAGAGAUCUAUUAAUGGAAUAAUAUGAAGAGGGAUGUGCCAAAUUUUGUUGCUAAGUAUAUGGUUUGCCAGCAAGUUAAGACUAAACACUUGAGGCCUAGUGGUAUGUCUUAAGAGUUAGAGUUGCCCAUAUGGAAGUGGGAGAUGAUCAACAAAGAUUUUUUAUCGGACUUAUGCGGUCUCGCAACUAGUAUGAUUCGAUUUAGGUCAUCAUGGAUAGGAUGACUAAGUCUACUAACUUUAUACCUAUGAGGGCUACCUACUCUGGAAAGGAUUAUGCUAAGUUAUUUAUUCAGGAGAUAGUCAGAUUACAUGAUGUGCAAGUGUCAAUUAUUUCAGACCAAGGUAAGCAAUUUUAUUCUCACUUUUGGCAUUCAUUUCAGAAAGUUUGGGUACGCAAGUGAACCAGAGCACUACUUUCCACCCUCAAAUGGAUGGACAAGAAGAAAGGACUAUUCAGACUUUUAUAGAUACGCUAAGGGCAUAUGUGAUGGAUUUUAAGAAAAGUUGGGUGGAUUAUUUGCCUUUUAUCGAUUUUGCAUACAAUAACAGUUAUUGCUCGAGUAUUUAGAUGGCUUUUUUGAGGCUCUCUAUGGUAGGAGUUGUAGGUCUCAAAUUGGGUGGUUUGAGGUUAGUGAGACUAGAUUGUUUGGUUUUGACUUGGCUCACUAAGCCAUGGAGAAGGUGAAGGAAAUUUUGGAAAGACUUAAGACUGCUCAGAGUCACCAAAAGUCCUAUACAAAUGUAAGGCAAGGGGAGUUGGAGUUUGUUAUUAAUGAUUGGGUAUUCUUGAAGGUAUCUCUUAUGAAAGAAGUCAUGAGUUUUGGGUAGAAGGGGAAUACCAAUCCCCGUUAUAUUGGUACGUAUUGGAUUUUGAGGAGAGUUGGUAAUGUUGUAUAUGAGUUGGAUUUUCCCAAAAGUUUAUCUUAAAUUCAUCUGAUAUUCCAUGUGUCAAUGUUGAAGAAGUGUGUGGGUGAUCCUUCUUUGAUUAUUCUUGUGGAAUGUAUAGGUAUUUUGGAUUCCUGAUCUUAUGAAGAAGUCCCGAUUGAGAUUUUGGAUAGGCAAAUUUGUAGAUUGAGAACUAAGUAUGUGGCUACGGUGAUAAUUCUUUUGUGGAAUCAAAAUGUAAAGGAAGCUACUUGGGAAGCAAAGGAUGAUAUGAAGUCUAAGUACCCAUUUUUGUUCCUAGGGUUGGAUGAUCGCGCUUAAAGUAUGUGUUUCUCUUAUUUUUAUCACUUUUCAAGUUUAUCUUUGGGUUGUGGUUAUAUUUUUCUUGUAUUUAUUCCAAUGAUGCCCUAACUCCUCAUUAAUGACCCUGGGGAAUAGGGUAAUGCAAUACCACAAGUUUUGGACUUUAAAAAUUUCUUGACUCUUGCCAUCAGUGCUAGGCUACGACUAAGGUGACGAGUCAUGAAGACCCCUCACGAGUCACAUUAUGCCAAUCGUUGCCUAACUAGUAAAGUUGUCUGGUGUUUCUUUUGGAAUUAUAAUUAGUCCCUCAUGAGUCAUAGAGACUCAUCCCGAUUCUAUAGUGCCAUACGUAGUUCAACCAUUAAGUUUAUCCAUGGUUUCUAUUGUGGUUACAACUUGGAACCCAUGAGUCGUAAGGUAGGACUCAUGACCAUAAGGAUGUCCCAAGUUUUUUCCCAGACUAUGAGUCAUGGUGACGACUUAUUACCAGUGACCACGAGUCAUUAUGAGACCCGUAGCAAUUGGGAGUUAUAUUUCCUACCCAAUUUUAGUUAGGUCAUUAUGGUGUUUUUCUCUUAUCCCAUUACUAUUCCAUGACAUAAAUUAUUCCCUUAGCCUCAUUUCCUCCAACGAACAUAACAUACACACUUUUUUCUCUCUUUAAUUCUUAAGUCAAGAACAAAGCUAGGUUUUCUAAGGAUUGAGAACCUAGGGUUUAAAUUGUGGUUCUUCUCCAAAAUUCGUGGUGUUUUCAAACACAUAUCUCUUCCCUUAGUUUGUAUUGUCAUUAUGUCAUGAAAUGGUUUGAUAUUCACAUGGUUUAAUGGUUGGUUUUGGAAUUUAGGUUAAGGUCUUUGGAUAGUUGUUUUUAAAAUGGUAUCACAUGGUUUACAUGCAUUUGUUUAUUCUUUAUUGAUGGAUUUUAAAACCCAUUGGGGUGCAUGGGCAUGGUGGAUGGGAUGGGGGUCAUGGAUUCCCCUAAAUAAAUGGAUUUUGGUAUUGGAAUUGGUAUUAACCUCAACCCACUUGCAUAAUUAGUUUUUAAAUAUGAAUAACCAUAUGGCUUCCCCUACUUUUUUUUAAACUAAUGCAUCGCAUUAAUGGCUAAAUGGAAUAUAAAUGAUUUUGGAAAGUCCUUCGUGGCCACAGUUUGGUUUUAUAUGAUUUUAAAAGGCCUUGGUGUCCAUGUAAUGGUUUUAAAUUGGAACUUUGGAGUCUAAUUGGCUUAUUUGUUUGGCAUAAUCGAAUUGGCUUACAAGCAUAAUUAAUUGUAUGAUGAUACCAAUGUUUAACGCCUAAAUGGAUGACUCCUUGAUUAAUUGGAUGGGUUAUGUGCAAAUGUUUUAAUUGGGAUUAAAGGGGUUUAUGUAGCUCGUCGUGCGGCUACACGUACUAGGGCCCUUUCAUCAAGGGCAGCUAAACAUAUAUAGCUCAUGGGUGACCUUAGGACGGUUAGAGCUACACAGUCCAGGUUAUUAGUUUUAAAUCUGAUGCUUAAACCCUAUACCCUUCUCGGCAUCUUAUAUAUAUGUGUGUGUGUGUGUGUUUGUAUGUAUAUGAACAUGUACAUGGAGUUUUGGAUUGAUGUUGAAAUGACAUUAUUUUAUCCCUUUCAUAAGUUACAUGAUAGCGUUCAUCUCACUAACUGUCCUAGGAUGCUACAUCCUUUCAUGAUGUAGGGUUUGAAGACACUUCUUUUACCCCUAUGUAGUGUUAGGUGGAUUAGAACAUCUAUUGACUUGUUGCAAAGUGGUAUGCCUUCAUCCUCCAAAAGGCCUUAUCAUUUCCUUGUUAUUUCAUUAUUAAUUUAGUACUUAUGGGUUCUUUUGGCCAUGGUCGGAGGCAUGUCUCGACCUAUUUGGUAUUCAUGUUUUGUUAGAGGCUUUAGUGGACAGAGUGUGGGAAUGGUUAAUGUAUUGGCUCAUUUCCUUUGAUAUAUUUAUUCAUUAUGCUAUUGUGUUUUGGUUAUUUUUCGCUGUUAUUUUGAAUAUGCUCUACUGGGCAGGCCAUGGGGAUGGUCUCCGAUCCUUAAUGGACUUGUGAUACCUAUCAUGACAAGGACCCUAUUGGGGUCGUGACACAAACCCAUACAAAAAGAAGUUUAACAUUUAAAUAUUCAUAUCUUAAGAACAAAAUCAAAAUCAAUUACCCAACCCCGUCUACAAAGUCUCUAUACUUAAAAUAUCCACUAAGUCAGGACAUGACCCCGACUAUGCCAAAGAAUAUCAAAAGUACUAAAAUGAUAAAUAACUAAAAGUAUGUAAUGUACAUCAAAGUGACGCUACUUCAAGAAGGCCUAGAAGUCAAUCUAAGUACCUUCAACUAUUUCUAUCUUUAUGGAUGAAGAUGGAAUCUUUGGAAGGUUCCAAAAUGGAUGACUUGAAAAUAUCUAAUAUUCUAAGUGUCUACAAUUUUAAUUAGCUUGUAAUUUAAGUGAAGAAAAAUUUGGUCUUUGUUUACUUCUUUUAACUCUUAGUAGAAAUUGUUAGCUAUUAGGGUUGAACCACUAGUUUUGAAGAUUGGAUAUUUGUUCCUCCUUUGAGAGCUUGAUCACCCUUUGUUGAUUUUUAUUAUUUUCCUACAAUUUUCAAGUAAGGUUACUACCUUCUUGAGGAUUCUAAUAGAUUAGGUGUUUUUAGUUCCCAAUUGAGUGAUGUUUCGGUUAGUUUUAAAAUUACAUCUUUAAUUUCUUGGAUCUAACUGUGUCUAUCUUUUUAUUAAUUUUUAUCUUACUUCUAUUUUCUUGUUUCAUAUCUAAUUGGUAUAAGAGCUUGAAUUAUAUUUGUUUUCACAAAUCUAAGUCAUGGGGUUUUUGUAUUUUCAAAAAGAAUCUUUAAAAAAUUAAAUUUGAUUGAAUGUUGUUUGAUAUUAUUCCUUGAGUUACAUGUUGUUGUUUCCUUGUUGAAAAAAUUGAAUCAAAGAAUACAUCGCUCAAAAAAUUGAAAAUCAUGUUGAAGAAGAAACCUUAAAAUGGGUUUCGUUGAUUUAGUGUUUGGUUGAAGAAUUGUUGAUUAGAGGUUGUUGAUAGGGUUGUGGGAAAGUUAUAUCUCAAAUUUGAGAUCAUUUUCUUGGGUAUUGAAGAAGAUGAAUUUGAGAACUACAAAAUAGUCCAAAUCUUUCAAACUUAUUUUCUUUUCUUUUCUUGUUAAUUCUAGCUAGUUUACUUUGAGUACUAAUUCAUACUUAAAUUUAAACAAUUUUGUGUGUGUUUAAUUUAUUCGUGUUAAAUUUUUUGUGCUUUUUUCUUUCAUUUCAUUUUAUGCUUACUUAUUUCCUUAUUUGUUAGUUUUAAUUGUCCCUUCUUGAUUACAUAAACUCCACUCUAUCCUGAAGAAGUAGUACCACAUGUGGAUUAUUUAACGAUGUUGACUCUCAACCUUGGGUUAUUCAAGACUGGUAACAAGAAAGACUAAGGUGAGUUCAUUUGAGGGUAGACUUAAAAGCCUUCGGCCUUAGAGUGAUACACGAGUGCGGGUGACAAAAAUAGAGAAACAUAAUGUUAGUGAGUGGUGAGGAACUCUCUCUACUAACUUUUUAUUCAUUUUGUAGGUACAAUGACUCAAUUAGAGGGAGAAUCCUCUAGUAAAAUGACAACUUUGCUUCAAAAUCUAUUGGAAGAAAUGAAGGAAAAUUAGAAGAUUGAUGUGUGAGCAAAUGCUAACACAUUUUAUGUUUUUAGCCAUGAAUAAUUGUGAAGUCUUAAGCAACUUUUUUCGUAUUUGAUUGGUUUUACUUUAAUUUUGCAGUAAAAGAUAAGUUGUAGGGGAACCAAUAAUAAUUGAAGCAAAAAGGUUGAAUUCUGAAGCAAAUAAAGGACAGGUGUAGCUGACGACAUUCAUGAUAAGUCGUCAUCCUGGUGAUAAGCUAUCAAGGCCACCAUCUUGAAGAGAAGUUGUGAUGACAUUUUGUGAUAAGGCGUCAGAGUUGUGAUAAGGCAUCAGGAUCAUCGUCAACCUUAGGCAGAAAUUAUAAAAAUGAAAGAGGAGCUGACGACAUCUAUUAUACGUCGUCAGACUCCUGACACAUCGUCAUUCACAUCGUCAGCCUUAGGCGAAGCUUGUCAACAUUGAAGAAAAUCUGACGCCAUUCCUGAUAAGGCAUUAGACCCUUGAUAAGGCGUCACCUAAUGGCGUCACCUGUCUGAGAAAUUUACUUAAGUUGUUAUUUAUUUCCUUAAUUAGACUCAAGUAUAAAUAGGAGCUUUUAGGGUUUUCUAAUUAUCAUUUACAUAGCUUGCAAUAUAUGUGUGCACGAUUUUUGUCUCUCUCUCGAGUUCCAAUACACUCUAGAACAUUAUUGUUGAGAGAAGAUUGUCAUCAAUAUUUUGGGAGUUUUGUAUUAAGAUUUAGUUUAAGUUACACUUCUUGAUUUUCAUCAUCAUUGUAAGUUAAUCUGCCCAACUAUGAAUUCAACUUGUGUACUUGUUUAUUGCAUCAUGAGUGGCUAAACUCCAUUAACCUGAAUUAUAGGAUCUAGGGUUAGGUCUUGAUAAGGUGCUAAGUAUUCAAGAUUUCAUAGGUGGUAGGAUUUCUUGAUAAUUCUGAAGCUUUAAUUAACGUAUGUUGGUUGCAAACAGUAGACACACCUGCUUUGAUUUUCUUGAGAAGAAAUCAAAUGGAGUAGGAAGUGAAUUAUCAACAAAGACUCGAAAAUACUUCGUUUCAUAAUCAACACUGUAACAAGGUUGGUUAACCUAAGGUAAAAUCUGGGCAAUGAAUAGAAAUUCCCUAAGUCCGAGAGAAUUAGGAAAUUAAAUGCUUAAGUAGGUCGAGAGACAUUUGAUCAUAACAUCGAUAAAGAUAGCUUGUUAUCCUACCCACCAUGAGAAUCUUGAAUCACCUUUGGCAUCUGUCAUGUACCGUAAGCCCUAGUGAACAUAAUUCUGGUUAUUUCAUUAACUCUUGAUUACAAAUAUCGAAAUUAAAGUAAUAAACAAUUAUUCGUGAAACUUAAAUCCCCCAUUAGAGGAAACAUUAAACUAUUAGUGAAUUAAAUCGCAAAUAACUUGGGUACACACCUUAUUCCCUAUGGGAUUCGACCCCAACCUAGUUGGGUUUUAUAUUGACAAUGAUCGUUUACACCCAUUCAAGAGUGUAAUUUGAGCGUUAUCAAAAAUGGCACCAUUUUCGGGGAAUACGGUUGUAAACUGAAAGUUUGUGUGCGCUAAUUGACUAUUAGUUAAGUUUUUGUAGAUUUAAAUUUAUUUGUUGUUUUGUUUAUUUGAGGGAUUUUAUAGUGUAUGUAAAGCACCAAAAGUUCUGGAGAAACAUUAUUACCAAUUAAUCCGGAACCGCAACUAAUCGGGAGAAUGGCAGAACAGCAAGAGGCUGACAGACUGGCAGCCUUGGCAAGGGCUCAAGUGAACAUACAUAAUAAGAGUCAACAAGUACGUCAUCCAAACCAUGGUAAUGAAGACUUGGGUGAUGAGGAAUUGUUGAAUCCUCAAAACCCAAGGCGACCAGAGCAAAUUGCUGCACCACCACAAUGAAAUUUCAAUAGAAACCAUCCAAUCAGAGGAAGGUAUAGUCAACAUCCUAUCCAAUACGAGGUUGAUGAUGAUGAAGGAAUGGACGUAGCAGGUGCAAUGGGUGCGAUAAUUCCUCCACCGUUGCACCUGGUGCAAAAUUUAGCAUAAUAUGUACAAUGAUUCAACUCCUGAAUCUGAAGGGAUUAUUUGGUGGCCUACCUGGUGAUGAUCCGAACAUGCACUUGGUGAACUUUAUCACCAUCUGUAAAUCUUUUGAUAAUCGUAGAGUGAGCCAGAAUGUGAUCCGGUUGAGAUUGUUUCCAUUGUCUCUGUCUGGAGAGGCAACAAUAUGGUUAAAUGAGCUUACACCUGAUUCUAUCACCCACUGGAGGGAGUUGAAAGAAGCAUUCCUAGAACGGUUUUUCCACCCUUCAGGAGGGUACAGUUGAGAGACGAGAUUAACAACUUUAGAUAGCUCCCCACCAAAGCUUUGCAUGAGACAUGAGAGAGGUUUAAAAAGAAGCUGACAUAGUGUCUAAACCAUAAUAUAAUGGACCUACACUUUAUGGAGACUUUGUAAAGGGCUCUCAACUCUGUAACAAAGCCAAUUGUAGAUAAUGCUACUAGUGGUUCAUUUGUUGAUCUGUCUUUUCAAGAUGCCUUAGAUAUGCUGAAUAGGAUGACCAAACAGAGUCGGGCUUGGCAUACUAGGGAUUCUGUGGUAGCUAGCCCAACUAUAUUUGUUGGUAUGACUGCGGAGAAGUGCAGAAGAGAUGAGGAGCGUGACCAAGACAUGGCCCACUUAAAGACAUAGAUGGACUUGCUAGCCAAGAACUUGCUGUCAGGAAAUACUGAAAAGGUCAAAGCAGUGGAAUCUUAGUGCACUAUGGCUACUAAUGCAGACGAGGAGGCAAACUAUGUGAGUAAUCAGGGGGUUUUCGAGAUCAAGGUCGGAACUUUUAUGACAAGCCUGAUUAUAAAGAUAGGGAGCAAGAAAACUAGAGAAGCAAUAAUAAUAGGAGUGGUUUAUAUAUUUCUCCUAGAAAUCAGGAAGCUGCUCCAACUAGCUCUGGCAAGAUGUCCAUGGAGGACAUGAUAGAAAAAUUAUUGAUGGGAGAUGAGGCUACCAACUCGGGGGUAACUACUAUGAAGAGUGAAUUCUCUACCCUAAGUCAGUUGGUUAGUUCACACUCUACUUAUAUCAAGUAGUUAGAGCAGCAUAUGAGUCAACUUUCCGAAACACUGAACCAGAGAAAAAGUGUUACUUUACCUAGUGAUACGAUUCAGAAUCUACGGAAUGAUGGCUCAUGUAUGCCGAUUACCACUAGGAGUGGAAAGAUGUUACUUGGCCCAUCUAUCACCAAAUCUAUAGAUGGUGAAGUAGUUGUUGAGAAAUCCGAAGAAAGCAGUCCAGUGGAGUCUGAGAAGCUGGAUAGUUCUGUUGAUGCUUCAAAUAAGGUAAAAGAGAAGGAAGAGGAAGUGGUGUUGAAAACUAUUCCAAGACCACCACCUCCCUUUCCUCAACGAUUGAAAAAAAAAGUUGAUGAUGCAAAAUUCAGCAAAUUCAUAGCAAUGCUCAAGCAACUGACAAUAAAUGUGCCUAUAGUUGAAGCACUUGAGCAAAUGCCAGGAUACGCAAAGUUCAUGAAAGGCUUUGUAACCAAGAAAUGGAAGGUUAUCCAUGAGCCAGAGGACAAUCUUAUCCAUUGUGGUGCUAUAUCUAUAAGGUCCUUAGUGCAGAAAAAGGCAGAUCCCGGAGCAUUUACCAUCCCGUGUACUAUUGGUUCCCUGAAGUUCAAAAAAGCACUAUGCGAUCUGGGAGCCAGUAUAAAUCUAAUGCCACUAGUUGUGUACAAGAAAUUGGGCUUGGGGGAUCCUAGUAAUGGCAGAUAGGUCUGUGACGUGGCCUGUGGGUAUACUACAUGAUGUUUUGGUAAAGGUAGCCGAUUUUAUUUUGCUUGCUAAUUUUGUGGUCUUAGAUUGAGAUAUGGAUUUUAAAUGCCCAUCAUCUUAGGUAGGCCAUUACUUGCAACUCGGAGAGUGCUAGUAGACAUGGAGUUGAACAAGCUAAAGUUCAGGUUCAAUGACAAAGAAGCACGUUUCAAAAUACACUCAUCCAUGAUUCAGCAAAAAGAGAUGAGUUUUUUCUCAAUCGUUGACAUCUUCUAUGAUGAUGGCAAAGGGGUAUCAACAGGUUGUCUUGGCAAAGUCUGAGUAGUCAAGAUAACUAAUUCGUGCUGCAAAAGUAAAUCAGGCACUACUCGGAGGCAACCCAAAGUUUUUAUGUUUAAGCAAGUGUUUUUACUUUUAUAACUAGGAUUUAGUACAGAGAAAGUGAAAAAUAAGGAGGUCAGCUGAAAGGUGAUGACAACAUCUUGAUAAGCCAUCAUAACUAUGAUAAGGUAUUAAAAAUGUCGUCAGAUAGGCCAAACUUGAGGCAGUUUCUAUUAAGGCUAACGACAUCAGUGAUAAGCUAUCACACUUGUGAUAAUCCAUCACAAGAUGUCAUCAAGAAGACCUUGAACGCAUUGCUAAACCAUUUUGGACCCAGUUCAGAAAAUUCAACCCGGCCCACAAUCGAACCUCCUCAUGUUCCUGCCUAUGUUAUUUUCUUUCCUUCUUUAGUUUAUUUCUUUAUUUACUUAGUUUAUUUACUUACUUCUUCCAACUAAUUUCCCUAAGUUAAUCAAGAAGAACAAGCUCCCUUGUGUGUGGGUUUGAAAUUCAAACUCAAGAAUUUCUUUCUAUUUCCUCUUGUGCAUGUAAUCAUAUUAAGGGCUCCCAUCAGGUAUGCUCUAAAUUUAACUCUUCUUUAAUUGUGGUAAGUGAUAUAUGGAUGAAAACCCAAGUUCUCAAGAGGCUUGAACCAAAUUCAACUUGAAAAGGGGCUAAAAAUUGCACUUAGGGUUUGUUAUGCAGGCCCAAGGUUUAAAAGUCAGCUCACAAAUUGGAACUCAAGUGGAUUGUGAGGAAUAAUGGGACCAAAAUAUUAAGUUAAAGUCAAAAGUGGGGUUUUGAUAAGAGCUGAUGAUAUUUUGGAUAAGCUAUCACAAUCGUGACAGCUUAUCAGGAAUGUCGUCAAAGGCUGCUAAGAGUGAAGUGGAUUCUAUUUAGAGCUGACAAUAUUCAUGACAUGCUAUCACAAUUGUGACGGUUUAUCAAAAAUAUCAGCAGAAGUUAAUAAAGAUUCGUAGGUUUUGUCUGAGGUUGUCGACAUUUAUGAUAAGCUAUCACAGUCGUGAUGUCUUAUCAAGAAUUGUAUUCAUACUUGGAACCUGAAGCAAGAAUGAGCCUUCUCAAAGGAUGUAAAGCUUAAAUGAUUAAUGUGUUUGUGUUUAUGCUCUUAAGGAUUGACUAAUUUUUCUAUUGCUACAGGAACCUUAUAAUGGCACCCAAAGGAAAGAUUCCUUAGCUUACCAAGAAGGAACAAUAGAAAAUUAUACGCCAGAAACUCAUCGAUGAGAAGUCUGAUUAUGAAGAGGAAAAACCUCUACUUUAGAAGCGAAAGAAGAAGCAAAGACCUUGAAAACCUCCACUACCCCCACCAAUUGAGGUGGAGGAUAGUUAGGACACUGAAAUAAUAGCAGCUUCUAAGUAGGAGGUAUCUGAAUAUUAUGAACAUGAGCAGCAUGAAUCUGAACAUGCUAAAUCUAAAGAAGAGGAGCAAGAAGGGUCUGAGGAGUUUGAGCCUAAGGGAACAGUAUCCGGAUCCCCGUCCACUGAACAAUAAGAGGAUGAAUAGUCCAGCUCGAGGAACACUUAUCAAAUGUAAGAACCCUGAAGUUUGAGACAAUGCUAGAUGGCAAAUUCCUAAAGCAGAUGGCAUCUUCACUGCUGGGCUUCGCAGCACUGAUAGAAGAAGAGCUAAAAGGCUAAUUCAGGAAGAAAAAUGGAUUAUCACCCAAGGGUUGAGUAGGUACCCUGAAGUGGAACAGAAGUUCCAAGAGUACGGCUUGGGAUGGACCACAAAAAGAGGAGGCUCAUUUUGCCCUGCACUGGUCUGAGAGUUUUACGCAAACUACCAAGCUCAGUUAGAAAACAUAUGUAGACCAGGAAAAAGAGCUGCAAACCAGCCCCUGGUGAAUAUAGUUCAGGUAAGGGGUGUAAAGGUUGAUGUCUCAAUCAAGACCAUUUACAUAUUCUUGCAUGGACCCAACUUCACUCCUUAUUCCACUGCACCAUUAGUCUAUGCUCAGAUUAAGAAUCAAUCAAAACAACGUCCGUGGUUGGCCAACAUCAUAGCUGAAGGAGAACCAGCAUGGGUGACCAACCCAAAUGAGAGAAUCUGUAAGUCCUCUUUGACUCAAGAGGCAAAGUUUUUGUGGGGUAUAGUGCAUAUCUGGUUGAUGCCCACUGAUGCAGACAACAUUCUGGGUGAUGACCGAGCUAUCCUAGUAGCAAGCAUGGUGCAGAAGCUCCCCCUAGAUUUUGAGGAAAUCAUUGCUGAUGAGAUGAAGAUUAAAAUGUCGAGAAUUGACACUGCUUAUCCUUUUCCUUAUCUUAUCACAGAGUUGUGCCGAGCUGCUAAUGUGCCAAAGAUUGUGGGGAUUGAUGAUGAUAUUCCUGCCUGAAAGACCCUCAACCCUAUACGAUAUGAUGAAAAUUAGCCUGACUGAGACUUGGUAGAGAUGCAGGGAUAGCAGCAGACCCUUCAGUUACAGAUGUUGAUUCAGCACCUAAUGUGGAGGUGCAAUAUUCUGAGACUGUGUACCUAACUUCUUCAGCACAUGCAGGAUUAGUGCCUGAGAAUGAAACCAACCCUUCAGCUCCUACAACAGCAGCAGGAUUUGCAGUUCAUCUAAUUGAUAUCAAAAAGUGGCUAUACAACCAAAUGGUGUAAGGCACAGCUACAUGCCUUUGCCAAAUAGUUUGCUGCUACAGUAGACAAUAGAAUCAAGGCUUCCCUUGAGCCUUUUGUGAUAUUCCCUGAACGGGUUAUAGAUUUGGAGAUCAGAUUUGAUGCACAGGCAAAAGAAAUAUUAGGGGCUAAUCUUGCUAGAUUCAGAGCGACAUUGGACAAGGUAAAGGCAAAUGUUGGGUAUUGUAGCAGCAUCAAUUUAUGGUGCCGACAGGUCCAUCUGUGGAUGAAUCUGAGGAAGAAAUUCUAAUACUUGACAUCACAGGAGAUUCACCAAAGAAAAAAAGAGAGAGAGAGGAAGGGCUAAAAUAAUAGAGAAGAAUCGGACAGCAAGAAAGAAAAAAGAGUGAAAAAGAUAGCAGAGAAAAAAGACAAAAAGAGGAAUUGAAGAAAGCAAUAAUGGAGUCCCUAGCAAACAAAGCAAAAUGGGAGACAGCCAUCCGAGCUAGGGAUGCAGGUGGCUCAUCUAGCAAGGCUCUAACCACUGCAAGGCUAGGUGCUCCCGAUGGAAAAAAAUAGCAGAUGAUGCAGCAGCAGGGUCAGAGACCCAUAAGCCUCACGCUUGAUUUACUCCAGGUAUUCCCUAAACCCUGAGUUUAUUUUAUUUUCAAUUUUAAGUUGAGGGUGUAGAGCAGAAUGUUGUUGUAAAAAUUUGUGGUAGAUAAUUAGGAGUAAUAUGGGUAUUUGAGGCAGUUAUCUUAUUUUGUGAUUUUUGAGCACCUCUCUAUUGGUCUGAUAUAUUACUGUGUGAAUUGCAUCCAUUUGUGAUCACGGUGUAUCUUUUUGUGGCAUUAGUCUAUCACUGAAUAACCUUUGUUAAACAAGAGCAUGAAAUAAAUAAGUACUGAUAUGUGAGAUACUUGUGUGCCAUGUGUGUGCAAGGUCUUACUCAGUUCAUUGUGUGUUGAAUCUAGAACUUACCCUAUUAGUCUUGCCAUGUUCAUAGGAUAGGAGUUAGGAAAAGACCAUAGGCCAUUUUUUAUUUUAGCCCAAAUGACCUUCCCUAUGUGCAUAAUAUCUCUUGAUCCCAGUUUUGAGCCUAAUUAGCCUAUUUCUUUCUACGACACCUCUCACCUUCCCAUUUAUAUCACAAUGAACCUAUUUUGGCCCUGGACCUCCUUGGAUACUGUGCACCUUGACUUUGAAAAACAACCUAAGUUGAGGGUGGCUAUCAUAGGGGUGCGUAAUGCAAAAUGAGUAUAAAGAGGAAGAAUAAAAGAAAAGAAUAAAAAGUUGGGUGGGAUAAAAAAGGAAUAAGAAAAGAGAAAGCUGAGUAAAAGAUGAUAAAAAAUAAUAUGAUAAUUGAAAAGGUUGCAUCCAUCUUGAGCAUAUGUGAUUAAUAAAAAAGAGGAAUAAAAGAAGGUUGGGAGUUGAAACCCCAAGAGUUUAGUGUAGUUUCAAGGAGGCAUAGUCACUCUAAAAUAUCCAUGAAUAUCAUACCAGCCUCUGACCUAUGUUACAAGCUUAAGAAAAGCCCUAUAGUGAUCCUAACUGACCUGUCUGAAGACUUGGGCACCAACUAUAAGGGCAAGUCUAUGGAAUUUGACAUGCAAUGUUUGGAACUUCAUUCUGAGAGUGAGUUUUGUGAUUAUACCUAUGUUAUGUAUGUGAAUUCUGAUAUGAGUGAAAAGGGGAUUUCUUUGUUGCGAGGGCACAUUGGGUAUGUUGCUAGUCACUGACUUGUUCGGAAAGUGUAAUCUGGGUAUAUGUGUGUUGCUAUUGCUAAAUUUUUGCCAUAUCUUGAUCCUUGUGAGUUGCAUGGUUGUUUGUAAUAAUAAACACAAUUGCUUUUAAUUUGACUAACCAUGGAGAUAGUCAAUAUGUUUUGAGCUUAAGUGAAUAACUGAUUGCUGAAAGUUCUUUGUAUCAUCUUGGGUGUGUUUAGUUUCUUGAGGACAAGCAAUUGUUCUAAGUUGGGGGUGUUGAUGUGUGAGUAAAUGCUAAUAAAUUUUAUGCUUUUAGCCAUGAAUAAUUGUGAAGUCUUAAGCAACUUUUGUCGUAUUUGAUUGGUUUUACUUUAAUUUAGCAGUAAAAGAUAAGGUACAGGAGAACCAAUAAUAAUGAAAUCAAAAAGGAUGAAUUCUGAAGCAAAUAAACGACAAGUGUGGCUGAUGACAUUCAUGAUAAGUCAUUAGUAUGGUGAUAAGCUAUCAAGGCCACCGCCAGACUUAACCAAAGAAUGGGAGUUGAAGAGCAGUUGUGACGAUAUUUUGUUACAAGGCAUCAGAGUUGUGAUAAGGCAUCAGGAUCAUCGUCAGCCUUAGGCAGAAAUUAUAAAAAGGAAAGAGGAGUUGACGACAUCCAUGAUACGUCGUCAGACUCCUGACACGUCGUCAUUCACAUCGUCAGCCUUAGGUGGAUCUUAUCAACAUUGAAGGAAAUCUGACGUCAUUUGUGAUAAGGCGUCAGACCCUUGAUAAGGCGUCACCUAAUGGCAUCACCUGUCCGAGAAAUUUACUUAAGUUGUUAUUUUAUUUCCUUAAUUAGACUUAAGUAUAAAUAGGAGUUUUUAGGGUUUUCUAAUUAUCAUUGACAUAUCUUUCAAUAUACGUGUGCAUGACUUUUCUCUCUCUCUCUCUCAAGUUCCAAUACGUUCUAGAUCAUUAUUGUUGAGAGAAGAUUAUUGUCAAUAUUUUGGGAGUUUUGUAUUAAGAUUUAGUUCAAGUUACAAUUCUUGAUUUUCAUCAUCGUUGUAAGUUAAUCUGCCCAACUAUGAAUUAAACUUCUGUACUUGUUUAUUGCAUCAUGAGUGGCUAAACUCUAUUAACCUGAAUUAUGGGAUCUAGGGCUAGGUCUUGAUAAGGUGCUAAGUAUUCAAGAUUCAAUAGGUGGUAGGAUUUCUUGAUAAUUCUGUAGCUUUAAUUAACGUCUUUUGGUUGCAAAUAGUAGACACACCUUCUUUGAUUUGCUUGAGAAAUAAAUCAAAUAUAGUAGGAAGUGAAUUAUCAAUAGGGACUCGAAAAUACUUCACUUUAUAAUCAGCACUGUAACAAAGUUGGUUAACUUGAGGUACAAUCUGGCAAAUGAAUAGAAAUUCCCUAAGUCCGAGAGGAUUAGGAAACUAAACGCUUAAGUAGGUCGAGAGACAUUUGAGUAUAACAUCGAUAAAGAUAACUUGUUAUCCUACCCACCAUGAGAAUCUUGAAUCACCUUUAGCAUCUGUAAUGUACCGUAAGCCCUAGUGAACAUAAUUCUUGUUAUUUCAUAAACUCUUGAUUACAAACAUCAAAAUUAAAGUGACAAAAAAUUAUUUGUGAAACUUAAACCCCCCAUUUUAGGAAAUAUUAAACUAUCAGUGAGUUAAAUUGUAAACAACUUAGGUUCACACCUUAUUCCCUGUGGAAUUCGACCCCAACCUAGUUGGAUUUUAUAUAUCCAACGAUCGCUUACACCCAUUCAAGAGUGUAAUUUGAGCAUUAUCAAAGAUGUAGAUAAAAAGGUGAGAAAUCAAGAAAUCACAAAGCAACCACUUGAGGUUUUCAAUCCCAUCGGUCAACAUAAUGAGGGAUCAAGUAAGACACCUGUUGAUACAACUCCAUCCCACAUGGUAGUGCAAGAUACCCUCCUCCUAAUGCUACUCUAUCAAAAGUUUACAAUCAAGAAACACUUCCAAAAUGGGUGGGGGGGGGGUCUAUAAAUAAAUCUUUCAUCCUAAACCAAUAGAACUCGAAUGAGAGCCCUACAUAACCUUGAAGGACAUAAUUAUUUAAUGGUGAUAAUUAUACUUAUGGAAUCAAUGAUCAAGUUGAGAAGAGAGGUCAGGUGAUAUAGGAAAAAUAUUAAGGAAUGGAGGGUGGUCUCCAAUUGAUGGUAGAGAAUACAAUAUAAGGAAUGAUGCUGAAGAUCAGGUAUUCAACAACAUCAAGGUUACCCUUCUAUUUUUCAAAUAAAUUAGUGACUCAAAUGAACAUCUUGAUUGGAUUGUGAAACUUAAAAGGCAAUAUAAUCUCAAAAAUGUUAGUGAUGUUAAAAGGGUGAAUUAUGGUAUAAGUCCUUUUUAGGGUUUUUCUUCAACUUGAUGGGAGAAAAUUGAAAGAGAUACUUUGGUAAAUAGAGACUUUAUUACAAGUUGGAAUGACAUAAAAGGGCAUAUGAGAGAGGUUUGUGGGUCAAGAUUAUUAGCAAAAUACACUAAAGAAGUAUUACAAUCUUCAACGAGAAAAUAAUAGUGGGGAUGAGUAUUAUGAAGAGCUAUAGCAUACUAGGCUUGAGAUAAGUCAAUGAUGAAGAGGUGAAAUUCUGGUAAGAUUUACCUUGGGCUUAAAUAAGGAGGUAAGGAAACCAUUGCAAGUUCAUCAUCUAUCUACUUUAUAUAAACUUAUAAAAUGGCACUCAAGGUGGAGGGUUAUCAAAAUAAAAAUAGAUCAAAGAUGCAAUCUUCAUCUUCUUCAUGGGCUAAAAACAAGAAAGUUUGAAAAUUAUCUUCCACUUGGAAUAAAUCCAAAGGUGCAAAGCAAGAAGUGAAAUCCAACUUGGACAAAGGCACAUCAAAGAUGGACUACAAGGAUAGACGUAACAAAGCUAAACUUUAAAAUCCAUCUAAAGUAAAAUGUUUUAAAUGUCAAGAAUUGUCAUAAAUCAAAUGAGUGUCCUAAUAGAAGAACUAGCAUUGCAUUGAAUGAUGGUGAUUAUCAAAUCAAAGAUGAAUCUAAAGAUGACCACGUGGAGGAUGAUAGUAGUAAUAAGUUUAUGAGAGAAGGUGAUGGAGAAUAAAUUAAUAAUGGUGGAAAACUUGUUCUUGUUGUGAGGAUAAGUAUGAGUGCUCUAGAAAAUGAGUAUGAGUGCUCUAGAAAAUGAGGAUGUUGAUUAAAGGGAGAACAUGCUUCAUAAUUGGUGUAGAGUUCUAGAGGAAUUACAUUUCUCUUUCAUUCAUAGUGGAAGUUCUGUCAAUGUUGAUAGUGUAUCUAUGGUAGAACAAUUAAAACUUCCAAUGUGAAGGCAUCCAAAACCUUAUAGAUUGUAAUAGCUCAAUGAAUGUGGUAAACUCAAGGUGACCAAGAGAGUUUUGAAAAAUUCAAGGUUGAAAGUUUUCAUGAAGAAGUGCUUUGUGAUGUUGUACCAAUGCACGCUUCUCGUUUAUUAUUUGAGAGGCCAUGGGAAUAUGAUGUAGGGCCUAGACAUACUGGAAGGUCAAAUAAAUGUGAAUUUUUUAAGAUGGUAAAAAGAAUAUUCUAAACCCAUUUUCUCUUUUUCAAGUAAGUGAGAAAUAUAGGAAAAUGGGAGAGUUAAAAGAAAAACCUAAGAGAGAAAAUAAAGAGAGAAGUAAGGGAGCGAAAAAUGAUAACCCAAGAGAAGAAAAAGGAGAGGUUGUGAGCUCAUGUAAGAAUGACUUAUCCCCCAAAAAAAAGAGGUGAGAAAAAAAGUCAAAAAAGAGAGAAAAUGUGCAUGAUUUUGAAAAAUCAAGAGAGCAUGAAAGAACAUUAAGGAUACCAUUCAAGUCAUAUUUAUUAAACCCAAAGGUUAUUAUUUUAUUUCUAAAAGUGAACUAACCUAUUUAUCUUUUCCAAGUGUUGUUUCUUCUUUGUUGCAAUAUUAUGAAGAUCUAUUUCUUGAAGAAAUUUCCAAGUGGGUAGCCUCCUUUGAGAGGAAUAGAACAUGAAAUUGACUUUUUACUAGGUUCUCAGAUACCCAACAAAGUGGCUUAUAGGAGUGACCCUCAAGAUACCAAAGAAUUACAAAGACAAGUAGAGGAACUUGGGAAUGAAGGUUUGGUGAGAGAAAGUUUAAGUUCAUGUGUGGUGACUGUAAUUCUAGUACCCAAGAAAGAUGGGACAUGGAGGAUGUGUGUAGAUUUCUAUGUCAUUAAUAAAAUUAUGGUAAAAAUAUCAAUAUCCCAUUGCUAAACUUGAUGGUAUGCUAGAUGAAUUAUGUGGUUCUCUCUAAAACUAAUUUGAGAAGCAGAUACCAUCAAAUCCAAAUAAAAUUUGGUGUUAGAAAACCACUUUCAAAAGUAUGUUUGGAUUAUAGGAGUGAAUAGUGAUGCCUUUUAGGCUAACAAUGCACCAAGAACUUUAAUACUAUUAAUGAACCAUAUGCUUAAGCCAUUUAUUAAUAAUUUGUUCUGGUUUAUUUUGAUGAUAUUCUGGUUUAUAGAAAGUGUUUGGAUGAUCGUGUGCAACAUUUGAGAAUGAUAUUUGAUGUGUUGAGAAAUGAAAAGUCGUUUGUGAAUUUUAAAAAGUGUUCUUUUUGUUUCUGUGUUUUUUUUUCUUGGAUUUAUUAUAAUUUCAAAAGGAUUUGUGGUGGAUGAUAACAAAUAGAGGCUAUUAGAAGUUGGCCAACUCCUAAGUCCAUUAGUGAUGUUAGAAGCUUCCAUAGAUUGACAAGUUUUUGUAGGAGAUUCGUAAAGGAUUUUAGUUUUUUUGCCACCCCUCUAACCGAGUUCAUUAUGAAGGAUAAGCCUUUUAUUUGGGGUAGAAAAUAAGAGGAAGACUUUGGAAUCUUUAAGGAGAAACUUAGUUCCACAUCAUUACUUCAAUUUCCCAAAUUUGAGAAGAUGUUUGAAAUUGAGUGUGAAUCUAGUGGAGUAGCCAUUGGUGUAGUCUUGAUAAGUUCAUAUCUCAUUUGAAAUUAAGAGGAGAUCCAUUGCAAUAUUCUACCUAUGACAAGGAACUCUAUACCCUAGUAAGAGCUUUAGCAAUAUUAUUUGUGCAUAAGGAGUUUGUGUUUAGAACCGAUCAUGAGGCUUUGAAGAAAAUUAGGGUCAAAAAUAAGCUUUAAGAGACAUUCCAAGUGGAUAGAGUUCAUUGAGUUUUUUCCAUAUGUGAUAAAUCAUGAGCAAGAUAAAGAAAAUAUCGAAUGCUUUAUCUAAAAGAUAUGCAUUGAUGAAUACCUUGACUUCUAAGUUGAUGGGUUUUGAGAGUUUGAAAGAGUUAUAUUCUAAUGAUGAUGAUUUUGGGAAAGUCUUUGGAGAGUGUCAAGUACGCUUGAAUUGUUAGAAUUUUUGCCCUUAUUUUCUUAUCAAGUUUAAAUUUUACUUUUCAUAGAAGGAAAAUAAAGUAAUACAAUAAUUACUUUACUUUUCCUAAAAGGAAAAUAUAAAACUUUUCUAUAUUUGGCUAACCUCUUCUAAGAGGAAAAGUUUUGGAACUCUAUAAAUAGAUGACCCUCCCUUCUCAUACAACAACACAAUAGUAUCCACAAUGUAGUCGUUAAAAGAGUCAGGUUUAGGGGGAAAUUUCUCCCAUAGGUUUAUGUUUUUUAAUAUUAGUUUUAUAUGUAGGACAAUUGGACAAAUAAUAUAGUAAUAUUAAGUUUUUAGUAUUAUUUUAUGAGUCUUUUGAAUUGUCACCACAAUGAUUUGCAACUAAAAGCUUCCGAAUGACGCCCUCUUAAUUUCGAACCCAACAAGUGGUACCUGAGCCUACGGUUCAAAGAACCAGUGAUUUAGUAAAAUGAGGUUGACAACAAGUCCAAGGCGGUUUUAAUCAAUUGGGUGAUAAUGAAGAUUUUUGUCCAACUACAUGUGGCGAACAAGUUUCAACCAUAUUCUCAACAUUCCUGUUGCUGCAUCUUUAAAAUAAAAAUAAAAUAUGAAUUUUAACUUCAUUUUUUAUUAUGAUAUUUUAAACUUUAUUUUUAACCAUGUCAAGUAGCAGUUAUGAAGAUUAUAUCAAGAACGAAGUUCAUGCAUGUGAUGUAAAGAAAGAGGAUCAAGUGAAGAAAAUCAAGCCAAAAAGGGGAGAUUUGUUAGGGUUUUUGCCCUGAUUUUUGGUAAUGCCCCAUAUUUCCCUAACAUAAUCUAAGUCCCAAUAAGUGAGUAUUCAUAUAUAAAAUUUUUGAAAUACUCAUUAUUUUUCAGUUUAGAGCCUGGCAUUGUAUAGGAAAUUCAAUUAACUUUCCAACGAUAUAAAAUUUGCCCAAAUCCGAUAACCGGAUAAGAAUUUAUGGCGAUUUUAAGUUUCAAUUUGUAGACCCCGUCAUUUUAACCCUUAGCGCAUUGUGAAGCUAGUCUAAGUGAUGAUUGGCAAUUUCCAGUGGGGGUGCGCGAUCUUGGCGCGUCGCACUAAAGGCCAAAUUGGCAUUUGGUAGUUUCCCAUGUCUCUCUGCGAUUCCACCGCGUUGCAGUGAACUUUCAAGUCCCAAUCAAUGAAGGACCACGAUUUUUCCCACAUCAUGCCACAGACCAGUUUCCCAGUUGCCCAAUUCUAGUGGAUUGGCACAAUAGUGGCGCGUCGCGCCAAGGACAAAAAUCAGGAUCUUCAGUUUUUAGCUUCCAUUUUUAAAUUUGUUCAGGGGUAUUUGGGUCUUUUUCCACGGUCCUAAUUAACAUAAAACAUGAAAUUUAACCCCUAAACACCCUAAGUAGUCAUUAUUAUUUCAGUUCCUCUCACAAUCAAAAAUCCCCAUUUCAAGAACAAGAAACCCUAGCUUUUAAAUUCAAGGUCAAUCCAGAACUUCAAGAAAUUCACUAUCCUAGGUAUGUUAGAUGUUCAUUCAUGGAUUCCUUUCGUCCAUGGAGUCCAAGUAACCUAUUUAAUUUAAAAGUUUUGAUCUUUUCAAGUUAUUAUAUUUUAAAUUAUGAUUUCAUCCAUGAACCUCCAUGUACUAUUAAUUUUAUAUCAUGUUACCAUGAGAUUAUUGAUAUCAUUCAAUCUUUAAUGUUUUUAUAUUAUUAUUUAUUGAAUUAAACCAUGAUUUAGAUCUAUUAUGUUGAAUUCAUGCUAUUCCAUAAGUUCCAUGACACUCCUAUGAAUGUUUUAACCAUGAACUACAAGUGUUUGAUAAAAUGCCUACAAGAGUGAUUUAUUUAAUAAAAGCCUUCAUGUUUUGAUCUUUAAGCUUUAGUGUCAUUUUACUAUUAUUGUUUCAAGUCCUGGGGGUAUUGAAUACCCGAAACCCAUAGUUGUUUAUGUAUUCUAGAAUCAGUACAUUACAUAAUAGUCUUCAGAACAUACUAUGAGCAUUAUCAGAACAGUCAGUUACCAGUCAGAUGAACUCCGAAUAGUCUAGUAUUUCAGUAUCUUUCAGUUGGGAGUAGGAUUUAGUACCGAGCGCGUAUAGGGGUGGCAUCUUCCCUGUCAUAUAGGAAGAGUCGUUAGUAGCAGUCCCUAUACUCCAGAACUAUGUAUCUAGUGUAGGAUAUGAGAAGUUAUCCAUCAUAUUAGGCUUGACUAUCUCGCAGGGGUCACCCAUCAGUCCUGGCUUAACACCCGUAGUCCUUUGGAUAUUAUAUCAGUUUAGUGGUUUAACACAGCCAUCGUUAGUACCCGUGGUACGGUAGUAACACCCUUCCAACUGGGGUUAUAGGUUGGACCCCGAUUAGCUCAAAUUGGGGAAUGUCGGUUAGAUGAUACCUCCAACAGUCUAAGAUAUAGUCUUAGUUACAAUACCAGCUCAGUAAUACAGUCUUGGUGUUGUUUGACCAAAGCAUACAAAUUUUAGUUAUUUUAGUAUUUCAGUUUACAGAUUUUACUCAAUUCAUGUUAUAUGCUUGGUCAUGCAUCCUCGGUAUUUACAAAUUUCAUGCAUUUUCAGUAUCUACAGAUUCCAUGCUCUUUAUUCAGUACUCCAUGCUUACAUGCAUACCCAGUUAAUUAUUAGUUCUGUUCAUGAAACCAUGUAUAUCAGCCUACCUUAUUUAGCAUACCAGUACAUUCAAAGUACUGAUCGCAUACCUUUCUUUUAUGCUAUAAUGUAUUAUAUUAUAGGUUCUGAUACUUAUUUCUCGGCUCGCGAUUAGACUUAUCAGGUCCUCAGCAGUAGCAGUGGUGAGUCCUAAUACUUUGAGGACAGAAUUACUUUAUUUCAUGUCUCAGUUAGUGUAACACCUCAAAAAUGGGUUCUAAAGCAUCACUCAGUGCUUAAGGCAAUAAGUAGCCCUAAGCUAACCCUUUGAGCCUGCUACUUCACAUAAUAACUUGCUUAGAGAUGAAAUAGACAAAUCACGGGAACUGUUAUAUCAAAUCAUAAGAAAUACUGUGAAAAUACUUUGUCCGAACAACCAUAAUACUAGAAAUCUCAACAUACUAACAAUCUGACAACUAGUCUGACAAAGCCUCUACAACUCAAGAACUAGAGAGCCAUUGGGACAGGUCCCUAACUAACUCAUUCUUAACUGAAAAGAAAUGAACAACUACUAGAUAAACUGAAUAUCUGAAUAUAACUGGUCCUCGAACCAUGAGGACUCACCACUGUGGAGAUGUAGAUAAAGGCACUUAGGGAUCACUGAUGAGGCUGGGACGGAGCACCUGAACCUACAUUAUGAGACAAUGUAGCACACAGACAUAUAUGUGGAUCAGUACUUUGGGAAUGUAUUGAGCAUGUGGGGGUGUAUGCAAAUAACUAAUCAGUAUCACAAGUCCUAAUAGAAAACAUGCAUGCUAUAAUAGAUGACUCACAUAGCUUGAAUAAAAUUCUCAUAAGUUGUGGUUAGGAAAUAGAUAAUAGAAAUCACGUGUGUCAUUUCACUUUAUUAUAGAUCUGUAUUGUUACUUUGUUUUCAACUUGUAAAUUAGAUGAAAUCUUAAAAUAUCAACUUUCAGGACAUAAACUAUAAUCUCAUGAAAGCAAAAAACUUCUUGGGAAGUUAAUAAUCAUGACACUUGAAAACUUUAGGAAUCACAGGGUCAUAGUCUUUAAAAUCAAUGUACCUUCAAACUUACACUUUUAGCUUAAAGAUAGUAAAACUUCUUUAAAACUCAAGAACUUGAUACUUUAGGAAAUUUAAGACUUGAGACUCUAUAAAACUUUAGACUUUAGGGCACUUGGGACUCGGUAUUAUAUAACUUUAGGAGUUUCUUCUAACCGACUUAAACUAUGUGAGCUACAUGGAGUCCAACGUCUUGCCCAUGUUGGGGAGAAUUUUUCUAUCCUUUCCAUCGGAGUAGAACCUUUAAAUUUUAAUGAUCACUAGCUUAACCCACUUGGGGUAAAUUAGAAACCUAGGGGGCACGUAGUUCUGGGGCAUGAGACCUUAGAAUCAAACCUAAAUCGGUGCUAAAUACUACUCCCUUAAUUAGCUCAGAACUUUAAUACAAUCCACCUUACACAAUUCAACAAUAUGUAAUGGGAGCCAAUAUGCUUCCCCUUUAUGUCAAAUCAAACAAAUAAUGUGGAUUUCUUUCUUAGCUUAGGAUCAAAACUCAAUUCUUUUCUUGAAAUCUUGAUAGACUUUUCAUCAAAGUUUUAAAAUCUCAACAACAUGGAUUUAUAAGUACACUUUUUGGAGUAUCAAUAAUUUAUCCUCAAUGACUCACAAUUUCACAAUAAAGUUCUACUCAUGACAACAACUCUUGGAAAUUCUUGGAUACAUCAUAUAAAUAUAGGAAUGUGAAAUUUAUAUAAUGAACUCUCAAUUUAGAUCAUAAUUGAACAAAAUAAUCAUGCAAUUCAAGACUUGAACAAUUCCAUAAUCUCAUAAAGUUGAAAUAUAGAAAAAUAAUAUGAAUUCAUCUUGGAAAUACAAAAUUCUUUAAGAAAAUCUAAAGUUUUUGGGCACAAGAACGAAAGAGUAUUCUUGUUCAAACCCCACAUACCUUGAAAUUAAAAAUUAGAGUGAGUUCUUGACUUUGGAUUUCUAUUCUUGAAACUAAUGGGUGCUUCUUGUAUCCUCAGAAUGGGGAUUCCAAUUCUUAAAAAAUUAUUGAAAACUGACAGUUAACUUUUGAGUUCUCUGGAAGUUUGUGUAGAAACCCUAAGCUAUGUUCUUGGAGGUUUUUGAUGAAAGUCUGAAUAAUAUGGUAUUUUUGGGGUGUAAUAUCGUGUUAAGAGAUAUAAAGGAGUGGGAAAAUACCAACUUUACCCUUAAUAAGUUGGAGAAAAAUAGCUGAAAACUGGGCACAAAGGCUAUGGCCUGGGCGGCGCCUUGCCCAAAGCCUUUGCUAAGGUGGACAGCGCCUUGCCCAGAGACUCAGCUAAGCUGGGGGGGCACCUCUUAAUAGCCUUUACCUACUAGUUUGGCACCCCAAACAUGUCCUAAAUGGAUUCCAAAAAUUCCAAAACUCUCCCAAGAUACUUUACGACCUUGCCCCUUUGCAACGCAACAACAAAAUCAACAAACGAAGGUCAGGAAGGUCAUAAAAUAAUUCAUCGAAUUUUGAGUUCUAAAAAAUGAACAAAGUGUUGGAAAACUUAGCUAAAAUUCUAAGUGUUAAGCUUCUUUUAACUUGCUUCGAAGGCUUUGACGACAAGGAAACUUUAUGGGGUAUUACAGUUAGUAGUUAGUUGGAGUUAGUUGGGGCCUGUCCCAUCCACUCAUAUUCACUCAAUUAAUUUUAGAGGCUUUUCAUACAUUAGAUUCAGUUAUUCAAUAUUUAUAUAUUACAGUUAGUUAUCCAUUUUAUCAUUAUUUUAUUAGAUUCAGUCAAUUUUCUCUAUAGACUCAUAUGUCAGUUUUAAAUUUAGUUAUUAAAAACUUAUGGCAUGUCAGUAUUCUUUCAUAUCUUUUAUCAUGUUAUACAGUACUCACAGCAGGUACUAGUUCAUGGGUUAGCUUGAGGUCCCUUGGGACUAUAAGCACCGUGUGAUGACAAAGGGGUAGUCCUGGGUCGUUACAAACUUAGUAUCAGAGUGUAAAAUUUUAAAGUGUCCUACGAAGUCUAAAAGAAGCAUUGAGUAGAGUCUUGUGCAUAGCUGUGCAGCGCGCCACACUUAUGGAUGAGAAGCUACAAGGCAUUUAGGAAAAAGUUUCCCUUCUUUCAGUAUUUAUGUCGUGCAAGUAAGCUUGAGCUCAAGUUAAACUCCCUAUCUAAUCAAUUUCUUCCUUCUGUUUCUUGAACAUACCUCCCAAGAAGAAUAAAAGAAGAACAGGAAACCAGCCUGCCCCUCAGCCCAUCCAGGCAGAUCCUCUAGAUGAGAACGUCUCUCACAUAGAAUUUAGGGUUGUGUUCACUACUCUAGCCAAUUCUAUAUCAGCACAAAAUGAAUGGCCAGGUAUUUCUCUGUCCAACCCAAUGGCCAAUACUUCUGUGACUAGAAUUUAGGAUUUCACCUGUAUGAAUCCUCCUUCUUUCACGGGAUCCAAGUCUGAAGAGGAUGCACAGGAAUUCUUAGAUAUGGUGCAAAAGGUAACGGAUAUUAUGGGGGUGACAUCUAGUUAGAUUACUGAGUUGGAUACAUAUCAAUUGUAGGAUGCAGCCCAUACUUGGUUUAACCAGUGAAAAGUUGAUAGGGGUGUAAAUGUAGGGCCUAUAGAAUGGUAUGAGUUUUCCACAGCUUUCAUAGUCAGAUUCUUCCCAUUGGUGUAAAGAGAGGCUCAGAUUCUUCCUAUUGGUGUAGAGGGAGGCCAAAGUGUUAGAGUUCAUUAAUUUGAGGUAGGGCAGCUGACUGUGAGGGAUUUUUCCCUCAAGUUUACUCAGCUAUCUAGGUAUGCUUCUCAUGUGGUAGCGGACAAUAGGUCCAAGAUGAGUAAGUUUGUGUUUGGCAUAUUUGAUAGUGUGGUCAAAGAGUGUAGAACCGCAAUGUUGAUUAGUGAGAUGGACUUGUCUAGGUUGAUGGUCCAUGAUCAACAGAUAGAGGAGUAGAAGAUUAAGGAGGGAGAGAGAGAGAGGAAACAAGAGAGCUAGGAUGAGUAGUUUUAAUUUUAAUUAGCCAAAGUCAGACGGUGGCAACCGUCCCCAAUUUCAUCAGAGGUCUACAGCCCCAGCACCCUCUUCAGCCAGUGCCCCAUACCCAAAUUUAGAAAUGACAAUAGGGAUAGGGCACCAGGCUAUAAGUCCCAGGUCAGUGUUAGCAGUGCUCGUACAAAUCCUCUAUGUCAGAAAUGUGGUAGACACCAUCAAGGUGAGUGCAGAGCGGAUAGUGAUGUGUGUUUCAGAUGUGUAAAGCCAGGCCAUCAGAUUCGGGAGUGUCGGGUAGUUGCUCAGAAAGGUAGGGAUGUGCACCAACAGGGCCAGUCCCAUCAGUCGUUAGUUUUAGCCGAUCGCCCGACUCAGCAGGGUCCUGCCAAGAUCAGGAAAAUUCUCCUGACGCAGUUACUGGUACGUUGUAGGUCUUUCUCUUACAUGUUUAUGCUUUAUUAGACCCUGGAUCUUCUUUUUCUAUUGAACUCCAUAUAUAGCCGUCAACUUCAGAGUCAGUCACGAAACUCUAGCAGAGCUCUUUGUAGUGUCUACCCCAGUAGGCGUUCCAUUAUAGCCAGACAGGUAUACAGGAACUGUUCUGUCAUAAUAUCUUAGAAAGUUACAUCAGUUGAUCUCGUGGAGUUAGAGAUGAUAGAUUUUUACGUCAUUCUCAGCAUGGAUUGGCUCCACUCAUGCUAUGCCACAGUUGAUUAUAGAAACAAAAUAGUUUAUUUUCACAUCCCAAAUGAACCAGUCCUUGAAUGGAGGGUUAUUACCACAGCUCUUAGAGGUUAAUUAAUUUUGUACCUUAGAGCGAGAAAGAUGAUAUCGAAGGGGUGUAUUUCCCAUCAUGUAUAUGUCAAAGACUCUAACUCAGAAACUCCAACUCUUAAGUCAGUUCCAGUAGUAAAUGAAUGAAUUCUCCGAUGUAUUUCUAGAAGAUCUGCCCCGGAGUUCCUCCCCAAAGGGAAAUCGACUUCAGAAUAGACCUUCUCCUAGAUACUCAGACUAUAUAUAUUCCACCAUACAAAAUGGCUCCAGCUGAACUCAAAGAAUUAAAAAAACAGUUGAAGGAUCUUUUAGAUAAGGGGUUCAUCAAACCCAGCAUCUCCCCAUAGGGUGCACCUGUUCUAUUCGAGCGUAAGAAAGAUGGUUCUCUCAAAAUAUGCAUAGACCACCGUCAGCUGAACAAAGUCAUAGUCAAGAAUAAAUAGCCACUUCCUAGAAUUUAUGACUUAUUUGAUCAACUCUAGGGUGCCAGCUAUUUUUCAAAGAUAGACCUCAUAUCAAUCUAUCAUCAGCUCAGGGUCAGAAAAUGUAACAUUCCAAAAAUAGCUUUCCAAACCCUGUAUAGUCACUUUUAAUUUCUAGUCAUGUCCUUUGGUCUUAUCAAUGCUCCAACAGCCUUCAUGGACCUGAUGAACCGAGUGUUCAAACAGUACUUGGACAUGUUCGUCAUAGUCUUCAUUGAUAACAUUCUCAUUUACUCUUGUAGUGAAAAUGAUUAUGGAGACCACCUCAGAAUAGUACUUCAGACUCUUAGAGCUCACCAGUUGUUCGCUAAAUUCAAUAGGUCUGAAUUCUAGCUAAGAUCAGUAGCUUUCCUUGGCCAUAUUAUUUUUGGUAAUGGCAUUAGAGUUGACCCUCAAAAGACCGAAGAGGUGAAAAACUAUCCUGGACCCAUCUCUCCAUCAUAUAUCAGGAGUUUCUUGGCUUUAGCUAGCUAUUACCGUUGGUUUGUUGAAGGGUUUUCUAUUGCAUCCCCCAUGUUUAGAUUGAAUCAGAAGAAAGUUAAGUUUCAGUGACCAGAUUCAUGCGAGAAGAGUUUUCAGGAGUUGAAGACUCGACUCACCUCAGCCCCAGUCUUGACUCUACCAGAUUGUUCAGAUGGUUUUAUGGUGUACUGUGAUGCAUCCAAAGUAGGUUUAGGUUGUGUCCUCAUGCAGUGAGGUAAGUUCAUAGCCUAUGCCUCUAGACAGCUUAAACCCCAUGAAAAGAAUAACCCUACUCAUGAUCUUGAGUUAGCAGCUGUAGUGUUUGACUUAAAGAUUUGGAGGCAUUACUUGUAGGCGGUGCAUGUAGAUGUGUUCACAUAUCACAAAAGCCUUCAGCAUGUGUUCUCUCAGAAAGAUUUAAAUCUGCAUCAGAGAAGGUGGUUAGAGUUAUUGAAGGAUUAUGACAUAAGUUUUUUGUAUCAUCCGGGCAAGGCCAAUGUAGUGGUUGAUGCUUUAAGUAGAUUGUCUAUGUGCAGUGUUGCUUAUGUUGAGGAUGGUAAGAAGAAGUUAGCUCAGGAAGUUCAUCAUCUUACCCGACUAGGUGUCUACUUGAUGCUCUAAGUAGAUUGUCUAUGUGCAGUGUUGCUUAUGUUGAGGAUGGUAAGAAGAAGUUAGCUCAGGAAGUUCAUCAUCUUACCCGACUAGGUGUCUACUUAGUUGACUCAACAGAGGGUAGUGUGUGGGUACAGAGUAGCGCUAAAUCAUCUCUAGUUUCUGAGGUGAAGGAAAAACAAGAUAGAGAACCCAGUCUAGUUAAGUUGAAAGAAUCAGUUAGAGAUCAGAAACCUAGUAGGUCCGUGCAGGAGUUCAGUAUUCCCACUUGUAAGUGGGAGAAAGUGAACAUAGAUUUUAUGAUAGGUUUGCCUCGUACCCGUCAUCAGCAUGAUUCUAUUUGGAUUAUCGUAGACAGGAUGACCAAAUUAGCUUAUUUCUUGCCAGUACAUCUUAUUUAGCUAAGGACUAUGCCAAACUCAAUAUCAGAGAGUUGGUUAGGUUGCACGGUGUUACCUUAUCCAUCAUCUCUGAUAGAGGUACCCAUUUUACCUCACACUUUUGGAAGGUAUUCUAAAAAGGUCUAUGUAACCAAGUCCACCUCAGUACAGCUUUUCACCCUCAAACAGACGAUCAAGCAGAAAGGACCAUUCAGACUCUUGAUAUACUGAGAGCAUGCGUUGUUACUUUCAAGGGUAGUUUGGAUAUUUUCCUUUAAUUGAAUUCACAUACAAUAACAGCUAUCAUUCCAGUAUCCGUAUAGCUCCAUUUGAGGCUCUCUAUGGUAGGAAAUGUAGAUCUCCAAUUGGUUAGUUUGAAGUAGGUGAGGUCGCAGUAGUAGGGCCUGACUUGGUGUUUGAUGCAUUAGAGAAGGUUCAGUUGAUCAAAGAAAGGCUUAAGGCUUCCCAGAGCCAACAGAAGUCGUAUACGGAUCUGAGGAGAAAGGAUCUCGAGUUUGAGAUCGGUGAUUUCAUAUACUUAAAAAUCUAUGCCAUGAAAGGAGUGACGAGAUUCGGUAAGAAAGAGAAACUCAGUCCCGAUAUGUCGAUCCCUUUAGAAUUCUAUCAUUUUGGGCAGGUAGCUUACGAGCCUGAGUUGCCUUUAGAUUUAGCCUCAGUACACCCAGUGUUCCAUGUCUUGUUAUCGAAAAAGUGUAUUGGUGAUCAAGCGGUACUUGUUCCCUUAGAAAGUAUAGAGAUUGAGAAUAAUCUUUCCUUUGAGGAAGUUCCAGUUGAAAUUCUUGAUCAUCAAGUUCGUAGACUAAGGAACAAAGAAAUUCCACUAGUUAAAGUUCUUUGGUAGAAUCAGUCCAUUGAGGGAGCCACUUGAGAAGUAGAGGCAUAUAUGCGGACCAAGUACCCUCAUCUUUUCUCCACAAAUCCAGAUUCAGUAUAAGGUACUAAUCUUCUUAAGAUUUCUCUCUAUCAUGCUCAGUUUCAACUGCACAUCAUAUUCAUGUCAGUCGUGCAUUCAUGAAUCAGUUCAACCAUGCAUUCCAUGCAUCAGAUAUUCAUGUUCAAUGUGUAAGCUUAGUCCAUCAGUUUCCUCAGCUUAACCAGUUUCAUUCGAGGACGAAUGAUCCCAAGGGGGAGAUAUUGUAACAACUCGUAUUUCUCGAGCAUAAUCUAAGUCCAAAUACGUUAGUAUUCAUAUAUAAAUUUUUGAAAUACUCAUUAUUUUUAAGUAUAGAUCCUGCCAUGGUGUAGGAAAUUCAAUUAGCUUUCAAACGAUAUAAAUUCGUCGAAAUUCGAUAACUAGGUAAGAAGUUAUCGAGAUUUUAACUUUCAAUCGUUAGACCCCGUCAUUUUAACCCUUAGCGCAUCUGGAUCUAGGAGGUGCGCGAUCUUGGCGCAUCGUACUAAAGGCCAAAUUGGCAUUUGGCAGUUUCCAGUGUCUCUCCAUGAUUCCACCGCGUCGCAAUGAACUUCCAAGUCCCAAUUAGCGAAAGACCAUGAUUUUUCCCACGUCGCACCACAAACCAGUUUCCCAGUUGUCCAAUUCCAGUGGAUUGGAGCGCUAGUGGCGCGUCGUGCCAAGGCCCAAAAUUGGGAUCUUCAGUUUUUAGCUUCCAUUUUUAAAUUUGUUCAGGGGUAUUUGGGUCUUUUUUCACGGCCAUAAUUAACCUAAAACACAAAAUUUAAACCCUAAACACCCUAAGUAGUCAUCAUAAUUUUAGUUCCUCUCACAAUCAAAAAUCUCCCUUUCAAGAACAAGAAACCCUAGCUUUCAAAUUCAAGACCAAUCCUCAAAAACUCACCCAAAACUUCAAGAAAUUCAGUAUCCCAGAUAUGUUAGAUGUUUAUCCAUGGAUUCCGUUUGUCCAUGGAGUCCAAGUAACCUAUUUAUUUACAAGUUUUGAUCUUUUCAAGUUAUUAUAUUUUAAAUUAUGAUUUCACCCAUGAACCUCCAUGUACUAUUUAUUUUGUACGAUGUUACCAUGAGAUUAUUGAUAUCAUUCAAUUCUUCAUGUUUUUAUAUUAUUGUUUAUUGAAUUAAACCAUAAUUUAGAUCUAUUAUGUUGAAUUCAUGCUAUUCCAUAUGUUUUAUGACAUUCCUAUGAUUGUUUUAACCAUGAACUACAAGCGUUUGAUAAAAUUCUUACAAGAGUGAUUUAUUUAAUAAAAGCCUUCAUGUUUUGAUCUUCAAACUUUAGUGUCAUUUUACUAUUAUUGUUUUGAGUCUUGGGGGUAUUGACUACCUGAAACCAUAGAUAUUUAUGCAGUCUAGUAUCAGUACAUUACAGAAUAUUCUUCAAAACAUACUAUGAGCAUUAUUAAAACAAUCAGUUACCAGUCCGAUGAACUCAGAAAAGACUAGUAUUUCGGUGUUUUUCAGUUGGGAGUAGUAUUUAGCACUGAGCAAGUGCAGGGAUAGCGGCUUCCCCUUCAAAUAGGUAGAGUCGUUAGUAGCAGUCCCUAUACUCCAGAACUACGUAGCCAGCAUAGGAUAUGAGAGUCACCCGUCAGAUUAGGCAUGACUAUUUCACAGGGGCCACCCAUCAGUCUAGGCUUGACACUCUUAGUCCUUCAGAUAUUAUAUCAGUUUAGUGGAUCCACGCAGCCAUCGUCAGUACCCGUGGAACGGUAUUAACACCCUUCCAACUGGGGUUACAGGUUGGACCUCGAUUAGCUCAAAUUAGAGAAUGUCGGUUAGAUGAUACCACCCACAGUCUUAGAUAUAGUCUCAGUUACAGUCCCAGCUCAAUUAUUCACUCUUAGUAUUGUUCGACCAAAGCAUACAGAUUUUAGUUAUUUCAGUUUACAGAUUUUACUCAAGUCAUGUUAUAUGCUUGCUCAUGCAUCCUCAGUAUUUAUAGAUUUUUAUACAUUUUCAGUAUCUACAUAUCCCAUGCUCUUUAUUCAGUACUCCAUGCUUUACAUGCAUAACCAGUUAAUUAUUAGUUCUGUUCAUGAAACCAUGCAUAUCAGCCAACCUCAUUUAGCAUACUAGUACAUUCAAAGUACUAAUCACGUACCUUUUCUUUUGCGCUAAGAUGUAUUAUAUCUUAGGUUCUGAUGCUCAGUUCUCAGCUCGCAUUAGACUUAUCAAGUCCUCAGCAGUUGCAGUGGUGAGUCCUUAUACUUCGAGGACAGGGUUAAUUUAUUUUAUGUCUUAGUUAGUAGUUAGUUAGAGUUAGUUGGGGCCUGUCCUAUCAACUCCUAUUCAGUUAGUCAGUUUUAGAGGCUUUUCAGACAUUAGAGUCAGUUAUUCAAUAUUCAAUUAUUACAGUUAAUUAUCUAGUUUAUCAUUAUUUUAUUAGAUUCAAUUAGUUGUCUCUAUAGACUCAUAUUUCAGUUUUAAAUUCAGUUAUUAAAACCUUAUGGCAUGUCAGUAUUAUUCUGCAUUUAUGAUCAUGUUGUCCAGUGCUCACAACAGGUACCAGCUCAUGGGUUAUCUUGUGGUCCCUCAAGACUGUAAGCACCGUGUGACGACUAGGGGGUAGUCCCGGGUCAUUACAUUUUCUUACCAAGUUUAAGUUUUACUUUUCUUUGAAGAAAAAUAAAAGUAAUACCAUAAUUACUUUACUUUUCCUGAAAGGAAAAUAUAUAACUUUUCCAUAUUUGGCUAACCUCUUUCUAAGAGGAAAGUUUUUGGAACUCUAUAAAUAGAAGUCCCUCCCUUCUCAUAUAAUAGCACAAUAGCAUCCACAAUGUAGUCGUCAAAAGAGUCUGGUUUAGGGGGAGAUUUCUCCCAUAGGUUUAUAAUUUUCAAUAUUAGUUUUAUAUAUAGGCCAAUUGGCUAAAUAAUAUAAUAAUAUUAAGUUUUUAGUAUCAUUUUAUGUGUCUUCUGAAUUGUCACCACAAUGGUUUGCGACUAAUAGCUUCCAUAUAACGCCCUCUCGAUUUCGAACCUAACAUGAAUAGGUGUGUGCAAGUUGUUAAAAAGGGAUAUGAAGUUAGAACUCCUAAAUUUGAAUUGAAAGAGGGCUACUUGUAUAUAAAUGGAAAACUUUGUUUGCCUAUGUCUUUAUGGAGAGAGUUAUUAGUGAAAAAGGCAUAUAACGGAGGUUUGAUAGGUCAUUUUGGAGUGCCAAAAACCUUAGCUAUUUUUAAUGAACAUUUAUUUUGGCCAAAAAAAUAAGAAAUGUGGAAAGAAUUUGUGUUAGGUGUUUGGAUCGUAAGUAUGCUAAAUCUUGUACCCAACCCCAUAGCUUGUAUACCCUUUUUCCUAUUCCUAUUGGUCCUUGGCUAGAUAUUUUCAGGGAUUUUAUUGUAGGCCUCCAUAGGACUAUGAAUGGCAAAGAUAGCAUCUUUGUUGUUGGAGAUAGAUUUUCAAAAAAUGGCUUAUUCUAUUGCUUUUCAUAGAAGUGAUGGUGCAUCUCAUGUUGUUACUUUAUUUGUUCACAUGUGAUGAAAUUGCAUGGUGUUUCCCAAACAAUUGUUAGUGAUAGAGAUUCAAAAAUUCUUAGUCAUUUUUUGUGGUAUUUGUGGGGCAAUUUGGGAAUUAAAUUUCUUUUUGCUACUUCUUGUCAUCCUCAAAUGGAUGGUCAAAUCGAGGUGGUUGAUAGAAAUUUAGGUAACAUGCUUAGAGAUAUGGUUAAAGGAAAGUUCAAUUAUGGGGAGGAUCUACUGCCAUUAAUUAAGUUUGCAUAAAAUAGAACUAUCCAUAGAUCUAUUGGUAUAAAUCCUUUUGAGUGUAUUCAUGACUUUAAUCCCCUGACUCCAUUGGAUUUAACUCAUUUUUUACAAAGAUGUUAUUAUGAGUGUAGAUCCAAAAGCUAAGGUAAAAGAUAUGAAGAAAAUCCAUGAGAAAGUAUAAUCAUUGAGGAGGCCAAAAAACAUGCAACCAAAACAGCCAACAAAGGAUGAAAAAAAUCACCUUUGUACUCGAUGAUUGGGUAUCGGUUCACUUUAGAAAAGAGAGGUUUCCUAGAAAAAGAAAGAAUAAGCUUAUGCCAAGAGGAAUGGACCUUUUCAAGUGCUUGAGAAGAUUGGAGAUAAUGCUUACAAAGUGGACUUUCCAAGGAAGUAUUUGGUCCAUAAUGUUUUUAAUUUUAGUGAUUUAUAUUUUCUUGAUAUUGGAUUGACGAACUCUAGGAUGAAUUCUUUUGAAGAAGAAGAGAGUGAUAUACAUCAAAGUGACGCUACUUUAAGAAGACAUUUAACAAGAAGUUAAGUUAAGGACCUUCAAGCAUUUCAAGUUUUAUGGAUUAAUAUGGAAUCUCUUAAAGGUUUUAAUAUGUAUGACUUGAAGAUAUUUAAUAUUCUAAGUGUCUACCAUUUAAAUUAGCUUCUAAUUUAAAUGAAGGAAAAUUUGUUCUUUCUUUACUUUUUUUAGCCCUUAGUAUAAAUAGUUAGUGAUUAGGGUUGAACUACUAGUUUUGAAUAUUGUAUAUUUGUGCCUCCUUUGAGAGCUUGAUAAACCUAUGUUGAUUUUCAACACUUUUCUAGUAUUUGCAAGUAUGUUACUACCUUAUUGAGGAUUCUAAUAAAUUAGGUGUUUUUAGUUCCCAAUUGAGUGGUGUUUUAGUUAGUGUCACCAUUACAUCUUUCAAUUGUAUGAAUCUAAUUGUGUCUCUCAUUACAUCAGUAUGAAUGCUUUUCAAAUGAUAGAGGGUUCAACACUUCUCACCAACUUUCUAGUAGAAGAAAUUAACAACCUAACGCUACAUAGGGUCAUAAGAAAAGGCCUUUAACCUACAUUAUAAAAUAAUGUAGCAUCCAGGGAUGUUUAGUGUGGCGAGUACUAGCAUGCAAUCUAAGGAAAGAGAUAAAAUACACAUUUACUAAAUCAACUAUAAAACACAAGUUCGUCAUCCUUUAUAUUUAUAAUAAUAUAUUACGAGACUGGGGAUGAGAAACAUAAAGGCAUUACCAUUUCAAAUUUAGUUCUGAACUAUGUAGCUUUCACAGACCUUUAGUCACCCACAGGCUAUAUGGGUCUGGUUCCCACCCACCAGAGGAUCCCCAAUCCAUUUUGACCAUAUGGAACAAGGAUUAGGCUAAAGUCACCAAUAGACAAUAGCUUCCCAAAAGUAUAAUAGUGUAAUAUUGUGUGAAUAAAGUACACAGAGGUCAUAGACCCACAACGUCGGCAAACAUGAUUUCAAGUAUUCGUCAUACCAAGACUUGUAAACCAUUUCAAGUAUGUCAUACCAUAUUUAUUAAUCAUUUUAGACUUCAAAUUUCAUUUUAAAAAUCCAUAGCCAAUUCCCCCAAGGGAAUUUGAAAAGCCUUUUUACUCUUUCCAUUUAAUGUCAUGCAAUAAUUUAAAGGAUAGACUAAACACUAUAAAUUCCUCCUAAGAAAACCAAAUUAUGAUAGGGAUUGAGGUUCAUGUCUCUAUCAUGCAAAACUAUAAUCAUUAUGAAACCUUGUUACCACCUACCACCCCUUUUUAAUACCAAGAUUUAGUUUACAAAUAACCAUUUACACAUGAACAACCAUUAGGACAAGAGAAAACCAACAUAAUUAGGUGACAACCCUAAAUCCCUCAAUUCUAGUUUUUAAAUAACCGAUAAGAACAUGUAAAUUUUAAUCAAUAACACAAUAUAAUGGUAAUUAAAGUAAGAGAUUAUUCAACAUGUCUUUUUGACAAAAGAAAUUUUAGAAAAACUUGAAUUUUGAAGCCUUGAAAGGUUGAAUUUUGGAGAAGAACCCUUAUUUGGUGUUCUUGAGAAUUAGGGGGGAGAGAAAUCAUGUAUUUGGAUUAUGAGAAGAGGGAAAAUAUGUUACUAUUAGUUAUAUGAUGAUUUAAGAUGUAAAUUACUAGUUUUUCUUCAAAAAACUGAAGAAAAAUGUGAAUUUUAGUGUCUCUGGGGCCAUGGGAGUAUCAUACUCUUAUCGUAGACCCUCACUGGCUCGCUUGCAAAAAUGCUCAUAACUUGUUUUUAGGUAUCAGAUUAGGAAAAACUAGAUGUGUUGAAAAGAAGACCCAAAGGGCUUUAAUUUGGUAUAUAUUAAGCCACCCAAUCCAUUCUAUUCUAAGAGUAACUAUCAUUGGAUGUUGACCCAAGAAAAAUUGUAUACUAAAACUCAAUCAGUAGGAAAGUUCUCAACUAAACUUUGAGCUAGGAGAUUUGUGUCACUUUAAUUAAUAUCCGAAGAUUUUUCCAUACUAAAUAAUUGAUUAUACCACUUCUAUUAGAUAGAAAUCAUUGGGUUUGAGUCUAUACACAUAUGAGAAAUAGUUCAAAUUCUAGCUCAAAAAUAUGGGGUAUUAUAUGUUUGGUAUGUCAAGCACUGAUAUUAGUGUUAUAUUUAAUAUGAUAAAAUUAUGGUUAUGGGUUCUAAUUCUAUUUAUAUUGUAGCUUUUAUUAUCAAUUUUGUCAUGACCCAAUUUUGUCGUGAGUAGCUCUCAUACUACUCAUCCGGUAGGAGAAUAAACUACCCCUAAACUAGAUCCAUGAUCAAUGCUUAGAGAAAAUAAAUAGAACUAACCAUCAAUAAAAUAUCAAUUCUAAAGAAACAAAAUAUAAGUACAACUUAAGGAGAAACAUUGCACUUAACCAAAACCAUCCCUGGGAUCCAUAAGUCAUCUGUGACAAAACUACUAAAGAUUUCCAAGAAGAGGAUGCAAUCCCAAAAACUAAAAUGAAAGCAUAAGACCAAAAAUAAACACUCUAUCAUCCAAGAAGGAUUCAUGGUAUCUCAAAAAUAUAUUGUUCACCCUUGAAUCCAAAGUCCAAUGCUAGAAUCACAAGUGAGGUCUUGCAGGAGCCACUGAAAUAUGUAUUUCACUCACAAAAAUAAGAGCAGAUACAGUAUCAGCACACAAGAAAUAAUAAUCUACUGGUAGGGUCAUUUUCCAACCUAAGAUCAGAAUAUGAGCACUUGACUAAAACAUAGUAUAACAAGUUAAGACAUGUGCAACAACCUCCACCUAGAACGACAAGCAUCAAAUAAGUAAUUUAGAGUUACAAGAAACAAGUUAAUACACAUACAACUAAGUCAAGUUUUGUCAAGACAAGUUAAAUAAGUCUGGGCAAUUUAAUCAAAUAUCAAGCAUAUCUAAUCAUAUUUCCUGGUUCACUCUGAAAAAUAUCAAACUCACUUGAACCUCGUACAUACAUGCUAUGGGUAUCAUAACCAUCCUCUAGUCUUGACCUACAGGGGGGAAAUUCCAUCAAAGUACCUAUAUCUCAGACACAAAUAUCUGCUAACCUUAUUCCACCAACAAGCCAUGAGAACGUCCCAAGUACCAAGAUAUUCCACAAUAAUCAAUAAGGUAGGUCAAAAGUAUAAAACAUGAUAAAACUUAUUUGAAUUGACCACAUCAAAAAACAUGCACUAACAAAACCCACUACGAAGUAGGUAACAUGCACAUAUAAUACAAAUUGGAUUAAACUACAAUACCAUCACCUACCUCAAAUCAAGCUUGCACAACUCCUCUAAGCCGAAGCUUUGCCCUCCUAAGCAAUUUUUAUUUGAUCUCGGUAUAGAGAAACACAUGAAAAUGAAUAAUUAAUGAAAUGACAUAUUAUGUUGGGAAUUAUAACACAAACCUAACCCUUAAGGCCAAGUUCAUAAUCAUUCCCUCCCCACUUUAGGGCUUUUCUAUCGUAAUUUAUCAAAAACUACCAAUUUUAUGGAUGUACUAGUGAAUUUACGAAUGCAAGGGUAAAUUGAUCAUUAAUAAUAAAAAAAAUCAUUAAAUUUUAUCCAUAAUUUACUCCUUUGCAUCAGAAAAAACAUUAAAUUCAUCACUAAACUCCCUCCGUCCCUCGAACUCCGUAAAUUAAUACUUCUAGGUUAAAUUAUCAAUUACUAGCUAAUGAAGAAGAUAUCGUUAUCCUUACAAAGACAAACAAUGAAAAUCUGAUGAAAAUUGCCUAUUUCUUACCCAAAAUGUGUUUUAAAAAAUAAACCAUUUUGGAGAAUUUUAAAAGAAAUCUAUGACUUUCAUCGCUUUAACAAGCAUUAACCGGGUUGACCGUCGCUAUAGCAGGAUUUUUUUCGCUAUAGGGACAUCGGUGGGACAUAAAGUCCAAAGUCACCUGAAAAAUCUCAAUUUUUACAAUACACUUUUAAUAUGGAACAUUUCAAACAAUGAUAUUUGCACUAAGAUUGAUUUUGGGAGUUCUACUUAUCUAAAUUUAAUUUCGUUAAUUUCUAUGAGUUCCUUACUUCUUAUCUAACUAGAAAUAACAUCAAACACCAUCAAACUUUUCAAAAUCAUUCUCGAAUUUUCAUAGACUACACGUCGCUUAAAUUUUAUUCAAAACUAACCUAGGCUGAAAUUUAUAUCUUCAAAUUAAAAAAAAAUAAACAUGAAAUUUUAACUAAAGGUUUAUACAUAAUGGAAGAGAUGAUCAUUGCACCACAAAUUAAUUUUAUUGUUAGAGAGUUGAUAAAAUUAUCUUAUUUCAAUUACACAUUCAAGCCAAUUGGACACGUGACGGGUUGCAUUUAUCAGAAGGUAUGUUACAGACCUGCUUAAUCAUAUGCAAAUAGGUUCAUGUGGUCCUAUCUCCACACUAAUUUCAUCCUCAUCCAAGAUCUAAUACUGGUGGAUGUUCAUUUCAUGAUCAAACUCUGUAAAAGAUUAUUGUUAGAGCUUUACAAAAUUUGAUGUUUACUAGACCUAGUAUACAUUAUGUGGUAAAUAAAAUAUCAUAAUUUAUGCAUUACCUUAUGGAUUCUAACUGCAUUGUCGUCAAACAUAUUCUCCAUUAUGUCAAGUCUACUACUUCUCAUAUAUUUUUUUCUCGCGGGACAUCCACCUUACGUCAUGGUUAAAGUGAUUUGGGCUGGAGAGGUGAUGUUGAUGAUCGCGAGUCUAUCAUUAGGUUCACUAUUUUUUCUUAGUUCUUAUUUAAUUUCCUAGGCUUCUCUAAAAAUAAUGAUCUGUAUCACAAUUAAUCACAAAGGUGGCGCCUUGGAUUAGUUGCGACUACCUCUGAAAUGGCAUGACUCGAGCUUCUCCUUUGAGAGUUUGGAUCAUUUCACUAACUUUCUUCUCAUUCACUCGUGUGAUAAUCUUAGUGCCCCCUAUUGGAUUCUAAUCCCAUUUUUCAUUUCCUAGUGAAAUAUAUGAAAAUCAAUUUUAUUUUGUCCGUUAUAAGGUUUGUAAGAAGACCUUAUCAGUCAGAUAUGUAAGCUCUCAUGAUCAAAUGAGUGAUGCUCUUAUCAAGCCUUUGUCCAAGGACUAAUUUUUAUAUUUGAAGCUCCACUGGACAGUUGUUCCACACCCUCAUCAACCUGAGGUGUCCGGGGGGUAGUGCAAUUAGGAUAAUGUCAUGUAGGAGUUUGAAUGAAAGUCUAUUUGUAUAUAUUUGCUGAUUGUUUUUACUUAACUUUACGAAGUUGUGCAAUUAUUUUCAGACUAGGAGUCCUUAACAGUGACAACUUUCACUACGAGAACAACAACCUCUAGGGGAGUCCUUAGUCGCAAAUGAUCUUUUAGGAUGAGAAAAUUUUGGGCGUGGCUCAUCCGAAUAGCCUCCUUCUCUAAAGGUCUACUGCGACGAGGUACUCUAACUGAUCGUUAAAUGUCAUUAGAGAUGAUAACAUAUUCGGUCUCAAAAAUACUUUUAAAGACUGUAUAUCUCACCCCUAAAAGAUGAUUUUCAUAUUUAAAAAAUAGUUAUUUUCUAGUCGCUAAAUAUUUUUUUGCUAUGAGUAACUAUCUUAUCCUAAAUUAACCUAUCACAACGAGCACCUAACUCAUUUGGGAUUAAUAUUUAGAGAGAAGCAACUGCUCACCCUAAAUUAACCUUUAGAUAUGAGAAACUAAAUCGUCCUUGAUUAACCUUUAGAGACGAGCAACUAACUCGUCCUAGAUUGCUACUGAAAAUGUCGAAGGAUAAUAAAUAUAGUUUUAAUAUUUGCUAAACAGAAAAAACCAAAUCAAUUAAGAUCCCUAGCUAGAAUAUGAUGUCAAUAGUUUCAAUAUUUUCUAAAUAAAAAAAACAUUACCAAUUAACAUCCCGAGCUAGAAUUUGAUGUCAAGUUUACAUAAUGUUCUUAGCAAAAUAAUAAUGAUCUUCUGCAUUUCCUGAACUUGCAUCUUUACUUAUAACUUCAAUCUUCAGAAAUCUAUAAGAACAAAAUUUAGGAAAGAAAAUUAAUAACUAUUGGUAUAUAAUUUAAUAUACAUAAGAAGCAAGGAAUUGAAACACAGUAUAGCAAUGGAUAACUGACUUAGUCAAUGGAUAAAACAAGUACGAAGAGUUCAAAACUAAGUCCAACUAUGAGAUGAAUUUGAAAAAAGUAAUCGCUUUCAUUCGAUUUGCAAUGUUUGAUUCACAAAAAAGGAGAAAAGAAUUACCUAAAUCAACAAAACUACUUAGAUAUUCUUUUGGGAUGAAGUGAGAACUAGUGUAAAAUGUUAACACAGGUAAAAAUCUUGCAUAAGUCUGAAAGCAUUAUUAUGUAUGAUUUAAGAAAACCUGGAGCUUGACAGUUGAAUAAGCAUUAAGCACCUUGCCUAGGAUACACAUUAAAAACAAAGUUAAAGUCAAAGAAUUGUAGCUUUACCAAAAUUGUUCUUACAUGAUGAGGGGUACUAUGUAGUGAAAUUUCAGAACCAAAAGGAUAGAGACAAAAUUUUAUAUUUUGAACCUUAUACAGUGGUAGAUAAUUUGGGAGGGCCAAUAGAAUAGAAGAUGUUGUCUCGCUGGUAGAUAAUUUGGAAAAAAAGCUGUUACGGAUGGAACUUUAGAUGAUGAUCAAGAUGGUGUUCAUGCUCUUGAUCGAUCCAUGAUUGUGUUGCCGAAGCUCAAUAAAUCUAGACAGCAAAUUGGAAUAUAGUUGAUGGGAAAUGGAGUAAAAUUUUUGGUCAAAUUAGAAUAUAGUUUCUGGGAAGUAAAUUGGAAUAUAGUUUUUGGGCAACAAAUCUUGAUCUAAGUGGAACUACAGCUAUAGAAAAAGUGUAAAAAUUUGUCUAAGAAUAUAGUUUUUGGGAAGCAUUUUUCUGAUGAAAAAGGCAACAGCAUUGCAAACAAUUCUAGUCAUGAAUGGCUUGUGGUUUCGCACAAGAAAAUUGGUGGUUCUAAGUCUAAACAACCAGAUUUGCACCAUAAAAAUGAUAUACGGGUUGGGUUUGAUGCAAGUAAUUGUGUAGCUAAAGGUACAUAGUUUGACUUGCUGUGAGAUGAAAAUUUUGGACAACAGUUGAUGGGCAAUGCAUCUAGAGUAAUGAGUGGAAAUAAGGGUGUUUCUUAAUAUGUCCAAGGGAAAUAUUAUUGAAAUGGGAGCAACGGUGGUUGUAUACAAUAUUGAAAUGCAACACUAGAAUAUAUGGUUGUUGCAGUAAAAAAGCUACGAAAACAUUCAACACCAGAAUAUGUACAGUUAUGGCUGUUCUAGAAUUUGGUCAAUGAGACUUGUAUGUACAGAUCAACCAUGUACUCCUUGUUCUAGAUUUUAUUAAAACGGUCUCAACGAGGAUUCCUAUUUAAAACAGGAAGGUUAUCGAUGCAUUAAGCUUUUACUUGUGAUUUUAGGAAAAAAGAAAGGUUAAAAUCUUUGUGUGCAAUAGGACAUAUCCAUUUCAGUUUAUAGUAGUGUUUGAUUGGGCACAAUAUUUAAGGUAUUUAUUUUGACUUGUGUAUGUUAGUGAUAGUGAAAGAAAAUAGCAAAGUAAUAGUUUAAAAGUUAGCUGGCCGAGAAAAAGAUCAUAUUGAAGUUUAAAGCUUGAGAAGUUUAAUGGUUUUGCAUUUUUGAAAGUUGUGGAAGUUGGAGAAAUAGUUAUGAGAACAACCACAAAUAUCUCAAACACUCAAACAAAAUUUCAUUAUACCGUCCAAAUUUUUUAAUUAAAUUGUGGUGUUCAAAAUGGUUAUGAUUUGUGUUCUCCUAUUCUUUUGUUUGUAUUGAAUUCAGGUGUGUAUGUGAGGGGGUAAGUAGAUAUUGAGUGCUUCUGAACUUUGAAAUUCUUUUUCUCAAUUGCAUGUAAAUACUCAAGCACCAUCUAAUAUUACUGAUUAUAGUGAUCGUAACAAUUCAAAGUACUAUAUCAUUGUUGUACGGGUAACUAUUAUGCAACUUCAGUUCUAUUUCGGGGUUUAGAAACAAUAUCUAUGACUAACAUAAAACUCUUCUUAUAUGAUAUUAAUUGCAGUAUUCUUCCAGAUUCAAUGCUGAAACUAUGAAGAAUUUUCUAUACACUCUCAACGAUGGCAAGAUAGCCAAAAAGAAAUUCAACAGUAAGUUCCUUCUCUAUAUAGCAUGAUCAUUAGGUAAGGCAAUUGGAGUGAUUAAAUGACAAUAGAAUUGGAGAAUCUUCAUGUUGUCCGAAAUUUAAUUAUACUGAGAAGCAAAUAUGAGACAACUGCUCGAAGAUGGACUCAAAAUUUUUUUAACAAAAGGGUCCAGCUCUUCCAGAGAUAGUCACAGCAAUUAAACCAUGGCAAGUUUGAGUCCAGCUCAAAGCAGUUGUCUCAUAUUUGCUUUUAUCACCAAAUGUCUUAUUCUCUACUAUACACUAUCAAACCUUCAUUAAACCACCACCACCAUCAUCGGAAAAAUCUCAUCUCCACCACCAUAGAUUUCACCAUCCAUAAUCAAAUUCACCAUCGAAAUCAUCUCAUAAUAUUGUCACCACCAAACCACCAUUAAACUACUAUUAUUACAACUAUUAUUACUAAACCUACAUCUCCUACGUAGAAAAAUGAUAUCAAAGUAGGACGGGGGGAAAACAUAAUGAUGUGAAGCCACAACAAAAUACUAAAGACAACAUGACAAAGAAAAAUAACUGAAGUCGAGAAGUCACAACAAUAUACUAAAGACAACACGAAAAAGCAAAAUAAUGGAGUGAAAAAAUCAUGACCAUAUACUACAGAAAACAUGACAAAUAAAGCAUAAUAGUAACUACAACAAUAUAGUCAAAUAAGACAAGAACACCACAAUGAUUUACAGACACCAUCUUUUGAUGGAGUUCCUCCUAAUUAACUUGAGUUUUAUUUAUUUAGUUGCACUAUAAUUAGUUAAAGUGUUCACCACAAAAGAAGUGGCUAAUGUUAAAAAUAUAAUGAAAAACUAUAAAAACUAAGGUAUAUUAUUACUUACUUGGUCAGCAAAAUAAGUCAGUGUGUCAUUCAGUUGAAGCGGGCGAGGUCGUAUGAGGGAGAUGUGAAUGUUGAGCAGUAAAGAAUUAUUGAUUUUUUCUUAUUUUUUCCAUCUCAUCUUUUAAGGUUGACAAGCGAUCAUUAAAGGAUUUAUUUUUCUCAAUCAAGGAUUUAUUUUCCUCUCGAGUUGAACGUGGAGCCGACAGUGAUUCAAUCUUUGAAGAAGUGUCCCCUUUCAUGUCUUUCGCCUUUAUUCCACCGCCAAAGCAAAAUACAUGGCUAUAAUUUUGAGGUCCAAAAUUUUUUUCUACAAUCUAUAUGCUAGAUAAAGAUGGCUCGGCUUUCACAAUAUCUUUGAUCUAAGCCAGCAAAAUAUAUAAAAGGACAUAUUUUAUUAGAACCCAUAAUAACUUUAAGAAAUUUACAUAUUUAAUUUAGCAAACGCACAUGUUUUUCAAUUGCUUCAGGUUUAACAAGUUUGUUUUCAUUCUUACGAGUUUCAUAAAAAAAAUAGUCCCCAAAUCUGAAGGAUUGCCAUCUAUUUCACCCUUUACAUCAAAGAGAAACAUGUCAAAUACUAUCUCAUAAGUAUUUUCUUUAGGAAAUAAUUAUUGAUACUACCUACUGAUAAAUUAUCUCUCAAAUAGGCUUGCUACCAAUAUGAAGAAGCAUUGUCAAAUUAGCUCGAUUUGUUGUAUUCCUUCUUCUUCUUGCCUGUAUUCUUAAACAAUAAGAUUAGCAUCUAUUGAAAUGGUGUAUUCCUUCUGCUUCUCGCCAGUAUUCUUAAAUAAUAAGCUUAACAUUUAUUGAAAUAAAAAUUCUGAAAUUGCAUCAACAAAUAAAGUUUAUAGGGCAACACUAGCAGGUAAUACAUAGCAACAUAUAUAGAACCAUUGGAUUUUUUAGAAAACAGAAGUCACUCCACACACAAUUGUAAAGCAAGUAAUACAAAGCUACGAAAUGAAAGCUUAAAGACAAAAACUGAAAUUCAAGUUUUCGAACUAAAGUUUCAUAUUCUUCACUAAGAAUACCUGAAAACUUUUGGAACAAAAAAUGUUCCUUGAGUAUCCACUCCUAGUCCUUCUUCUCUAUUCUCUCUAGUUUAAACUUAAGAGUCUGUACCAUUGACUUAUUCUUCACGUACUUACUAUGCAAGUGUCCUCUCCAUUUUUUCCACAACUCAUUCAUCCAUACAAAGAAAUGAUCACGAUGAUCAUUCAUGUAAUCACUCUCAAAUUUAUCCUACAAUAAUCAAUACACAAAAUCAAAUAGAACAAAAUGUAAAAAGGUCCAAAUGCUCAUUCAUACUAUCGACUAUAUUUUUUACCUCAAUAGUUUCCCACAUGUGAUCAAAUUUUAUUUCUUAAUAUCACUCCACAAUGAUACCGCUAAUGAAAACAUGUUAAUGUCACGCAUUAAUUUUUCCAAGUGUCUCAAAAAUAGAUUGCUAUUUUUUCAACCAUCCAAUUAUUGUAAAAGGUUACUUUCAACUUCUGACUGACUUCCACUAAUGCAACUUCCUUGCACUUGUUGCUCCGUCAAACUCUUUUUACCUUUCUAGGGUUAGAUGAUCCUAUAGUAGCAUAAUUUGGUAAGAACUAUACUAAUAAAAUUUAAUUCUAUAAAUUUAAUUAUACAUAAAUUCAAAAAUAUCAUACCUAUUUCAACAGUUUAGGAGAGUUUCAUAACUUGAUCAAUAGACAAAGGCAAUGAAAUAUUGGUUUCAUGUUCUCUUUCUCAAGAAUCAGAGGAUUAUUAUUCAUUGAUUGCAUUCCUUGGUUAGAUCUGACAUUAUUCUUAAAAACCCUAACAAGGAGCACAAAGAUCUAGGUAUUAGAUCCCACAUUAUUCUUAGAAACCCCUAACAAGGAGAAAACAUUUGUAUGAUGUGAUGAAAGUGGACAAAAAUUGCGCAUAUUUGAAAAAACUUUUAGAAACCCCUACACUGAGCAUGAUGUGAUAAAUGUGGACAAAUACUCUAUAGAUUUGGAAAAACUUACUUUUUUCAACCUUUUUGAUGCAUUGCUUAACUUGAUUAGUAUAUGGAGGAAAUGGAGUAUGAACCUGCAUAUACGCUUUCUCAAGAACCAUAGAGUUCUUACGUAUCGCUCCUAUUCCUUGACUAGAAGGCAUGAUAGAGUUUUUAAGUCCUUUUUCUGGACCCUUCCCAAUAGCACCUAGAGAAAUCAAAUUAUAUUACUAAUACAUAAGUUAUAUAUGCAAUCAAAAACUCAAAAAAUAUGAAAAAAAAAGUUACUUGUUUCAACCUCUUUGGUGCAUUGCUUAACUUGUUUACUCGAUGGGGAAAAUAGAGUAUGAACUUGCCUAUACUUAUUCACAAGAAUCAUGAAGUUCUAAGUAUCGUUCUCAUUCCAUGACUAGAAAACAUGGUAAAGUUUUGAAGUCCUUCUUUUGGUCCCAUCCCAAUAACACCUAGAGAAAGCAAAUCAUAUUACUAGACUUAAGUUAUAUAUGCAAUCAAAAACUCAACAAAUUUGAAAAAAAACUUACUUUUUUUAACCUCUUUGGUGCAUUUCUUAACUUGAUUAGUCGAUGAAGAAAAUAGAGUAUGAACUUGCUAUACUCGUUCUCAAGAACCAUGGAGUUCUUACGUCUUGUUCACAUUCCUUGACUAGAAGAUAUGGUAAAGUUUUUAAAUCCUUUUGGUCCCUUCCUAAUAGCACCUAGAGAAAGCAAUUCAUAUUACUAAUACUUAAGUUAUAUAUGCAAUUAAAUACUCAACAAAUUUGAAAAGAACCUACUUGUUUCAACCUCUUUAGAGCAUUGCUUGACUUGAUUAGUCAAUGGAGAAAAUGGAUUAUGAACUUGCAUAUACUCGUUCUCAAGAACCAUGGAAUUCUUACGUAUCAUUCCUAUUACUUAACUAGAACGCUUGGUAGAAUUUGUAAGUCAUUUUUCCCUCCCUUUCCCAAUAGAACCUGUAGUAACAAAUGUGCAAUUGUAUAAGCUUAACAUUUUAAGGCUAAUAUGACAAGUGUAACAGGACCAUAUAGUUUCACUCCUAAAGCUAUAUGGUUAACCAUAAUCUUCCAAAUAUAAGAGGAGAACGCCUCUAUUUUUUUCCUUUUGGUACUAUCAACUAAUGUGGAUUUUUGAAGUCUUUUGAUGCUUGAUGCAUCAAUGUAGUAUAGGUGCUUAAGCAGUGUUCUCUAGGUUGAUAUGUUGUGUAUAUCAUGCAGGUAGCAUGAAAUGAAUGACUUAUUAAAGAGAGGGUUGUAAAUAGGUGGAUUUUUUGCAUGAAGUAGAUAUCAUCUAUGAUUUGGAGAGAAGGAGAGGGAUAACCUCCUAGCUAUUUCUGACCACAUCAGUAGAAACUUAUUGAAGGAACUAGCAUCACCUAAUGCAUGGUCGAAUGUGAAUGUUAUAAAUAUGCCUCACAUUUGUAAUUUGUGAGUUGAACUUGUACUGGAAACUCCGAAUUUAUUGGAACUAAUUUUCCCUCCAGACAGUCGCUGAGUUUAAGACAAGUGUUGGGUUGUGCUUCCAAAAACAAAGCACCAGUGUUAUCACAUACAAUUUCAGUCUCAUUAGUAUCUGGAUUUAGAAUAAUUCAAUCAGCAAAUGGAUAGAAAUAUCAAAGGCAAACAGCAAGAGACUUUCUUAAUUUAUCUGCAGUGGAUGUUAAUGAUUUCUUAUGUUUUACUUUGUGGUAGACAUAAAAUUAAGUCACUAAAAAGCGUCCAAAGAGAAAGUCCAGGUUUGAAAGGAUGAGAACAUGUAACUCAGGAAUUGGACCACUGGUUUUUAGUACAGACUUUCUGAUGAAAUUAAACUUAGUGUAUACUCACCAUCUCUUCCAUCUAUCAGUGCCAUAAGAUUGCCUACAAAAUCUUAACUUUAGGUUGUGAUUGAUUUGAGAUAUUCUAUACUAAUUCAUAGAAUACCUUCUUUAUAGAAAAAUUAUUUAAGACACAAUGAUGUCUAUUGUCAUUAUGAAUCAACAUAGAAAAAAAGGACGAUCAAAUAGAGUGCAAGUGAAAUGCUUAGUGAAAAUUGCAUCAUCAAUUUGGACUAGACGGAUCAUUUGGUUGAAAAAAGCUAUCUCUUGAGAUUAGUUUUCAUCCCUCAAUGUGGAAUAGAAAUAAUACUACAAUCUCGAUAUAACUAAUUACAAGAUGAGUUAUCCAAUGAAUUUCAUCCCAAUCAAACUAGCAGACUUUAUCCAAAAAACAUUAUCAUUUUAGGUCAUUUGGAUUCUAUACAAAGGUACACACACUCUAGAUGGAGUAUUUGUUGUAGUUGAGGUAUUAACACUGGUAGUGUGCACAAAGUUUCAUGGAUGAAUGCCAAGCUAAAAUAGACUCAAACUGUAAUCUUCUCAAGGUAUGAACUGCUUAAGGAUUUUGAGUCCAAUGAUUUCAGUAAAAAAUUAAGACAGUUGGUUGCACAUAAAGAUAAAGAGGGUCAAAUCAAUCAAUCAACUGCACUCAAUCCCAAACUAGUUGAGAGCAACCCAAGAAUCCCUUAUUACAUAGAAGGGUUGAUGCAAUUGACACGUUCAAAAGAGAAUGAACACAACUAAAAAUUACUUUGAAUUGUUGAUAAUUAUUAAGAUCUAUAAGUCAAGAAAUUUUUACCCGGUAGGGAAACCAUUGCUAUGUAAGUAGUCAUUUGCAAGAACAGGAUCUAUUGCUCUAGUGAUAUUAAGGGAACUACAGGGCAUGUAGCUCCAAAAAACAUUAUGAGUAGGUUCAGUUACUAGUAUUAAAGGAACCAAAGGACAAGCAGCUCCAGCUACACACCACAAAUCAGUUCAUCUCUACUGAUAUUUAGGGAAUCAAAGGACAUGUAGUUCAAGGUACACAACUAAGUACAAUCAGAUGGUGCUCGAGGAAACAUAUCCAUAACUGUCAAUAAGUCUGUAUAAAAACUCUUUAAUUCUCACAGAAAAAACAUGAAGUAAGAAAAAGAGCACCAUGUACAUUUUAAUAGGUUGUAACAUGUUUCCUAAUAAAUCAGACAUAAUCCUUUUUCACUUUUAUUUAAUAAUCACAGGUAGACAAUCCUCAAUAGGAAUUGGAUUUGAAAACUUACUUGUUUUAUCUUCUUGUGUGUAUUGCUUAACUUUAUUAGUAGACGGAGGUAAUAAAGUAUUAACUAUCAUAUGCUCGUUGUCAAAAAUCAUGGAGUUCUUAUGUAUCAUUCCCAUUCAUUAAUUAGAAGACAUGGUAAAGUUUUUACGUCCUUUUUUUGGUUCCUUUCCAAUAGCACCUGCAGAAAGAAAAUCAUAUUACUAAUACUUGAGGAAUUAUAUUUUGUAGCACAAGGGCGAUCAAAAAUAAGUUGGAAGAAUAAGCUAUUUUGGUUGACCAAAAAUAAGGCUAUGGUGUUUAAUUCAAGUUAUUUAUGCAAUUAAAAACUCUAAUAAAUUUGAAAAAUUUUACUUGUUUCAACUUGCAUGUAUUGCUUAACUUGAUCACUAGGUUGAUAAAAUGAACUCUUAGUUAAAGUUUUCCCUUUUGUUGUCAAAGAUCUGAGCCCUCGUCCUCGUCCCUUUCCAAUUAUACCAGGUGCGUAAAAAAGUAUAUCUAAUAGUACUCUUCAUAGUUGAUCCAUCCUCAGUUUCAAUCUUUAUAUUGAACCUGCAAAAAGAGCCAAAAGUAAAAUAAAUAGUAAGAAAACCUCUUAUCCAGUAAACUAAACUUUACAGUCAACGUAGUCUUUGUGCUCUGUAAAACUCAAAAUCUAUACAAAAAGUAUUAUAAGUUAAAUUUUAAUGCCAAAAGAAUAGAAAUUUUUAGUAGUAAGUAAUAAUUAGAUACUUCACCUUAUCAGUUCUUUUACAUUUCUUUUAUGAAGGACUUUCUAAGUCAUAUACAAUAUCUGAAGGACUUUCUAAGUCAUCUGCAUCAUCAUUCAUUUAUUUCACAAUCUCAUAGGAAUCACGAGGUUAAGUCUUCCUCACUAUGUGUCAGCCUUUGCUGGAAUUAUCAUUAUCAUAAAACACUUUAGAUGCUUGAUUCACUCAAAUAAAAGGUUCAUUUAUUUUCAAAAAUCUACUUGAAUUCACACUUACAUAGUCAUACUAGUCUCUUUUAUUUUUUUUAUUUUAUCAUGCACAUCAAAUCAAUUACACUGAAAUAAAAUCACUCUUCUAUACGGGAUAAUUGCAAUUCAAUCACAUAUGUUAAAGCUCCAUAGCAAUUAAAUGUCUCUCUAUCUUCAUCAUUCUUGCUAGCUACAACAACAACACAAUUUUGAGUCCUUAAAGUUCGAUCAUAAUCUUCUGCAUGAAAUCUAUAUUCAUUUAUAAUUUAACCAUUACAAUGUGUUGAAUAUUUGGUUGGACGACAUGAAAGUGAGAGAAUAUCUUCAAUGAGCCAAAUAUUAUCUACUUUAUGCAAUUGUAUGACCUAAAAAUAAGAUUACAUUUAAUACUUUAGAAUGAUUAAUACAACAUUAAGACGUCAUAUAUAAUAUUUAUGUGUUGCUCAUAUUACUCACCCUAUCUUUAACUCAUUUAAUAAAUUCUCGGUCCCAUUUUAUAUUUAGCAAGUCCUGAGCAAUAUCCAUAUUUGCAAACUCUCUACAAAAUUGAGGUUAACCAUAAAUGUCAUCUAGAAACAAUAUUACCUUAAAUAAAAUUGGAAAAACACGAUGAUACAAAAGAUCUCUCCAUACUCGAGAUAUGGUAAGACUUUAUCACACUUCUUCAGUAUAUAUAUAUAUAUAUAUGUGUGUGUUUUUUCAGUUUCAUUUUCUUCAAGAUCACAUGGACUGUUAGCUCCCAGAAUUUUUUCAGGUUGACAAAAUAUAGAUAAACCUCUAUUUAAAUUUUUUAAACUUUCAUCAUAAUUUUGUUUAGGCCGAUUGAAUUUUAUGUCAGUUCUAUGCAGAUACCUUGAACGUAAAGUCAUAUAUUCAUUUGCAAGGUAGCCCUCUACAAUAGAGCCUCCAAUGAGAGAUUUCAAAAAAUAUAACUAUCACUUAACAGGAUACAUCCACUGAUAAUGAAUAAGCCUAACAAUAAGCCUAACAAUCUUAGCUUCACCAGCUAAAUGAAUAGGCGAGUGGACCAUGACAUCAAAAAAAAAAAAAAGAGGGAAGACCUUUUCUAACUUGCUAAGUAUAAUGGGAAUAUGCUUUUCAAUAUGUUUUAACUCAUCAAUCCCCAACUCCUUCGAUCCAAGAAUACAAAAAAAUAAAGAUAACUCAAUAAAAGGUUCACACACUUCUUUCGACAAUAUAUCACAAAGUACAAGAGGGAGUAUAUGCUGCAAAAGAAUAUGACAAUCAUGACUUUUCAAAUCAGAUAUCUUGUGUUCUUUCAAAUUCACACAUUGAGAAAUAUUAGAUGAAAAUUCAUCCGGAGCCUUUAAAUUCUUACAGAAAAUACAUAAUUUAUGCUUUUCUUCAGGAGACAAUGUGUAGCAUAUAGUUAAAACUUCAACUUCAUUCUCUCAUUGGAUAUGGUGUAAUUUUGGCCUAAUGUUCAUCACCUCUAACCGAGUUUUAAUUGUAUCUUUGGUCUUUCCUUUGACAUUCAUGAAUGUCCCCAACAAACUAUCACAUAUAUUUUUUCAAUAUGUAUAGGAUCUAAAUUAUGUCGCCACAAGAGAUAUUUUCAAAAAGGAAGUUUAAAAAAGAUACUCUUCUAGUUCAAAUAUCCUUUAAUGUGAUAUCUUCCUCCUCUUCUUAGGAUCCUUUGUUAAUGGUUGCCCUUCAUGAUCUUACAUUGAUUAAAUAUCUCAAUUCCAAAAUGUAUUUUUGGUGGGUCCCUUUUCUCUAUUGUACCAUCAAAUAACUUCUUGUCAUUUCUCCAUUUGUGACUCAAAGAAAGGUAACGUCAUUGACUAAUAAAACACUCCUUCUUACAAUUAGCUAGUCGAAUUAAGGAAUUAUCUUUAUUAAAAGAUGGACAUGAUCGCUUUCCUUUUGUACUCCAUCAAGAUAAAUUUUCAUAUGCUAGAAAGUCACUGAUAGUCUAUAACAAAGAAGAAUGCAACUUAAAAAAAAUUUUAGUUGAUGCAUCAAAGAUUUCAAUACUACUUCCCACAACUCAUUCAAUUUCUCUAUUAGAGGUUGAAGUUAUGUAUCAAUUGUAUCUUAGGGACUGCUUGAACCAGUAAUAAGCAUUGAUAAAAUCAAAUUUUUCUAUUUUAUACACAAUCAAGAUGAUAAAUUAUAAGGAAUAAGAACCACGGGUCAAAUGCUAUAUGAGGUUUUGGAAUUUUGGAAUGGUUGAAAUCUAUCACUAGAAAGUCCAAGUCGAACGUUAUGAGGCUUAAUUGGAAAUGAAGGAUGUAUUUCAUCAAAUGACUUUUAUGCCAUUGAAUCAGAUGGGUGCCUCAUUAUUCCAUCAUCAGUUCUUUGAUUCAUAUACCAUGUUAUUAGAGAAGUUGUCUUUGAAGACAUAAACAACCUCUGAAGCCUAGCUUUAAGAAAAAAUAGCAUAAAAAAUUUAGGCUAUUUUUUUUAUCUUUUUAAUUCUUUUUCUCCCCAUUAUGUGUAUCUAAUUUUCAUCUGAACGCACUACAAAUUUUGCAAGAAUCGAGUAGCUACCCUUCUUCCAAUAUAACAUGUAAUCGUUAGUACAAGCAUAAAUCUUGUUGUAAGAAAGCCCAAGCUUUUGAAUUACCUUUUUUGCUUCAUAAUAUGAAUUUGGAAAAUUAGCUCCAUUUGGCAACAACUCCUCUUUUAACAUUUUCAAUAGCAUGAAAAAUGACUCAUUGCUCCAAUGACCCAUACUUUUGAUGUGAAGCAAUUUAAUCAAAGAUGAAACCUUUGAAGCCUUUUAGUUUUGAUACAAUGGUUGUUCAAAAUUCUUCAAAAGGCUAUAAAACUUUUUAGCUUUAGCAUCUGGUACCUCCUCAAGUUUAUUAUCAAAAUUAGUGUGUGUAUCUCCUCCAUUUUCAAUAUUAGGAUAUAACUCUCUCUAUAGUUCUUCUACUUUAUCUUCAUCUUCACUCUCAAAAUCUUCUGCUUUAUCAUCAUUCUCAUCUUUAGAGUCUGAUAGUGCCUCACCUAACUAUUCCCCGUGUGUUAAAUCAAAUGGUAUAAUCUUCAAUUAUUCCAUGGACUUUCAAAUGUAUCUCAACCGUUUUAUGAGUUUCUAAUAUUGUAUUACAAUACUCAUAACACGGACACCGUAUUUCAUAUUCGUCUUCUUUUCCAUGAGAAGCACAAUUCACAGAAUUUUUCACCCCAUCUAAGUAGAUUUUAUCGAUUUGAUUAUGAAGAGAAUGUUUCAUUCAUUGCUUACUAGGUGCCAUAACCUUGGAGAAUACAUAAAUAUUAUAUUAAAAAAAUAUAAAAAAUAAGAAAAAUAAUUAGAUUCACAUAACGUGUUACCAUCAGAUGAUUAUAUCAUACUAUAUUGGGUAUUUCUACUUUAAACAUAACAUGACCUCUUCCUCGGAUUAGAACUAUAUUAUUUUGUGAAAUUUACAGACAUGUUUGAAAGUGCUGGCUUACUAUCCCAAUAAGCAUAUAAUUAUCGUAGAAUAACAACAUUUAAAAAUCUCAUGUGCUUUGAGAAUAACACAUCAAAAAGAAAAAGGAUCAAAUACCUAAAAUUUAAAAAAAAUCAAAAAUUAAUAAGAAACAUUCAAUAUUUAGAGGAGGGAGGGAUGUCUACCACAUGGGAAUACGAAAUCUUAAUGGUUUGGGUUGUUACAUAGGACUAGAAAUUUUAUUUUUGAGUUCCAUACUGCAAAGAGUUAAGCAUUGUGAAUGUAUUAUUUCAUUUAUAGGUUGUAAUAUAUUUAUUACGGAAGUUUGAAAGAGACACUUUUUCAUUAGCAUUAGUGAUUUAAAGAUCCUUUACAUUAUGUUCACACCUUCUCUUUUUUUAUACCAAUAUAUGUUUGUAUCAUUAACUGUCCUGAAUUUAUAGUUCAUCUAUCAUCCUCUUGUAUUAUCAUCCUUCCAGUUUUUUAAUUGGAUGAAACACAAUUUGCUGAAGCCUUAUCUAUUAGAGAUGCUUUUAGCACUUCUCUAUUUUCAUUCAAGCAUGGGUAUUGUAUCAUAAGUCAUGAUAUAGAUGAUUUCAUUUAACAAUAUAUCUUUUUUUCCUUAUUCAAAUAAAUAUCUUACUUACAAACUUUUCAGUGUUCUUGUUUCAUGACAUGUACUGCUUGUCAUUGAAAUAUUUUUAAAAUGGCUAGAUUUGAUAUGACUGGGAUCAGAGUUAACCUUAGGGAUGUUCCAGAUUGCAAUAGAGGUUCAAAAACUGAAGGUUUUAGGGAUCCAAUUGGAUGGACCAGACUAUAAUGUCGGUGUACGAUAGUUAUUUCAUAUAUGGUCUGUUUACUAAAAAAAUCACUUCUAGUAUUUCUUUUGCUUGGCUUUAUGUUGUGGUUCUUUUGUUUUCCCUAAUGAUGAAAUACUAAAUAUCUCGAUUAUUAUAGUCAUGCUUACUAGAUAAUGGAAACAUCAUGGAAUUUGUCGCGGUUAUUUAUGAAUACAAUUGAAAAGGGGGAAAUAAGCUUUAAACUACCAAACCAAUGGCCUCUGGCUUAAUUUACUUUUCCUCAAGGUGUCCAGUCCUUCUCAGCAUAUGUGCUUGGGACCUUGCUUAUUUGUUUGAUAUGUGUUUUUUAUUGCUUAUUGGCUUAUGCUAUUGCUACGUUGCCAAUGGAAGAUAUCUAUCAACGCAGCGUGUUGGAUAAGGCCAUGAACAGCUAUACUAUAUCAACUUUAAUUGUAUUAGACACACCACAUAUACUAUAACAACAGUGUAGCAAAAAAACCUAUUCUAGAAUUUACCCCGACUCAGAUAAAGUCGCUAUUACAAUAAUAAUAACAACAUCCCUAGUGAAAUCCCACAAGUUGCUACCUAUAACUUAGAUAACUCGCUGUAAACUAGCAGCAAAGUUGUAACCGAUAGCCCCUAUGUGGUGAUUACCUAUGUUUCUUUGUUCUCUUUUCAUCUUGAAACAGUGAUGAUCCACAAUCUUGGACUAGUUUAAAAUAAUUUAUUGUUAGUUUUGUUGUCAAGAUAUUUUCUCCUUCUGCUCUCUUUGGUAUAAGCAGCGAGACGAUAUAAGCAGCUAAGUAAAAAUGCUAAUUGGGCAUCUAUUUCCUGGUUGGCCAUUUGGUAUUAGUAGAAGAGUUUUGUAAUGCACCUAAGGAUGUGGUCUAGUGGUCAAUAAAGUGGGAGUAAAUCUUGAAGACUAGGCUUUUUAAUUCCUACAAAAGCAUAAACACUAGGCCAUUUAUUUUCCAUUUGUCUUAAGCACACUAGUUUAUCCAAGUUCUUCAACAAAAGUACAAGCUUCAACAAAAUAGUGGUGGCCGUGCUAACUUGCGUGCACCUUGACUAUUUAAUUAGAAAUGUGCUGCACUAUUUAGUUUUGGCAGUAAAAAACUAUAGUAAACAUAAAGUUAACAAUUUUGUACAAGGAAAAGAAAGGCAAGGUUUAGUGAUUUAGGUAGAAUUCUUUAAACAACAAUUAUAGGCAGGAAUCACAGUCCUUGGUACUGGAUCAAUAAAUUACCAUCUCCCCUCAAAUGAUAUGUGAUAGCUCAAAAGGGUUACAAGAACAACUAGAUAAAAGUAGUAGAAGAUGACAAGUGAAAACAGUAUUGCCUUAUUACAAGAAAGUGAAAACACUACUGAAUGGUGGACACAUCAGUUUUCAUACAAUGAUAAUUUGAUGAUAUUUAGGGAACAAAGUAGGGUCUAGGUAGAGUAGGUGUACACAGACCUUACCCCUACCUAAGAGGUAGAAAGGAUGCUUCUAAAAAAAAACCUUGGCUCAAGAAAAUAAAUAAUUCAAAGAAGCCCGAAAAAGGAAAUAACAAAAACACAGAAACCACAGCAAAAUACUCUAGAAAAUAUGAGCAAACAUUCUUAAAAGUAACUACAAAAAAAAAUACGACAAUCAAAUUUAAAAAAGCAGUAGAUAGAAAUAAAAAUCUAGUAACACGAAAUCAGAGGAGUGAUGCUACGACUACUAAUAGGGAAGUGGAUAAGCAAAAUCACCAUGGUUCUACUACCAUUACUUGUCAAUCUAUCUGUGUCCUCCACAACCUCCUAUCUAAAAUCAUAUUCUCGAUAAGCUCCUUGGAAAACUGAAUGUACAUUGCAUGUCACAUUAAAAGAAAAUAAAGAUGUACAACAUCCAAAAUGCAAUAGGAAAAACAUCAUAAUCUUGAUAUUUGUUCUUUGGAAUACACAAUAUAUUACGCGAAUUAACAAGGAGAAUGCAAUGCCCCAUUAUACAAUUACAAUUAUUUAGUAUUAUUAAUAUUCUUCGCAUUUCAAUACUAAUAUAAACAACCAAAAGUUAGAAUACAAUUCAAUACAUUUGUUCAUCAUAUUUUGAAGCAUCAACAACAAAUGCAGUCAAGUAAUGCUAAGACAACUAAUAAGGAAGGAUGCGCGAAAUCACACUCUACUACCACUACCUACUCACCUACUACCCUAAUCGUAUCCUCCACAACCUCCUAUCAAAGAUCAUAUACUCGGUGAGCAGAAAGUACAUUGCACAUCAUAUUAAUAGAAAAAAAAAUGUACAACAUUUAAAAUGCAAUAGGGAUAUCCAAAGUACAUAACACAUCAUAUUAACAGAAAAUAAAAAUGUACAGCAAGAGUAAACGAACAUGAUCACCCAACCCCACACCCCUUAGAGACUGCCCCGCCCUGCCCGCAUAGCAAUAAACCCACCCCACUUCGCUCCUGCUAAAUCCUAUUGAUAUUCCUAGCAGCUAGAUGAUAGAGAGACGAUAAUUGACCAUCCACAAAUUGAUAAAUUUUAUAGUAUAUUAUUGAGUUGUACAAAUAGAAAAAAAUGACAGAUUCUAAUCGAAUAAAGUAGGAAGAAUAAAAUUAGCUCGAACAACCAAGUAAUAAAACUAAUUUAGAAUAAUUUUGAAAGAAAAAGAGCAACUAGAUAGAACGAAAAUCAUAUGUCGAAUUCGCGAGAGAUAUAAAACAGAGAUUAGGGCAAAUUAGUUGCAAUAACUCGAGGAAUUGAAGAAGCAAUUGGCAAAGUUGCUCCCUCACUCAUUGUGCAUCUGCAAAAUUGGUGCGUAUACUGAUCGGAGCUCUAGGGUAAAUUUAUGACCAGCCGUACUGUUAUUUGAGGAUAUGAAAACGAUGUAUAGUACGUACUAGAGAGCUGAUCUUUUAAUUAAUUACGUUUUCAGAAAAUUAAACUAAAAAAGAAAAAGGCAUGUAUUAGUAUAUUUAGUGAAAUAAAAAUAAACUAUUAAAAUUUUAAUAUCAUAUUUUGGCGUUAGUUUUUUCCAUUCAAAAUUCUAAAUUACAAUUUGGGACCACUUAAAAAUUUUUGUAGGGAUCAGGUUUAUAUUUUCGCAAUAAAAUACAGUAUUAAGGAUCGACAUAUAAUCUCGUUUUAAUACAUAUAUUUUUAAAGACGAGAUUAUUAAUUCAUCCCUAAAUAUUGGUCAUAAAUAAAAUAAUUUCUUGUAGUGUUUAGAAUCUUAUUCUAGAAGAAGCUCAUGUGUAUAUAUAUUGAUUGAUGUACCAACCUAAUAAAUGCAAGGAUUAAGAAUCCUACUCUUAACACUAUUAUAUGUCCAAGUGAAUUCUUUUCUUUUUCUACUUGAAAUUGUUUUCAUAAAAUCAAAAAAAAAAAGUGUGUUUUGUUGGCAGAUAAAUAAGUAAGCAUUAUCCGAAGUUAAAUUAGUUGCUAGAGAAAGCUGACAGCUAACUCCAUUUAUGUAAAAAGCUAUAUGCACCAUUAGCAUGAUUUUAAAUUAAACCGUCAUGUUCAAUUAAUAUUAUGGCCCAAUGGUCACCUUUAGCCACCCAAAAAUUAAAUAAAUUAAAAAUUGCAUUCCUUGGUUGCAAAGGCUUGAAAUUACUUACAUAAAUUCCCUAGUUUAUGAUUUUGUAAACAUCAAGCGAUUUAGCAAACACACAUUUCAAACUCUUAGCGACAUUUCUCCGAGGACCAAAAUUCCAAAUAUGGCAUUCAUUGGAGUAAACUAUGUCAUCUUCAGGUACAACUAAAACGCUUAAAAGAGAAGUUGGAGAAAAUAGAGGAAAAUACUCGAAGUAAUAAUAAUGAAAGUGGCAUGGUGAAAAAAGUAACAGUUGAUGAUAAAUUAGGGUUGAACAAAAUUUGAACAAAACCACAAACUGAAUCAAGCCAAAAAAAGAAAAAUCUGACUAAUGGUUUGAUUUGAUUAUGAAAAAAAAAAACAAAUAUAAUUGAUUUGAUUUGAUUUUAACUAAAAAAAAGUCAAAUCUAAUUGAACCAAUCUAAUAUUAUAUUUAUACAAUUUUAAAAAAUAUUUAAUGCAUAAAAAUGUUUAUUGUGAUCUCUUUAUAAAUAUUUUUAAAAAAAUUUCAUUGUUUUUAUCUUUCAACCUAUUAUUUCAAAUUUAAACUUAGAAUUUUGAAUGAUAUAUCCAAUAAGUUGUAUAGUUCAUAGAUAUUCGUAACUCAAAGAAAGCUCAAAUCAAUACUAAUACUAACAAAAAUAUUCAAUUAUAAAACUACGAAUAAUAAUAAUGUUGAAUAUUUGUUCUUUAAUUUUGCAUAAAUACAUAAUCUAAAUUUAUCUUUCUAUUUAAUAUUUAGUCAUGUAAAUUAAUACUUACUAGACUUAAUUUAGCGUGACUAAUAUGUAAUAUUUAUCUUAUAUGAUUUUAUUACUAUUUUUUAUUGAAUAUUUUAUAGUCAUAACUCAUUUUAUGUUGUGUUGUUUUCUUAAGAAAUACCUAAGAUAAUCGAUUUAACAUCAUUAUGAGAGUAUUUACUUAAGCAAAUAUAAUACAUAAUACAAGUAGAUUAACAUCAAUUGAUGAGUAUCACAUAAUACGUCAUUAACACUUAUAACAAUGUCAUAUAAUCCCUAGCAUGCGUCAUGUUAAUGAAAAAUUAUGAUAAUCAUGCUCAGUUUAUCAUAAAACAUGUUAAUUUAGAUUUUACAUCUCAACAUCAUGCUAUAGUCAUAAGUUAACAGAGUAUAACGUAGAGUACUAGCUCGGAAAGACAUACAUUCCCUAGUAAGUGUUUGCCCCACUAGAUAGUUUUAUGCCCAAACCCAAACACGGCAGCGUGCUAACUUGACACCAACCUUCAUUUUGAUAUUUCAACUAGCCAUUAUUUAUUUUAAACAUCUAAACAAAUGUCUUACCAUGUCAUUUUGAUAUCUUUUGCAAGAAGUUUUAACAACCUCAGACGCAUGGAACAAAUGUUUUCUAUAUAAACUAAUUGACUAAUUAAAUCAUGUCAACGCAUUUUAACUGUCCACCUCAUUAUAUACAUAUACAAACAAAUUAAAGAGAAAAAUAAUGAUUAAACACGUGACAAAGUGAUCAAUAAAUUGAUGGUACACGUCAUGUUUUUCAAAUAAAUACAAGACUACUUAAAAAUAUAAUUUACAAACCCUCACCCCCAAGUUGCCUUCUCCAACACACCUAUCCCACCCGCACUCCCCCAAUAUAUCCUCUCCAACAUACCCAACCUCCAACCCCCACAAAUUGUUUUCCCACGCACGCACACCCCUCUCUCCCCCUUGACGUCCUGCAUUGUCUUCUCCGUCAAACCAUCAAGCUCUCUCCAUCUCAUACAGAAAAACUCCUUUGAAGUUAUUUUCAAAAUCAUUUCUUAUAAUAACUCAAGAAAUAAAGAAAAUGACGGCUAAAAAAAUUGAAGAUUCAAAAAUUCUAACCGCCAUCAUUCUUCAAAUUUCUUUCAAUUCAAAACACAUAAAAAAAAACUACAAAAUCAUAGCAGGGGGGGUUUUUUUUUUGCUAAAAAUAAAAUAUGGUAUGAAAGUGCUAACCGAAUGGACAACGAGAAUUUUGUAUGUCUCCUCAAUCUUUAACAUCAAAAUUUCUUGCUCUUUUCUUUUUAUGCUGAAAAGAUGGUUGAAUUAGUUCUGAUCAAUAAAAUAAAUUAUAGUGUGAGGAGAAAGGGGCUACGUACUGCUACUGAGAGAUCAUUGAAGAGCAGAUUUAAAUUUACGCUUGGUGCAACAAUGGGAGAAAGAAGGAGGAGGAGGAGGAGGAAAAUAGAAUUAAGAUUAACUAAAUUAGUCUUUCACGCGUUAUUAGUGAGUGAGAUUCACUCACUUUGUCAAGUAAGUAAAAAGUAUCAAAAUGAAACAUGAGACACUAGUUUAGGUAUUUAAAAUGAACAAUGGCUAGUUGAGGUGUCAAAAUGAAAGUUGGUGUCAAAUCUAACUAGUUGCCAAUGUGUUUGACCUAGUUUAAAAUCAAUUAUGCAACUUAUAUGUCAUGAUUUUGAAAAACAAGCAAUUUAUUUAGUCCAUCAUACUCUAAAAUCGGCUAGCUUCCUAGAUAUAUAUGUUCAUGGCCACGAUUUAUGCAAAAUAUCAAUGAAGGGAAUCAAUUAUACUAGUCGCGGUCAAUUCCAUAAUUUUAGAUCAGUGAAACAUAAUUUUGACUGAAAUUGCUAGAUCAAUUACUUAAAUUGCCGAAUUAAGAAGCAAGAAUUAAUUCAAUGAUUUCAAUUUCAACAUCCAAAUAUCAUGAUUCUCUAACAUAUAUCUCACUUCCGUAUUUUUUGAAUUACUGGGCUCUGAUAUCAUUUGGAGGGUGGUGCGGAUACCUGACGCUCAAGACGUCGAUGCGCCACCGGGUUGACCCUUUUCUUACCAGCAUGGGGAGUUCAGUGAUAUGACUUUCCUACUGACUGAAUUGCUUGAAUUAGUUGAAGGUGCGGAGUCUUCUGCUUUUGAUUUGAGAAGUGAGUAUUGAAAAAAAGUUCUGAAUCUGGGGGAACACUUCACUAUAUAUUAAUAUGUCGGAACCCCCUUUUAUUAUUUUAUUAUUAAAAAUAAUAUAAAUAUAAUAAUAUAAUUUUUGAUAAGGGGCGGCUUCUCCUAUGUCGUGUCAAAUUCGCAUCGAAAAAAAGAGAUUUGUCCUCUCCUAUACUCCUAUAAAGAAAUCAAAAAAAUUUUCUUAAAAUCUCGUCUAAUACUAAUAUCUAAUCACUAACUAAUCUAAAAUCUAAUAAAAUAAUAAGUAAUAAAUUAAGCUUCCAUUUCAACACGGAACGGAACAAAGGGGACAAUAUACAGGAUGGGUAGAAAGAGUUGUGCUACUUGGCUUGAUUCAGGGAAACUACAAACUACAGGAUAGAAAAAAAUAUACCAAUCCUAAGAAUCCGUAGGAUUUAUUGUGGAUCCAAGACAACAAUAGAAAGAUUUGAGUCUUAGAUUUUUAUUUAGUUUUCUAGAUUUUGUAUUUCAAAUCUUGUAUAUCUAGGUAAGUAUAUACUUAGUCAAAAUAUAUGCAAUAGAAUUUUUGUUGUAUUCGGCUCAAUCCUUUUAGUAAAAGAUUGGGCCGAGUUUAAUUGCAAUUCAAUUAAGAGAACGAAGGAUAAUUACUUGAGUUCUUUCUCCUUAUCCUUCGUUAUUUCCUGCUAAUGUCUACUGUUUUUACUUAUCCAAAACGUCCACUGCUGCAAAAUUAAAUACGAUCUCUUUCCAUACCUCACAAGCAGCAGCUAGUUCCGGGCUCCAUUUGGAAGCCUCGCGAAUAAUCUCAUUACCUUCCCGAGCAAGAUCGCGUCCUUCAUUACGAGCUUUUACACAUGCUUCUAGAGCUACUCGAUUAGCUACGGCACCUGGCGCAUUACCCCAAGGAUGUCCUAAAGUUCCUCCACCGAACUGUAGUACGGAAUCAUCCCCAAAGAUCUCGGUCAGAGCAGGCAUAUGCCAAACAUGAAUACCUCCUGAAGCCACAGGUAGAACACCUGGUAAAGAGACCCAAUCUUGAGUGAAAUAAAUACCGCGACUUCGAUCUUGUUCAACAAAAUCAUCACGCAAUAAAUCAACAAAGCCCAAAGUUAUGUCUCUUUCACCUUCAAGUUUACCUACUACGGUACCAGCGUGAAUAUGAUCUCCACCAGACAUACGUAACGCUUUUGCUAAUACCCGGAAGUGCAUACCAUGAUUCUUCUGUCUAUCAAUAACCGCAUGCAUUGCACGGUGGAUGUGAAGAAGUAGACCAUUAUCUCGGCAAUAAUGAGCCAAGCUAGUAUUUGCGGUGAAUCCCCCCGUUAAGUAGUCAUGCAUUACGAUCGGAGCGCCCAAUUCUCUAGCAAAUACAGCUCUUUUCAUCAUUUCUUCGCAUGUACCUGCAGUAGCAUUCAAGUAAUGCCCUUUGAUUUCACCUGUUUCAGUCUGUGCUUUAAAAAGUGCUUCGGCACAAAAUAAGAAACGAUCUCUCCAACGCAUAAAUGGUUGUGAGUUCACGUUCUCAUCAUCUUUGGUAAAAUCAAGUCCGCCGCGAAGACAUUCAUAAACAGCUCUACCGUAGUUUUUAGCAGAUAACCCCAAUUUAGGUUUAAUAGUACAUCCCAACAGGGGACGACCGUACUUGUUCAAUUUAUCUCUUUCAACUUGGAUCCCAUGAGGCGGACCUUGGAAAGUUUUAAUAUAAGCAGUAGGGACUCGCAGAUCUUCCAGACGUAGAGCGCGCAGGGCUUUGAACCCAAAUACAUUACCUACAAUGGAAGUAAACAUGUUGGUAACGGAACCUUCUUCAAAAAGGUCUAAAGGGUAAGCUACAUAAGCAAUAUAUUGAUCUUUUUCUCCAACAACACGCUCGAUGCGGUAGCAUCGCCCUUUGUAACGAUCAAGACUGGUAAGUCCAUCGGUCCAUACAGUUGUCCAUGUACCAGUAGAAGAUUCGGCAGCUACCGCGGCCCCUGCUUCUUCAGGUGGAACUCCAGGUUGAGGAGUUACUCGGAAUGCUGCCAAUAUAUCAGUAUCCUUGGUUUGGUACUCAGGAGUAUAAUAAGUCAAUUUGUACUCUUUAACACCAGCUUUGAAUCCAACACUUGCUUUAGUCUCUGUUUGUGGUGACAUAAAUCCCUCCCUACAACUCAUGAAUUAAGAAUUCUCACAACAACAAGGUCUACUCGACACGAAUUACGCGUUAAUGAAACUUUUCACAGGAAUCUUUCAGAAAAUUUCCAACUAAUACUAAUAUUAUCAAUUAAUCAGAAUGGUUGAUUAUUAGACCAUGGUAUUUGAUUUGCCAAAUACAUCAUUAUUGUAUACUCUUUCAUAUAUAUAGCGCAACCCAAUUUUUAUUUUUUACCUUUUUUUUUUUGAAAUGGAAAUACCUAACUAAACUAAAUAAUAAGAACUUCCCCCUUGACAGUGGUAUAUGUUGUAUAUGUAAAUCCUAAAUGUGAAAAUAUAUGGAAUUCCGCUAUGAAAGGUAUAAAAAAGAAAGAAAAACGCAAAGAAAAGAAUAGGCUAGGCAUAAAUCAAUAUGCUGAAAUUUAACUAAAAAAUAAAUAAGAAAAAUAAGAAGAGGAGCCCAUUAGAUCCAAAUAGUGAAUCGUAAUAGAAAUAUAAAAUAAAGUUCAGGUUCGAAUUCCAUAGAAUAGAUAAUAUGGAUGGGAUUGUCUAUAAUGAUAGACAAAUGAAAGACUUUCUCAAGAUUCUGAUUCAUCCACUUGAGAUUUUUAAAUUAAAAUAGGUUGGGUGAGCUUGCAAAUUAACUCAAUCUCAUUGAAUAAGUAAACAAUUGAAUUGGUUCAAUUGCAUGGUGCCAACGAAAUCGAGUGCUAAUUCCCAUUUUAUUGAAUUAACCGAUCGACGUGCUAGCGGACAUUUACUUUGAAUUCGAUAAUUUUUGAAAAAACAUUUCGACAUAUUUAUUUAUUUUUAUUUUAUUAUUAUGAGAAUCAAUCCUACUACUUCUGGUUCUGGGGUUUCCACGCUUGAAAAAAAAAACCUGGGGCGUGUCGUCCAAAUCAUCGGUCCGGUACUAGAUGUAGCCUUUCCCCCGGGCAAGAUGCCGAAUAUUUAUAACGCUCUCGUAGUUCAAGGUCGAGAUAGUGUUGAUCAACCAAUUAAUGUGGCUUGUGAGGUACAGCAAUUAUUAGGAAAUAAUCGAGUUAGAGCUGUAGCUAUGAGUGCUACAGACGGUUUAACGAGAGGAAUGGAAGUGAUUGACACAGGAGCUCCUAUAAGUGUUCCGGUCGGGGGGGCGACUCUGGGACGAAUUUUUAACGUGCUCGGAGAGCCUGUUGAUAAUUUAGGGCCUGUAGAUACUAGUACAACGUCUCCUAUUCAUAGAUCUGCGCCCGCCUUUAUACAGUUGGAUACAAAAUUAUCUAUUUUUGAAACAGGAAUUAAAGUAGUAGAUCUUUUAGCCCCUUAUCGCCGUGGAGGAAAAAUCGGACUAUUCGGGGGGGCUGGAGUGGGUAAAACAGUACUCAUUAUGGAAUUGAUUAACAAUAUUGCUAAAGCUCACGGGGGCGUAUCCGUAUUUGGCGGAGUGGGUGAACGUACUCGGGAAGGAAAUGAUCUUUACAUGGAAAUGAAAGAAUCUGGAGUGAUUAAUGAAGAAAAUAUUGCAGAAUCAAAAGUGGCCCUAGUUUACGGUCAGAUGAAUGAACCACCAGGAGCUCGUAUGAGAGUUGGUUUGACUGCCCUAACUAUGGCGGAAUAUUUCCGAGAUGUUAAUGAGCAAGACGUACUUCUAUUUAUUGACAAUAUCUUCCGUUUCGUCCAAGCAGGAUCCGAAGUAUCGGCCUUAUUGGGUAGAAUGCCCUCCGCUGUGGGUUAUCAACCGACCCUAAGUACUGAAAUGGGUUCUUUACAAGAAAGAAUUACUUCUACCAAAGAAGGGUCCAUAACCUCUAUUCAAGCAGUUUAUGUACCCGCAGACGAUUUGACCGACCCUGCUCCUGCUACGACAUUUGCACAUUUAGAUGCUACUACCGUACUAUCAAGAGGAUUGGCUGCCAAAGGUAUUUAUCCAGCAGUAGAUCCUUUAGAUUCAACGUCAACCAUGCUUCAACCUCGGAUCGUUGGUGAGGAACAUUACGAAACCGCCCAACGAGUUAAGCAAACUUUACAACGUUACAAAGAACUUCAGGACAUUAUAGCUAUCCUUGGAUUGGACGAAUUAUCCGAAGAGGAUCGUUUACUCGUAGCAAGAGCGCGAAAAAUUGAGCGUUUCUUAUCACAACCCUUUUUCGUAGCAGAAGUAUUUACCGGUUCUCCAGGGAAAUAUGUUGGUCUAGCAGAAACAAUUCGAGGAUUUCAAUUGAUCCUUUCCGGAGAAUUAGAUGGUCUUCCUGAACAGGCCUUUUAUUUGGUAGGUAAUAUCGAUGAAGCUACCGCGAAGGCUAUGAACUUAGAAAUGGAGAGCAAUUUGAAGAAAUGACCUUAAAUCUUAGUGUACUGACUCCUAAUCGAAUUGUUUGGGAUUCAGAAGUGGAAGAAAUCGUGUUAUCUACUAAUAGUGGUCAAAUUGGCAUAUUACCAAAUCACGCCCCUAUUGCCACAGCUGUAGAUAUAGGGAUUUUGCGAAUACGCCUUAACAACCAAUGGUUAACGAUGGCUCUGAUGGGUGGUUUUGCUAGAAUAGGCAAUAAUGAGAUCACUGUUUUAGUAAAUGAUGCGGAGAAGGGUAGUGACAUUGAUCCACAAGAAGCUCAGCAAACUCUUGAAAUAGCGGAGGCUAAUGUGAAAAAGGCUGAAGGAAGGAGACAAAAAAUUGAGGCAAAUCUAGCUCUCCGACGAGCUAGAACACGGGUGGAGGCUAUCAAUCCGAUUUCAUAACUAGUUAGUACGACUAGUUAGUACGUUCGAAUAAUAAAAAGAAGUUCUCUUUCUAAUCCUAUUUAGAUUCUGUCGGGUGAAUACAAUCAAAUACAAUCAAACAGAAGCCAAUUCUGAUGCAAAAAUUCAAAUUUAAAAAUGAAAUAGAAAAGAUACAAAAUCAAAAAAUAAAUAUCACUAAAGGUGGGUCGUAAACCUUAUUAGAUACCAUUGACUCUGGUAUCUAAUAAGUUUUACCUACUAUUGGAUUUGAACCAAUGACUCCCGCCGUAUGAAAGCAGUACUCUAACCACUGAGUUAAGUAGGUCAUUUAUCAUUCCAAAGAGAACCAAACGAAACCCAUCCUGUCGAUGGAUUAUAAAUAUCAUAUUACUUAUAAGCAAUACUAAUCUAAUAAGCAAUACUAAUCUAAGGAAUACCACUCAAAGAGAUCAAAGAUUGUUGAUGUUGGAUCAUGGAAUAUUUAUCUUGACAAGAAUUUAUCUACAUGAUAAAAUAUGUAUCACAAGCACUAAGGGCUAUAGCUCAGUUGGUAGAGCAACUCGUUUACACGCGCGCCAAUGUUUUUCAAGGGAGUUCAUCAUACAAUCAGAAAAAUCGAUCUUGUUGAGAAAUCGAUGUCUUACUCCAUAACUUUGAGGGAACCAUAGCCUGACAAAGGGUUCGGUCCAAUUUGGACGUCCAUUUAGGAGGUGCCAAACAGACCCCAUCAUUGAUUUGAGAUCUUGAUAAGGUGAAUACCCAGUCUAUUCAAUGCUAGGCAUAAUGAGAGUAUAAGGACCUCAAAAAAAUCUCUUUUCGUCAUAUGAACUUUAAGGUGUAUGAAGUUUCAUAUUUGAUUUUUUAAGCAGAAACGAUAGAGACUUCAUUUAACUUAGGUUUAUUUAGGCCAGAGACAGACCUACGUCAAGAUAAUCCCACCUUUGAAACACUUUGGUAAUGCUCCCAAAUAAUGAAUCAGAGCACAUGGAGCCAUUUCCUUAUCUUUUUUUCUGUCAAGAAAAAAAAUGGCAGACUAACUGCUAUAAAUAUCAGUUAAUGAAAGAGCCCAAUGCAAAAAAAAUGCAUGUUGGGUCUUUGAAACAGUUCAGAUCAUUUUAAUAAUAAUAAGUUUGAUCUGUUUUACCGAGAAGGUCUACGGUUCAAGUCCGUAUAGCCCUAUAAAAUAAAAUAAAAAUGAAAAAAUAAAAUUGUAUAAUUUUCAUUUCUUCAUUAUUAUUUCUUGCUUGUAACUAAGUGAAAUUCAACUAUUCCUAUAAGUUUACUCACGGCAAUCGUUUAAGUUUAAGCAGAUGAAAGAAAAAACGCAUAUCAAUGGAUCCAAUCGAUAUUUAUUUUUUCAAUUGCAGAUAAACAAACCAACCUUUCGUCAUUAAUCUUCGGAGGCGAAUUACAUAUUCAUAUCCACAAUAAAAGAAUUAGUGAGACCCCCUUUCUUUUGAUAUCCCCAAUCUUAUUGAAUUUUGGAAGUCAAAUCAUUUC
rnacentral:lncRNA from 1 species